UGGAUGCUUGAUUCAAAUUGAAUCUAGUCGACUAAAACAUUAUCAUCAACGAAUGGUAUAUGUUGCAUUCUUAUCCACAUGACCUAUUUGCUUACUGAAGACUGUGGAUCGCAUGUUUGUCAACCAAGGUUCUAUACCCAAUUAAGGUCAUUUGCAAUACACAUUCUAAGUUUGCACAACAAAGGUUCCACCUCAAAUGUACCAUAUUCGAAUGUACAAAUCCGUCUAACUUGACUUAAAAUAAAUCCACAAUUAAGAAUAGUGAUCUAUAUAAAAACGAAUUAUUGUUGUUUUCAUGUGAAUUCAAUUUUCUUUUCUUAGUCAUUGGAUUUCAAAAAAGUAUGUGAAUUUGGUAAAGGAAGCCAUCUAAAAUUUGAUUUUACUACACUAUUCUAAAUAAUAGCCGAUCAAAUUAACACUAUGGAACUAAGUGACAAUGAACGAAAUUCACAAUAUUGCUUUGAAUUCAUAAUCAAUGAAUAUGUGAAUAGCACGAGACUCAAUAUAGAGGACUUGAGCCAAUGGCAAGAGCUGGAAAUAGAAAGUUUUGAAGAGAAUCACAUUCAUUAAGGAAGGAAACUGAGCUAUAGGCACUACAAGAAAUAUGAGUUUUUCUGACCAAGAGAUUGGUUAUUGAAAGCCCAAUAUUAGUCGGUAAAUCAAAUUACUGUCCGGAAAGUUUUGGUUGGUAGCUGGUCACCAGAAGGCAGCCAGGGAAGGUUUUUACUUACCAAAAUAUAAUUUAGUCGGGAAAGAGCAACUUUUACUGAUCAAAAAAAUUGUUGGUUGGUAAUUAUAAACCUUUUUCUUGACCAUGAUUUUGGUCAGAAAAUGUCUAAAGUAGUCAGUAAUAAACAAGUCAUGACUAGUGGUAGUAAACAUAGACUAACCAUAGCAAUUGGUCAGGAAUAAUAUAAAUUUGUUGACCAAACAAUCAAGUGAAAUUUACUGACAAAGAGAUCAAAUGAAAUUGGUUGGGAACCGGUUUUCCCGACUAUGGUUUCACUUGAUAAUUGUGAUUUAUUUUAUUUUUUUACAACCCUAUCCGACAUCAAAGUUAUAAAAAAGGUUGAAAAGCCAGCUUGAACACAAUGUACCAAUAAAAGUUCAAAUUCAAGAAAUAUCAGAAAUUGCAAAACAAUAAUCACAAUAAAAAGCCUGUAGAAAAACAAUUACAAGGCAAAAUACUAUAUCAUAUCUUUACCAGUCAAUUCCAAUUUCAGAAUAAGUAACUACAAUACAUGCCCAAACUAUAGUGGAUUUCAUUAUGAAAAAACCUCGUCAAAUUCCAAAAUAAGAGAAGACUAGCUUAAUCCAAAAUAAUAGCAUACUUAAUAAUGGAGUAUUAACCAUCAAAACAUAAAACCAUGUAAAUGGAAUAAAAUAGCUUUAAAUUAAUGAUCAUAAUAUGACUCGUGAUCAGGUGACUAUGGCGAAUGAGGAGUAGUAUGAACUCUAGGGCUGCCUAUUCUAGCGGUGGCACCCGGCAUAAUCUCUUCUAACAAGGCGAGAAUACGCUCAUUUUGGCUUUGCAAAUUAUGCACGACUUGGCAAAGCUCAGCAUUCUCUCGUUGAGUCGUGUCUGUACGAGAUAUAGCAUGUGGAAUCUUUGGACCCUUGCCCAAACCCUUAUAGUAGCAAGAAGUAGCUCCAAGGACGUGAGUCGCUAUGUCAUUAGUAGUGAGCUGUACUCUUUGGCUCUCACACUCCUCUCCCACAGCAUGUGCCUGUUGUGUUGUUUGUAUGUCUAUUAUCUCUUUCUAGAUGACAAUAAAAGUAUUAACACAAAUAAGGUUGUAAAAUAUUUAUUUCACUAAGUAAUAACAAACUUCAAGAAUUAUAGCAUUUGUUUAUUACAUAUAUCUCCACAGGCACAUGAUGGAUCCAGCCUUUUGUAUCCUUGUAAUGUAUGUUCUUCCAUAGCUGAAUUCUGUCUGGUUGUCCAAUUCCAUUAUCCUAUUAGAAGAUAUAACAAUAAAAUUGAAUUGAAUUGAAAUUGUUUCUUACUUACCCCCAUUUCCCAACAUUGAAUAAAUGAUCUAGAACCAGAAAAAUGGGUAAAUUCUUGUCAGGAUCCACUGUCAUCUGCUACCUUGGAUCUUUUCUCUAAUGUCCAAUUAACAUAACAAAAAUAGUCAAUGAACUAAAUAUGAACAUAAACGGAAGUUAUACUAUAUAUAAAUGCAUCUGAAACCCUCACUUUCCCAAUAGUCACACAAACAAUCCCAAUCAUCCUGAUGUCGGAUUUCUUUUGGCAUAUUAGCUUUUCUAUGAGCCAUUGGUUGGUUUAGAAAUGCCUUGUAAUGUGUGUACAUCUCAUAUCGAAACUCCUUAAAGGAAGUGGCCAUUGAUUUCUCCAUGAAUUCUUUGAGAGUUGCAUAUUUAUCAUUUUGUACAUCAAAAAUAGCCUAUGCAUAGCAACAUACCAUGAGUGAAAACACAAUGAAGAGCACAAAAUUCACACAAAUAUAUUGGAAUAUGAAGUUGCUACUCCAAGCAACCAAAAUCAAAAUGCCGGCAAGAUAUGCAUACAUGUCAACGAACAUUUGCAAACAUCCACUAUUUUAAAUUAAGAUAUUGACUUCUAAUCGUUUAGAGAACCUUUCAAUUUGAUACCUGGUAUGCUAACUUGUUAUUAACUUUUUCCUUUCUUCAGCAAUGACAUGUUUAAAGAAAGAAAAAGAUACAAGUUCUACUAGGACAAGAAACAAAACAAGUUAAACAACAAUGUUACCUCCACUUUGUCAAAAAUAAGGGAUUUUUCAAAUUCAGUCACAUCUUUCCAAAAGAUCUUUUGGAGUGGUGCAAAUAUUAUCACAUUGGAUCCUAUUUCAGAUACGAAUAGACUAGCAUUAGGACUAGUUGGUCAUUGCUACCUUCAUACAUGAUAACUGGUGAGAUCAUUUGAACUCACAAGUUGCCUGAUCUCUGGGUGUAGGCCCCUCUUGUAACGUUUUGCUUUCAUGAACUCGGUACUUACAAGAUGUGGAUCAUAUCGGGACAAUUCUUCUAAUUUGCUCUCAUACUCAGAAAGUUCAAUGUCUCCCUGUACCAUCUUAAGAAUUUUGUCUAAUUGUGGUCUCUCAAAGCUUGUGAAAAAAACUUUUCUGUUAGCUCCACCUUGAGCUGAUCCCAAGUUAGGUUACGUUAUUCCUCCUCGGUGCGAGUACGUGAGGCGGAUUCCCACCAAUGGCCUGCUCUUUCGAUUAGCAUAAACUCUGUACAUAAUACCUUUUGAUUUUCUGGACAAGAGUUGUGCCGGAAGAUUUUCUCAAUAGUAUGUAACCACUCGUCAACUGCAAGUGGAUCCUUCACACCAUCAAAAGUAGGAGGUCGAUAUCUACGAAAUUGUUCCACCGUCGGAAUAGGGGGUGCCAUCGAGUAUAUUGGUGGCACUGGUGGUACUUGGGGACUAGUGGAGCUUGAGGAGCUGAAGGUGUAGCCUUAGCAGCAAUGGCCUAUUUCAACUCAUCAAUCUCCUGCCUUAACUCCCUAAUUGUCCUCGCUCGUGCCAUAUUCCUAUAUAUCAGAAUAAUUGCAAUCUCAUUUAGAUGAGUCAACGAUAUUUGUGCAGCAUAGAAAAAAAGAUUUAUAGCUGAACAUCUUUUAUUAUUAUCUCAUAAGAAUCCUUCAGGAGGAACACGAAAUAUUAAAAGGACGUCUAGCACUAGUCCACAGAAUCAUAAAAGAACUCCUACUAAACAUCAACAACAAUUGAAGCAGUUUAAAACUACUAAAAUUCACUACUUUAUUCAUUAUUGCCAUCAUCAUCAUCAAUCCAACCUCCAUGAAUCCUAGGUUUCUUAGAAACUAAGCCUUAUCAUCCAAAAAUAGGUGGAGGUGUACCUUCACGAAUGUGCAUCUUGGUAGGUACUCUAUCAUCCUCGGGGAUUGCAAGUCGGGCCAGCUCCCACUGCUCAAUUAGCUCUACAUAGAAGGCCUCAUAAUCAAUCUCUCGAGGUAAGGUAGGCAUAGCAACCUCCCAUAAAUAAUUAUAAAUCUAUUCGGCCACCUCUAGCCACUCUUCUAGUAAGGUCUCAAUAAGAAGGCGGGUGGCUCGAUGACCAGUGACUAUAUGGCCUAGUUGUCUCACCUCCUUCCAUCUUACUAACAUCUCCCAAAUGUGUUGGCCCAUGUGGUGUAUUGGAUUCCACCGAUACUCUUCAUAUUGCCUCAAGAUCUCGUAUCAACGAGGCAUCAAUGAACUCGUCUUCCUACAAGUUUUCUUAAUCCAUACCAUCGGAGCCAUACGAAUUAUUCAAAGUCUAAUAAGUGGGCAUCUAAUAUGUCUUAGUUAAUUCUCGAGAACUUAAACAAACUUUUAAUCUUGUCACGUUCUCAAAAUACUUGGUGCAAAAUGGUUAUCAACAAAAGCAUUCAAACUCCAACAUAUGCUUAAAAUAUUUCAAAUAUAGCAUCACAAAUAAAAUUUCUCAUGCAUAUCACAUAAGUACAAGCGUAUAUAUAAAACUUUCUUCACCUAAAAAUCGGCAUAGCGCGGUUUUAGCAGGCAUAAUGCUCAGAAUCCUCAUUAAAAUUUUGAUCAACGUUAUAUAUAUGACACAACAUCAAAGAAUAGUUUUUAAUGCAGGAAGCAAAACCAUUCUCUGAUACCAUGUUGUAAUGCCCCGAAUUCUCGGAACCCGAAGCGCUAAAAACAAUUGAUCUUUCUUUGGUUCAACCCCUUUGAUACUGACCAAAAUAUUUUGUAAAUUAGAAAGUUUUUGGUUUUAUUUCUUUUCAAAACAUAUGAAAAUGUAAUGGGAGGUAGUUAUUCAUAUAAACUUGGGCAAUUAUGGUGAAAUUUAAUUUUUUAAAAGUGUUGGAGGCAAUUAAGCAAAUACGGGUUGAACAACAGCGGAACGAAAAUACGUUUGAUCUAGCCAAUGUCUACUAAAAAUUAUGAAAUUUUUACUGCAACUAAAGCAGUCAUAUAUGUAGCACAUAUAAAAAUUUGGGGUCUCGACGAUAACAUUUGAAGCACGAAAGUAUUGCUCGAAUAUGCUGGACAGAAAACUCGGAUUCUACACAACGCAGCUUAUAAAACGGGCAUAACUUUAUCUCUGGAUAAUAUUUUAAGUUGAUUCAAAAGGAUACUAUUAGAAGACUCAUGGAUCUUUCAAACGCCACUAAUUUCACUCUAAAAUGUGCACCAUUGCCCAACUUAUGCCAUUUUCAAUCAGAAAGACAGAAUCUGAAUUUUAAGUUCAGCAAUAAAUAAACUUCAGGUAUAGUCAUUCCAACAUUUCCAAAUUAUGAUUGACAUGAAAUGUAUAUAAAACUAGAUGAAAUAGAUGUUUAACUGUUUCUGAAAGUGCCAUCUAGUCAUUCAUAUUAAAUUUACACAAAUUGGAAAUUUUUCUAGAAAGUUGUAAACUUUUCAAAUCACCGAGCACUUGCCACUAUGCCAAACCGCCGCCAUGCCUUGAAUCAACCUAUGAGAUUAUUGUGGGGGGGGGGGGGAGUACUACAAGUAAUACUCAGUAGGAAGGCACUAGAGUAAAUGGUAAAAUACAUAUAUGUUUUCAGAAAGCAAACUUUGGUCUUUUAUGUCACCGUCAAUCUCUUUCUCUAGUUUGAACCACCAAACGGUGCUUUCUUCAUAAGCAACACAAUAAGGUGUCACCUUGAAUCUCUUACUCUUAUUUGAGCCACCAAAUGGUGCCUCCUUCAUGAGUGGCACAAUAAUGCAUUUGAUGCAAAACAAAAACAAAAGUUCCAAGAACAUCCCUACCUCAAAUACUUGGAGUUUGAAUAUCCUUCCCUGUCUAACAAGAAAUAAAAUGCAGUGGUCUUUAGCCUUUUCUUCAGAAAUUUUCAGAUUUAAAGGUCCCUUGGUUCUAUGGAAGAAGGGAAAAAUAAUUUUAUGUAAGAGUAUAAUAGUUUAGGAGAGAAAAUGUGACUUCAGAGGUUUUCGGAGACUUUGUUUUUCAAACGCAAGAUGAUAAUGUAGUUCACGUUUAUUUUGUACAAAAAUGGAGUUGUGAAAUUGUUUUUCAAACACAAAAGAAUGAUGUCAAUUGCAGUAACCAAAUGGGAGUAAAAACAAAUGGUGAGUAGGAUAUUAAUUUUGUGCAUAAUGGUGGAGUUAUAAUAGUGUAGGUUACUUUCUAAUGAAAAGGCAAGAGUUUCAUGGCAAUUGGAAUUAAUCAUCAAGAGUUAAAAGGAAUUUAUUUAUUUAUUUUUAAAUCAAUUAUGAAGUAAACACGUUAUUGACUAUGGAAUUCAAAUGAAAUAUUUUCUUAUUAUUUUUUUAUUAUUUUUAUAUUAAUAAAAUAUAAAUUUUAGAUUACUUUUUAUUUUCAUAUCGAGAUAACUUGGAUAUAGAUUGUUCAAAAUCAUUUUUUUCUUGAGUCCAAAUUAUUUUAUUUAAUAUGAGCUACAAAAUGAGUAUAAUAUUUAAUAUAGUUUAUCAAAUUUUAAAAUACUUAAAUAUCCAUCCCUAAUAGUUUACGUUAAAUUCUAAAAGUACUCAUCGGCAAGGUAAGCGGGUCAAGUUUACCACUUCAACCUUUGGACUUUUAACAUGAUGACAAAUCCAAAAAUGGACUAUUUUAUUUACUAAAUGAUCAAUAUUAAGUUAGGGAGCCAACACAAUAAAUAUAAUUCAAACUAUUUUCGAGUCCUACUAGAAAAUUUUAUUUUAAAAACGACACUGUUGUGGAAGCUCUCUUGAAAAAUCUUCAAAUCGGUGAUUUUUGGGCUAGUCCAACGCACCUUUCUCAACUAACAACCAGUCCAAUCGGCUCCAAACCACAACCAAUUGAUUCACCUUGGUUGCUAUGCCAUCUUACCCACGUAGGACAAGAAAGGAUGAUGAUUUAUGGCCACAAAGGCUAGGAGAAGAUACCACAAAGGUAUACUAUGAAAGAACCAUCAAUCGCACACGUUAUACAAACGUUCCAGACACCUUUUUUCUCACACAAAGGGGGACAGCCAGGAUUCACUAUUUCUUCUCUCAAAAUCACACAAUCAUCAUUACAAAGUGGCUAGGGUUAUAGCCAAAUAUAUACUAUAGGGUUAGGCUUUAAGUUGGGCCAUUAAAGGGGUAAACGGUCCAAGAUUCAAGCCAUCCAUAAGGGAACACAAUUGGGCCGGGUGUAGCUCAUUGACUUGGUUGUUGGACUUAUUUCAUUCAUUGGCCUAUGCCUAUGAAUUAAUAUUAACCCAUGUUAACAUCAUAGCCCGAGAUUUAUUGGGUAUCAAAAAACCCAACAAAUCUCCACUUUGAUGCCCAUUAAAUCUGCAAGCAAUCAAAACACACCGUUAGCGCUUGCAUAAUCAAGGUAGCCAAUAAAAUUGGAUCACAGACCUUACUUCGUAUCUCCAACUUGAAACACAUACCAUACAUGCUCCAUGUACUCACUGGGGCUAAGGUCAAUAACACCCAAGUAGAAGCAAAUAUUUAAUAGUAAACAAUGAAGAGCAAAUACACGUGCGAUGACGAUAUAAUAUAGGAUAAUACACAGAGAUCUUUUCAGAAACACGUUCACAUAAAACCAUAGAUUAACACCAAGUCAAUCAAACCACGGUCAACUACAUAUGCAACACAUGCAUAAAUGACCCUAAGAAAAGAUCUCACCACACUUAUCCUAUCCCAUUCCAUGUUGCUCACACCUCGAGAACACAUAUCUCCUCUCAUGGCCCACCAUGCUCACUAGAUAGAUCACUCAACUCAUGUCUGACUGGUAAGUCAUAAUAAAUCCUAAGUCCAUGGGAUAAUCCUCUAUCUCCACAUCACUUCUUCCAACUUACGUGGAUAAUGGGUCUUCACCUAACAAAAGUGAUAGAAGUGCCUCUCUCACACUCCACCUGAUCAGGGUCUUUUUCCAAAUAAAGGAUUCUAGAUAUUUGAUCACAUCUCCACUCGUGAUCCAAAUGUCACACUCCACAUCCCCGGUACAAGCCACCAUGUACCCCUAGGCAUCUAUACUCCACUUUACCACAAGACACACAACACAUUGCUAAUGCAUCUCAAAUUCACUAUGGCAAAUCAACACCUUUCGAUAACCACAAAGGUUACUCCAAUCACCAAAACUCCAAAAAAUCCACAAAGAAAAUGGAGAAGGUGGCACUCACAAAGAAAAAUUGAAGAAAGAGUCGAUUACUUCACAAUACUCACAAAGGUGGCUUACAAAGAUAAAGAAGGUAACCCUAACAUGGCUGCCUCACAUAAUCUCACAAACCACACAGGCUCACAAAGAUAAAGGAGAGAAAUGGCUGCCCAACUUUCUUCUCACUACCACACUCUCACACCACUCACAGAGCAAAUAGAGUACGCCACAAAACUUAACCCACUAUGCAUAUAAACAUAUUACACAAAGUAAUAAGUCACUCUUAUUCAUGCAAUUACACACAUCAAACAUAUUGAAAGUGUAACAUCAACAUUGCAACAGAAUUAAGUAAGCAGAGACAUGCAAAAAAAAUUACACACAGAUGCAAUGCAGUAACCAAGUUUAUUCUCUCAAUAAACAUCACUAGGAUCACUACUCGACCCUAAAGUCACAUUUGCCUCGUCUCUAUUCUCAUCUUUCCUUUUAUUAUCAUCUUAGAACAAUCUCUUUCAACUAUGUCUGCCACAGUUAAAACAUAUUUUAUUUUUCGCACUUGCCUUAGAUCUAUACAUGCCAACUAUACCAAAUAAUAACCACAAGCAAAGUAUUGACAUAUAAUUCACACAGAAUAGUCAAGUAAAAUUUCCUAAGGUCACAUGCAAUCCUAUCGGUGUAGAAAAAAUUGGUGACAAAUUCACAUAGAAUUUAAGAUAAUUAAUUAACAUGUAAUUCCUAGGUCCAACAACAGACAAUGGUUACCCCAAACCUAACGUCACCCCACACGAUGACUUCUAGUGCGAAAAAUAAAUAAUUAACCUCCACAUUAAUUUUAACUACAAUAAUAAAAAAGCAAAGAAUAUGAUACCGAGCGAACCACAUCUGAAGGUCCGUAAAUAUCGAGACAUGCGAAUUCACUACUUUAGGACUACCACUAUUCGUCCUAAAGUCUCUGAAAACUGCAGCAAUUAAGAAAUCACGAUCGAGUCCCGAACUCCCGAAGAACAACGCUAUCCAGAUUCUUCUGUGUAUUCAACACGAAAAAUGUUAGAAAUAAUAUGAAGAACAAACUGCCUGAAGGGACCGUCGUCGAAAAAAGCUCCACGUCCCCGCAUGCGCCGAUCGAGUCUCUGCACGCAACUCCGCCACGCGCCGCCGACGUCCACACGCUCCUGACCGCCUUGAUCACCACCACCUAGAUGUUAUACUAGCGGUCUCCGUUUCUCCAAAAUCCUUCUGGAUUGGUCAGAAAACACCAAAACAGGGGCUGAUUUUUAACAGUUUUCUGGGCAAUUUUUCGAUCUGAUUUCUGCUACGUUUCUGUCGAUUUUCUGGACGAUUUCUGGUAGAUUUCACGACCCAAAACCUUCACCUUGAAGCUCUGAUACAAAUUGUUGCGGAAGCUGUCUUGAAAGAUCUUCAAAUCGAUAAUUUUCGAGCUCAGUCCAGCGCACCUUUCUCAACCAACAACCAAUCCAAUCGGCUCCAAACCACAACCAAUUGAUUCACCUAGGUACAUAGGAUAAGAAAGGAUGAUGAUUUAUGGCCACAAAGGCUAGGAGAAGACACCACAAAGGUAUACUAUGAAAGAACCACCAAUUGCAUACAUUAUACAAGUGUUCUGGACACUUCUGGACACCUUUUUUCUCACACAAAGGGGGACAGCCGGGAUUCACUAUUUCUUCUCUCAAAAUCACACAAUCAUCAUUAGAAAGUGGCUAGAGUUAUAGCUAAAUAUAUACUCUAGGGUUAGGCUUUAAGUUGGCCCAUUAAAGGGGUAAACGGGCCAAGAUUCAAGCCAUCCAUAAGGGAACACAAUUGGGUCGGGUGUAGCUCAUGGACUUGGUUGUUGGACUUAUUUCAUUCAUUGACCUAUGCCUGUGAAAUAAUAUUUACCCACGUUAACGUCAUAGCCCAGGAUUUAUUGGGUAUCAAAAAACCCAACAAACACAAGAUUUUUUUUUUCCCGAUCUCUACAUAUAGUCACUGAACUUUUCCAAAAGUUCCCAGGAGGUCACCAAAUUUCAAAAUUUUCUUAAAUAAUCACUGAACGUUUCAUAAAGUCCCUAGGGGUCACUCAACUUAGAAAAUUGGGACACCCUACAUUACUGGUUUAGUGAACCCCCUAAGAACUUUUUGCAAAGUUCAGUGACUAUUUAGGAUAUUAACUCUUAUUUUGUUGAUAAAGCUUAGACAUUGAAAUAUUUCUAGAAGAGAUAGUAAACUUGAACUGAAAACCACUAAUAGAGUAAUUUAUUUACUUAUAUUCAAAUUUAAAUUGUGAAGGAAGAGAGUAAUUUAUAUUUAAUUGUCAAGGCUAAGCAAUAUUAUAGGACUUGAUACAUUCUUAGGUGAUCCCGUUAAGGAAGGUAGAAAAGUUUUGGAAGAUCCUCAUCAUAACCCUCUCCAAACUCCACGGAAGGAGGAAUAAUCUUCCAUUAAAAUUUCUAUCCAUACAUCAAAACUCUGUAGAAAUCACUUCACAUAUGCUAUUAACAUACAACAUUCAUAUUGUACUCUAGUUUCUCAGUCUUUAUACAAAAUAAUUUUCACUGUCCACGUGUAAACAAUUCAAUUUUCUUUUGGCAAGAACAUCGUACAUCAAGAAACCUCGUCUUGGAUAUGUUAUGCAAGUGUAUCUCUUACUAAAGAAAAAAGAUAAGAACUUAAACAAAAACAUUGAUUUAAACAUAUAAUAAAAGAAAUUUAUUGCUACUCAAAAUUAUAAAUGAUUUGUAAAUUCAAUCACCUACAAUAAUUUUAGCCACACAUUCAUAAGUAUUAACAUUAUUAUCCAUAAAUUUCAUGGGAUCCAUGAUUAUUUCUCUUUAUAAAUCAUUUAUAAAUUUGCGAAGCGAAUGUUAAUAUAAAUGUUGAUUUCAUUCAAAACUCCUGCCAAUUAUCCUAAAGUUGAAUUGAAUCUUUAUACUUCACCCAGUUUGGCACUUAUAUUUCAAAAUUUCAUUUUCCCAAAAAUCCCUUUUUAAUGACACAUGAUACCACAACUUUUCGACCGUAUAAUUCAUUAAUUUUAUGAAAACCUAUUAAAAAUCUAAUUUAUAUCUAAACCAAAUUGGAGCUUCAAUUUUCUCAUUUUUAAUUAGCAACCGCCGUUUUUUGGUCUAUACAGAAUAUUCCCAUUGCAAUUCUUGGAAAAUGGAUCUGCAUCAGAACCAUAGGCCUCGUUUGAGAUUUUUUAAGUGUUUCAGAAUAGUAAUAUUUUUAGAGAAUAUAUAAUUAAAAAUUAGAAAAAAAUUUAGAAUUUGCAUAUAAAAUGUACAAUUAUUUUAUGAGGACCCCCUCAAUCUUUCCUUCUGGAGUGAGUCAAGUGGCAAAGCCUUCUUGUACAUUUUUCAGUUUCCCUAUGUGACUUGGGCACAAAACGAGAGCUAUUCCUUGCAUCGUUAGGAAUGCAUUAUUAAUGAGUUUUGAAAAAAAUAAUAACAAAAAAAAAAAUCAGGCUCAAACAUGGGUUAAGUCAAGUCUCAAUCCACAAUUGAGUUUUCUAAAAUGGGGUAGAAUUUAACAUCCACUUGCCAGAGGCAUUCAACAGAAUUUUCAAGAUUUUUGGCAUGUUAAAGACUACACAGAGUCAAGAUUUGUCUUUUGGGGAUAAGAAAAAAUGAAAAACCAAGUACCAUGAGUUCAACCCUUUUCUUUUAUAAAACCUGUGCUUAAAAUUAAGAACCAACUUCUAUGCAUAUCGAUACCUGGAAAUUCCAACUUCUCAACUGCAUUAUUCAUCAAUUUCAUCAAAAUCUAUUAAAAAUGUAAUUUAUAUCUAAACCAAAUUGGAGCUUUAUUUUUCUGUUUUUUAAUUAGCAACUGCCUUUUUUUGGUCUUUAUAGAAUAUUCCCAUUACAAUUCUUGGAAAACAUAUCCUAUCUGCAUUAAAACAAUAAUCUCAGUUUGAGAUUUUUUUUUGGGCAGAAAUGUGUUUCGGAAUAGUAAUUUUCUAGAAAAUAUAUAAUUAAAAGUUAGAAAAAAAUUUUGAAUUUGUGUAUAAAAUUAUUUUAUGAGAGAAUGCAUUAUUAAAAACCAGUUUUGAAGUAAUAAUGAUAAUAUUAAUAAAAUUUAAGGUUCAAACAUCGGUUGGGUCGAGUCUCAACCAACAAUUGAGUUUUCUAAGAUGGAGUAGAAUUUGUAAAAAGAAACUCCGUAUAAAAUGGGGUAGAAUUUCACCUCCACUUGCCAAAGGCAUUCGACAACAUUUUCAAGAUCUUUGGCGUGUAAGACUUCGCGAUUGAGUCAAGAUUUUGUCAUGGGGGAUAAGAAAAAUGCAAAUCCAAGUAGCAUGAGAUGGCAUUCAAUCCUUUUCUUUAAUAAAACAUGUGCCAAAAAUUGAGAACCAACUUCUAUGCAUAUCCAUAUUUGAAAACCCCAAGCAUAGAAUCCCUUCCCAAAAUGUAAAAUAAUACUUAAAAAAAGGAUAUAUUGUUCAAUAAUGAAAAUAGUUAGGAAAGUAAAAGAAAUUUCGUUAAUUGCGCAAUUUAGUAUUGCUUAACGAAAAAAGAGAGAAGAAAAAAGAAUACAUAAAGAAAGAUGAACUUUUACUGAUAAUUAGCAAUACAAUUUAUAGACCACAGGGUAGAUCUAGUUACAUAGCUGUAAAACUGAUCCCUAAGUUUCAGGAUUACAAAUUCAAAAUAUAUAAAUAUUUCCAUGUGAAAAUAAAUGUAGAAAAAAAAAUUUGUUGUAUUGCUUUCGUGAAUUUGAUAGUUUUUCUCAUUUCAUUUUACUCUAACAUUUUCAUUUAAUUUAAUUUUAAUAACAUAUUAAAUUGUUGUAUAUAGUCUUAGUUCCUAUUUGGUGGAGAAUAAAUUUAGAUUUUAUGUAAGUUAAAGUCAACAAUUAAUUUAAACAACAUAUUUUGUGGGAUCUACUACUUUUCAACUACACAUUUCAUCGGUUUUUUUUUAAAUUGAAUAAAAUUGUGAUUUUAUUCAUCACCAAAUUGGCUUAAAGAGAUUCACCAUCUAUUAAAGCUUGAAUUAUCAUAGUUGUAUAAUUUUGGAUGACAUUAUGGAUGACAAUGUGUUAUGUGUAAAAAAUUGUGCCAUUGAUUUCAACAUAUGUUGUUAAAAAUGGGCCAAAGUGUUACCACGUCAAACAAUCUUAUUUAUGAUGUCAAACUUAAUGUACUUACAGCAAAACUGUUAAAACUUUCGUCUAUAUAUGUGGUAUCACUUUUUAAUGAUAUUAGAGGUCGACACAAUAAAAAUUAAGAAACUUUGCAAUAGAGUUCCCAAUUAUUAUAAAAAUAUGUAGCCUACAUCCAAAACUUUUAAUAAAUGUGUGCUAAAAGCACCUUUAAUGAUUUUUAUACAAAAAAUUGUCAAUUAAUCAAAAGUCAAACGUUUAAUUUUAAUUGGACCAAUUUAUUAAAGGAUAAAUUGAUCUUUCAAUGUUUAAUUAAUUAAAAUAAAUAAAUAAAUAAAAGAAAAGAAAUAAUAACAAUAACAAAGACAUUCAUUUUCUUUGUUCCAUCCAACCUUAACCCUGAAAACCCACCCCAACCCCACACAGCUGCAGAAAUUGCCACCAACUGGGGAUUUCUCCCUUUGGUUGGUCACAACACCGACCACCCUCGACCCAUACAACAAAAAUAUAAUCAAGCCACCUUCAUAGGCACCACCAUCAUUUACCACAUCACCAUUAUUCACAUAUCACAACAAUGUCACACCACCUAAACAUCUUCCACUGCACACUACCUCCACCACCUAUACACCACCAUAAACCUAAAAUGGGGCCGCCGCUACCAACAUACAACCAUCCCCCUUAAAAUCCCAGCCACAAAUCACAGAAUCUAAAAAAGAUACUUGAAUCAAACUAUUUUUUUCUCAGAUCGUCAAAAUUCGUUGCACUCAUUUUCGACACAAUCGAAAUUUGAAUUUGAUGUCAGGCAGGAUGGUGAUUAUCUUGCAGGCUGGUUAUCAUAGAUGAUUCAUAGAAAAAUUACGAAUGAAACGUCCAAACAAUAGAGAGAUUUCUCUGAAAUUCAACUCAAUAUUAUUCAAAAUGCAAAAUGGUCAAAAACAGCCCACAAGCUGGGCUAUAUAGCUGAAGAAGAAUGAUAUUAUUGGAAUUUUACCAAAAAUAGUAAAAUCCCAAUAAUCAUACAAAAAUAAACUACGUAAUAAAAGAAGUAAUUUCCAAAAAUGGGCUCAAAUCGGGUUCAUAAUCAUCUCAAAAAUGACAAAUGAAAUAUUACCAAAAAUUGAAAAAAAUAACUAAAAAAUGGGAAUUUGGAUGGAAAAACACUGGAUUUUGGCCUCGAAAAUGAUGUCACCAUGAUGUGCGUGCCAAAAGAGCUUUCUGAAUUGAGGUCAAAAUUGUGUUCUGAUAAGUGUAGCCAAAGUUACGGUAAAAUUACCAAAAUAUGUUCAAAACUGCCUCAAUUAAGAAAAGAUUGUGAUCACUUGUCAUCUUUGCACCGAUCUACCAACUCAUGGUAUCUUGGCACCAUUAAUGUGCAAUCUUACAACUCAGCAGCACUUGACUCAGAUCCUCCUGCAUCAGAAUUUAUAAUUACCGUGGACCAAAUUUAAAUGCUAAUGUAUAAUUAAGCAUUAGCUCAACUAUUUCCAAGAAGCAGGUUGUUUAAUCAUGUGUAAUCCACGCUCCAUGAAAUCGGAGAUCAAAUUGUGCAACCAUAUCCCAUGCAUGAAUUUGAUUUAUGAAACGAAUUCAAAAAUUGCAAUCAGAUAAUGGACAUGUUAUUUCAUAUCCUGUAUCAGUUUAACGUGAGCAAAAUGCAAAAUUAAAUUUCAUGUAAAUAAUUUCAUGAGAAUAACCUGCAAAUCAUGCAAGAUUCUUUACCAUUUUUAAAAUGAAAUCAGUAUAUAAACCAAGAAGAAGAAGGAAUAAACAAUAAAAGCACAUCAAAUCCAAAAUUAGUUGCUAUAAUAUUUAUUGUCGCCCACUACUUUCAGGAGUAUUGAUAUUCUUCUCCCAAAAAAUCCAAAAUGAAUUAUUCUUCUUGAGCAUGUACAAGAUGAUCAAACACGGAAUGACGAAAAGAAAAGCCAAAACAUAAUAGUAAUCCGAGCUAACCAAAUUCACAAUGUGUCCUUAAGAUGAAUUUGUUUCCUUAUAUUAUGUAUAAAGGCACAUAGCAAUCAUCUUACACGAUAGAACAUAUUUCCCCUCUUACAGAAGUAGAACAAUAAUCUGUAAGAGUUUCAACAAACACAACAUUAUACUUUGUACUCAAUCAUCUGAAAUAGAAUAUAUGAAGUAUUGCAUUUGUAAAUUAUGUUGUAUCAUGAAUAUGUUGAUUUGUAUAUUCGCGCAUAUACAAUUUGAAAAAUUGGUGUAUUAAUUCUGACAUAGAAGAAGGCUAUUUAUAGAGUGUUUGUGUCCAUUUAGUCAGCUUAAGAAGCCUAUCAUGAACAGUAAUGUAUGUUCAAACAACCUUCUAAACAAAUAGAGGUAUUUACUAAGUCGAUCACAUGCCAAGCAAUAAUGUCAAUCAUAGAUUACAAAUGCCGAUUACAAACAGAAGGUUUGUCCCCUGCAGACAAAACACAUGUUAAAAGUCAAACAAUUUGAAUUAUAAUAUAAUUAAGAAUAAUUUCAUUCAGGUACACAAAGAGAUUGAUAAUUAUAAUUUGGACCAAAUUUUUCCAAAAGUAUCAUGUAAGAUAUGGAUCUGCACCAAACUGAAUUGAAACCGAACCACUGACACACGACGAUGACAAUGCUUGCACAUGUGGACUUAGGACCUAAUCCAAUAUGAUCUAGGUCUUCCCCCUUCAAAAAGUAGUGGUACCCCUUGCAACCCAAACCCACUUGCCUAACUUCCAUUAUAUAAACCAAAUAAAAGUUUUUGAACUUUCCUUAUGUGGGAUAAGUUAUGGCAAUUCAAUCAAUUUCUUCCUUACACCAAUUUUCAAGUGUGUUACUUUGAAUCAAAGUAUUUCAUUCAAAACUAAAUGGUUUUCAACAAAUAAAUGCCAUCUUAGUCCUCUCACGAUGUAAAACUUGAAUAUGCUUCAUCUCGUUAAUUUCGUAUUAUGAGUCUCGCAAAAAAUUGAGCUCAAAGUUAACUUAUUUCACAAUUUAUAAAUCAUUUUUCCUAUCAGUACUAGUCAAUCCAAUCCAUAUUUACAUUCAAAUUUUCUUUACAAUCAAAUGAAACUGAGGCUUGCAAGAUGAUGAUAUCGAUGUUAAACCGAUAUCUUAUUAAAGGCGAUAUGGGCUCAAAAAGAACUCAUACAUACAAGAAGAUUACAACAGAAAAAAAUUACACUCUGAAACAAAUGUGGUCUCUUAUUGGUUGUGAAAUUGUUCUCUUACUAUUGAGAAACAAUAUAACAUUGUAUCCAAAUAUUAGUCGUUGUCUUUGAAUUUGAAACCUUAUAGUAGUUGUUGAAACCUCAGAUAGUGAAUUAAGCGUUGAUCAUAGUUGAGGAACUAUGGUACAAUUUUUAAAAACUUGAGUUUUGGUCCAUAUCAUAGGGUGAUAAAUGAUGCUAGAUGAGUUGCCCUCGAUCUGCUCAUACAAUUUUUUAAUUUUACUGAAUAUACACAUUGGCACGAGCCUGCUCGUGAUAGUAGAUGAGCGGCUCUCUGCUUGAUCUAGAAAAUCGUUGCUAUAAAGUGAUUGAUUUGCAUAAUUUUGAUACGUAAUAAUUUUUGAUAAAUACUUUUCACACUUUCAUAAUACUUUAUAGAUUGUGCUACAUGUACAUAAAGGUUUACGUGUAUAUGAGGUGAUAUUUGAUUAUAAUUUCUUUAAUUAAAUAAAAAUUGAAAAGACUUCCCACUAAUUGUUUGACACGUCAUCUAUAUGUAAACCAUUAUGCAACUCAAUUUUGUACAAAUAGUAAUAAAUAUAGAUAGGACUCAAUCGAUAGUAUCGAUGAGAUAAUAGAGAAUAGUAUUUACUUGUUUUGACACACGUGGCAACAAAUUAUUUUUGACAUUUUACUAUAUAAUUUAUCAUGUGAUAAGCAUUCUAAUUUUUCUCUCGGACAUAGAAUUACAAUUUAAUUCACAAUGCAUUGCACAUGAUAUUUUAAUGAUGUCGUGAAUUUUUUUUUUUUUCAAAAAUAGUAAUAAAUAAAUAAAGCUGUUUAAAGUAAUCGGAUGAAAUUUUUCAAACUUUCCAUAUACUCAAUUCAUAUCAAAAGUGUAAAAUAAAGAUUGAAUAGUCUCAAGUGGCCUAAUUCUUGUUAUGAAACUCAAUUUUUUCCCGUAAAUUCAGUAAAUCAAGUUCAUGUUCUCGAUAGAACUUAGACACUUAAAAUUUUCUAAAAUUGAGGUAGCAAUGAAGAUGUCUACCUUAUGGCAUUUAAGGUUUGAAUCCGAGAGGACAUGAUAUAAAGUUAUGAGAAUAAGAUGGAUACAGACUCUAUCACAAGAAAGUAGGCUAAAACUGGAUUCUCCACUCAGCAUCAGAUUAAUAAUGUACAAAAAGUUAGUAAAUAUGAAAUUUAUAAAAAUUUAUUUAUAAGCAAAUAUGUUUACAUACAACUACAUUUACUUACAGAUAAAAAGUUCAUUUAAGAAAAAAUAUUGAUAAAUUUGGUAACGAUUUAAAUAUUAAAAAUUUUGAUCGUUACAAUUGAACUAAUGUAGGGAAACAUUAAGAUGAAUAUGGAUUCCAUGUAUGAAUUUAUUUUCUGGAUUGUCUAAAGCAAAUAAGAUAGAGAUUAGGUGAAAGUUUUGAUUUAGGGUUGGUAUUUAAAACUAAUUGCUCAAUAAGGGGCUGCGCACUAAUCAAGUACAAAAAAGGGUAAAAGCUUCCAUGUCUAGAAAUUAUCCUAAAGGAUUCAGAAGAGGACACCUAUUGAAAACUCCUGAAAAGAAAAUCAUAAAGGGAUCAAGCUAGUGUAAAAAAUAGAAUGGGCACAACAUAAUUAAAAAAAAAAAACACAAGUACACGAAAAAGAAGAUGCACUACAUACUUCGAUUAAGCCCCCGAACACUUGGUUGAAAGAAUUAAACCUUUAACAAGAGAUAAGUAGCCUAGUUGGGUCCUAGGGGGUGAAUCAAUAAAAAAAUAUAGGAAAAUCCUUAUUUAUUGAAGUGUGAACUUGUACAGGAAAAACCUAUCUAAACUAGAGAGGGGCCGUGAGGACUAGGAUCAUCAGAAUUUCAACCUAAGAACUAGUGAAAAAUAUAAGUUUAGUACGUAUCGCAUGAGAGAGGAAAUAAAAUAUUUGACUGUUGUGGGUUGAGAAUUGAGCCAAUCAUGAACUUGUAAUGUUCAACAAGAGUCUGCAUUACAAAAGUCUUCACACACACGUCAAGUUUUGCAUUGAAUGACUAGAAGUUAAUUUAACUGUGUAAUUUUGAAGCUAUUCUUAGUUUUCAUACAAAAGUCCAAUCCUGAGACUACAGCAAGCUGUCUAACCAAGUUUUAUUAAUUUAGGCUAUAGUUUGUUUGAGAACAAACAAAUAUUCAAGUUUGGAGGUGUCUGAUGAGUGUAUCUUAUACACUUACUCAGGCUUUGAAAUUAGAGCAUUUGUUGGUUAAUUUAAUGAAUAAUGGCUUACUUUAACUUGAAUUGUAUUUAUCAAGGAACAAUCGAUGCAAAAGGGGAGAAUUAGAGAAAAACUAAGAAAAGAUGACUAAAUUGCUAGAAAGCCAAAAUUCAAGGACUAAAGUACACAUAAUUAAAAGUUGGCUUAAACUGAAGAAUGAAUAUUCGAGAGUGCUAGGAUUCAAUUGGACACGAAUAGAAGUCAAUGGAAUGAAAGACAAUUGAAAAGGACAAAAAUUGGACAGGAAUGAAACUUCAGGGACCAAAGCCACGAGGCAGGUGCAUUCCCAACUCCCUCCAUGCAUGAUCAGAAGCCAAAAGGCCUCAGAGAUGCGCACCUCACUUAAGCCUAGGUGCAUCCCUAAUUCAACUUCGAGACAACAAUUCUGUUUCUUUUUUCUUAUUUCGGAAAGAUUUGGAAUGUAAUCUUUUACAUUUUAUAAGACCUAGGGGCAAUCGAGAACAAUGGGAAUAAUUGUUUUGCUGUUGAAUAGAGGGUUGCAAGAGGUAAAAAAAGAUAACUCGGAGCAAGAUAUGACGUUCCAAUGCUCGGAUUGAAGUUUGAAGUGAAUUUAUUGAUUUUCAAGCUCUUCAUCUAGUGCUUUAAUUCAGAUUAUGCUGUUUUUAAAUCUUUGGAUUAAUGAUGAAACCGUAUAAUUAAUAUUUUUAAUUCAAGACUUAUCCAUUUUAGUUAUUUCUUGUGUUGUGAUUAUAUAUGCAUGAACAAUGCAUUGUUUGAAUAUGUGCAUACCAAUGAGCCAAUUAGUUGCUGAUUUGUAGUAUUAGAAGACUCACAAUAUAUAGAACACUGCAUAUUUGACAUGCAAACAAUGUGUACCAAGAAUAGCCCCUCGGGACAUAACCCAGUGGUGCAAAGGACACUGCAUAUUUGACAUGCAAACAAUAUGUAUCAAGAAUAGCUCCCCGGGGCAUAGCCCAGUGGUGCAAAGGACGGGAAUGAAGUAGUAUCAGUCUUGCUGGCAGCCGUAGUACGAGGGUUGGAUUCCUGAGAUAUGAAAUUGGACUCUUUGUGGGCACCAGUGUAUAGGCAAGCUCUUGUUCCUUGGUCUGCUGAGGCACAUUCCGUCAUUUACCUCCCUCACGAUGCUCUAGGGAUGAGAAGGGGGGGUGGGGGCCCUCAAGGUUGGGGUUCAACCCUUUUUUUAAUAUGUAUCAAGAAUAGUAUUUAUGACAUGUGCAAGUCAGUGAUUGAAUGCUUCCUUUGCAUGUGAAUUUGGAGUAGGAAUGUGAUCGACUAGUGCUAAGGAUAUGUUUAAUAUAUUUUGUAAAAAAAAAAAAACGAACAAUCAGACAAACUUGAAAGUCAAGAACUAGAAAUAGAGAUCAAUAGGUGGCUUCAAAAAUCUAAUACAUUCAUGUUUCUAAUUGAUAAAAACAACUUAUUUAUUUUGUAUUCUUAGCUUAAUUAGGAUAAUAAAACAAACAACAACUUUUUAUGUGUUACAUUGAUGGAAAUUGAUAGUAACUUAUACACUAUAAUUAACAUUUAUUCCUUACUACAUAUUACUUGAUAGUAACUAAUACACGUACUCACUACAUAUUACUUGUUAACGAUCCCUUUCGCUUGCGAAAUUUUCUCAAACAACAUAGAUUUCUCACUAGGAUGCAUUUUCUAUAUAUGCCCAUGUGUAAAGGAGGUGGCCUACCAACUAAGCUAUAGCCCUUAGUGUUUGUGAUACAAUUUUUAUCAUGUAGAUAAUAUCUUUUCAAGAUGAAUAUCCUAUGACCCAACAUCCUCAAUUUUUGAGUGAUACUACUUGUAUUAGAAUUGCUCAUAAGUAAUAUGAUAUUUAUAAUACAUCGAUGGCAUGGAUAAAAACAUUUAUUAACCAAUGUCUAUUAUAAAAAAAUUGAAAUUAAAAUUAUAAAAAUAAAAUCAACAUGAAUUUUAUCAUACGGUUAAUUGAAAAAUAAAAUAUUAGUUCUAUUGAUGAAGUCAAGUCAAGAAAUUCAAUGAGAAAGACAGAAUAAUAUUUGAAAUUGGAAUGCUUUGUGCCUUUGUCAAGCACAGAUUAUGUGGUUUCGGAUUUAGAACUAGGACUUGGGCCUCAUUUUUUUUUUUUUUUUUUACAUAGGAUGCUUUUUUGGACAUGGACUGUAUUGUAUCCGUCCAUAUCCCAGUUGUUGCUGAGUUUCCCCUUGGUUUACUUUUCCUACUCUUAGCUGCUUCAAAUGAAGUGAACGGCUCUUUAUUAGAGUAAACAUGCUAUGUAGAGUCGUGUUAAUCCACCACUCUUUUCGGUUUGAACCCUCCAAGUUCACUUCAAAAUUUAUGACUGUUGGGCUCAUCUCAAAUACAUUGUGUUCCAUGUAUUUAACCACAUUUGCUUCAUUCUUAUUAUUCUUCUUUGCAAUUUGCACUCCGAACACUUAUGGCCUACUUUGUCACAAUUAAGUCACUUUCCUUCAUAUUUCUUCUUGAAAACUCCACCGUUUGAUCUCUACUUUGACCCUUUACCACUAGAUAGCCCAUGUUUGCCCUUGCCGGUUUUAGAAGUUUAUUUAAGCUUCACAAUACUUUCUUUAGCAACAACUAGAGUUAUCCUCUUACUUUUCAGAACUUCUGUUAUAUUCUUUAAUUUGAAGUUUGGCAAUCGAAUUUUCAAUGUUCAUUUCCUUUCACUUGUGCUUAAACUAUUUUUUGAAAGCGUUUCAUGCCAGAGGUAGCUUCUCAAUAGUAGCAGUCACCAGAAAAGUUUCACCCAAGAUCAUUCCUUUGGCAUGAAUUUCAUGUAAAAUCACUUGAGUUCCUGUACUUGAAGGAUCACAAUUCUUGAGCUCCCCAUGUUAUGAUCUAGGAAGUGGGCGAUAAUGUAUUUCUUAGUCCGACACUCUCAAUUUUAUAUUUGGGUCUAAAGACUUCACAAUUCCUUGGUCAUUUAUAAUGCAUUAUACAUGUAUAUUGAAUCAACGAGUGCAUUGUUGUUGAACAGGGAAUCAAAAUGUUUCCAAGCAUCAACUGUGCUGAUAGCUUGUAAAUCUCUCUUAUACUCUUUGAGUUUCAGAGCAUCCUCAGUCAAGAAUCUUGUGAGAUUCAAGGAGGCGAGGUAAAAUAGAAUCUUUUUUUGAAAUUGAACUCAUUAAAUUUCUUUGAUUUCUCCCUAUGUAUAACCGGAACUGUUAUAGCUAGGCCAACUGUUCCGAGCCAUUGUCUAGGUCACAACAUAACUUGGUAGUUGAACUAUGGUCAGAGUUGCAAUGUGACUUGACAAUUGAGUCAACAGUUUGUUUUUCAGUAACCAUAUCCAUAUUGGUUAAUCUGGUUACCAUAUCUGAAACACCAAACAACUAUUAAUUUCCCAGUGCAAACAAAAUAAAGCCGAUUUUUUAUUUUCACAUCAUUUUAGGAUUUUCAGUAAAAUUACAAUAGAAUAUAAUAUAUUAGAGAAAUAACAAACAAAAAUCAAAAUUGAAGAAAAAAAUCACAACUAAAUAGGAUAACAGAAUAGCAAAUUGAUGCCUGUGAAAACAAAAUGUAUAUCCUUAAAAUAGAUUCACUAUCUUACUAUAAGUGCUUCAGGUUUUGCUGACUCUCAAUACAGAUAACAAAUCAGUACUGAUUUUAUUUCAACACUAUCAUCAAGACUUGGAUAUGGACACAUGAAAUGAAUAAGGAAUAUAUUUUGGAAUAAAGAAAUUUGUGUAUGGAACCGAUGAAAAUGAGCACUCUUAAAGUCUCUAAUGAGUGACUUAUUAUACCAUUAAUUUAUCAUUAAUCUAACAAAUAACACCCAUGUUAACAUAGGCAACAAACCACAGGAGUUUUAGGACAUGAAAACUGUGAAAGGCCAGUUGAAAAUAAAUAGAAAACAUGGAUCCUACUGAGAGACCAAAUUUCAGUUUGUCAUUCACGUACGCAUGUCACAUUUGUGCAUAAGACAAACUAUAAUUUUGCUUUCCAUCUAGCAACCAAUUCAAGUGAAUAUAAAUUGAUCUUCAAUUUAUCAUUCGCACUAGCAUCAUUUUCACUAAGUAAAUAUAUGAUUUUGAUGUUUUCGCAGAGGAAAACAACAAAUCUACUUUGAUCUUCCAAAGAAUAUAAAUGAAUUAAUUCAAAAUUAUACCAAAAAAGAAAAAAAAUCAUUUUCCAAUAAGCAAUGCUGCAAUAAUGUGAUUUAAUGCUGGAAUUAAUUAGCACAUUUUGUCCUUGUAACAUAUUCUACUCAAAAAGUCCGUUAAAGGGUGUAAAAAAUACUUUAUUUGCCUCUCAUAAUUUUAAAUAAGAGAAGCAACAAUUAGAAUACUAUAUAAAAACAAUUCUCAAAGACAAUGUGCUAAUUAAUGAAAGAUUAAUUCAAACUAUUAGAAUACUAUAUAAAAAAAAUUCUCAAAGACAAUGUGCUAAUAAAUGAAAGAUUAAGAAUAAGAUUGCGAUAAAAUAAUGUAGGGACCUAUGUGCACUAGUAAUAAAAGAUUGAGGGCUUUCUAUUAUACAAUUAAUAAGUGAUAAAACUAAAGAAAAAUAUUGUUUCAACAUAAAUUACCCAUGGUGAAAAUGAAGUACUGCUUUAGAGACAUUAUAAUCCUCUAUACUGACCCUACUAGUAUCUUACUCAUAUUAUUUUGAGAGUGUGGUUUCUUAUACUGACUUCAUUUAUUUAACAUAAAAUAUUUGGAUGCUUAAUUCAAAUUGAAUCUAGUUGGCUAAAACAUUAUCAUCAACGAAUAGUAUGUGUUGCAUUCUUAUCCACAUGACCUAGUCCCUUGUUGAAGACUGUGGAUCACAUGUUUGUCAACCAAGGUUCUAUAACCAAUUAAGGUCAUUUGCAACCCACAUACUAAGUUUGCACAACAAAGGGUUCACCUCAAAUGUACCAUAUUCGAAUGUACAAAUCCGUCUAACUUGACAUAAAAUAAAUCCACUAUUAAGAAUAGUGAUCUAUAUUAAAACAAAUGAUUGAUGAUUUCAUGUGUAUUCAAUUUUCUUUUCUUAGUCAUUGGGUUUUAACAAAGUACGUGAAUUUGGUAAAGGAAGCCAUCUACAUUAUGAUUUUACUACACUAUUCUAAAUAAUAGAUGAUCAAAUUAACAUAAUGGAACUAAGUGACAAUGAACGAAAUUCACAAUAUUGUUAUUAAUGAAAGGUAAUGUUUAGUUAAGCUAAAAUUUGGGUAUUCCAACAAGGGGAAAUUGGAUAGGCAGAUUUCUUAGUAAUAUGGAUAGCAGUGUUAAUGGGAAGCAGUGUCUGGUUGAGGCCAAGAACUAUAAGAAAUAUGAGUUUUGCCGACCAAGAGAUUGGUCGCUCAAAGCCAAAUUUUAGUCAGUAAUUUACUAACCGGAAAGUUUUGGUUUGCAGCUGGUCGCCAAAGGCCAGUCAGGGAAGGUUUUUAUCGACCAAAAUAUAAUUUAGUUGGGAAAGAGAGAUUUUUACUGAUCAAAAAAUUGUUGGUCGGUAAUUAUAAACCUUUUCUUGACCAUUCAUUUGGUUGGUAAAUGUCUAAAGUAGUCGGUAAUAAACAAGUCAUGAGUAGUGGUAGUAAACAUAGACCGACCAUAGCGGUUGGUCGGGAAUAAUAUACAUUUGCCGACCAAAAAAUCAAGUGACAUUUACCGAGGGAGAGAUCAAGUGAAAUUGGUCAGGAACUGCUUUUUCUGAUUAUGGUUUCCCUCAAUAAUUGUGAUUUAUUUUAUUUUUUACAACCUUGUCCGAGAAUCAAAGUUAUAAGAAAGGUAGAAUGGCCAACUCGAAAAUAAUGUACCAAUAAAAGUUCAAAUUCAAGAAAUAUCAGAAAUUAGAAAACAAUAAUCACAAUAAAAAGCCUGUAGCAAAACAAUUGCAAGGCAAAAUACUAUAUCAUGUCUUUACCAGUCAAUUCCAAUUUCAGAAUAAGUAACUAUGUUACAUGCCCAAAAUAUAAUGGAUUUCAAAGUAAAGAGCCUAGUCAAAUUCAUAUAUAAGAGAAAGCUAGCUUAAUCCAAAAAUAAUAGCAUAUGUUAUAAUGGAGUAUUAACCAUCAAAAUAUAAAACCAUGUAAAUGGAAUAGAAGAGCUUUAAACUAAUUAUCAUCAUGUGACUCGUGAUCAGGUUAUGAUGGUGACGAAGACGAAUGAGGAUUAGUAAGAACUCUAGGGCUGCCUAUUCUAGCGAUGGCAACUGGCAUAAUCUCUUUUAACAAAGUGAGAUUACGCUCAUUUUGGCUCUGCAAAUUAUGCGUGACUUGGCGAACCUUGGCAUUCUCUCAUUGAGUCGUGUCUACACAAGAUGUAGCACGUUGAAUCUUUGGACCCCCAAGAAGUAGCUCUAAGGACCUGAGUCGAAAUGUCAUUAGCAGUGAGCUAUGCUCCUUGGAUCUCACUCUCCUCUCCCACAAUAUGUGCCUGUUGUGUUGUUUGUAUGUCUACCAUCUCUUUCUACAUGACAAUAGGAAAGUAUUAACACAAAUAAGGUAGUAAAAUAUUUAGUCCAUUAAACUUAAAGACUUACAUUAUUUGUUUAUUACAUGUUUCUCCUCAACCACAGGAUGGAUCCAGCCUUUUGUAUCCUUGUAAUGUGUGUUCUUCCAUAGCUGAAUUUUGUCUUGUCGUCCAGUUUCAUUAUCCUAUUAGAAGAAAUAAGAAUAAAAUUGAAUUGAAUUGAAAUUGUUUCCCAAUAGAGAUGAAUAUAUUUCUUCUUACUUUCCCCCAUAGCCUGACAUUGAAUAAAUGAUCUAGAACAAGAAAAAUGGGUAAAUUCUUGUCAGGAUCUAUUGUCAAUUGCUACCUUGGUCUUUUUUUGUAAUGUCCAAUUAACAGAACAAAGAAAGUCAAUGAACUAAAUAAUUAACAAUUGAACAUAAAUGGAAGUUAUACUAUAUAUAAAUGCACCUGAAACUGCUCACUUUCCCAAUAGUCACACAAAUAAUCCCAAUCAACCUGAUGUUGGAUUUCUUUAGGCUUAUUAGCUUUCCUAUGAGCCAUUGGUUGGUUUAGAAACUUCUUGUAAUGUGUGUGCAGCUCAUAGCAAAACUCCUUAAAGGAAGUGGCCAUUGAUUUCUCCAUGAACUCUUUGAGAGUCGCAUAUUUAUCAUAUUGUACAUCAAAAAUAGCCUAUAUAUAGCAACAUACCAUGACUGAAAACACAAUGACGAGCACAAAAUUCACAUAAAUAUAUUGGAUUAUGAAGUUGCUACUCCAAGCAACCAAAAUCAAAGUGCCAGAAAUUCAGAUCAUUCAAGAUAUGCAUACAUGUCAAUGAACAUAUGCAAACAUCCAAUAUUUUUAAUUAAGAUACCGACUUCUAAUCAUUUAGAGAACCUGUCAAUUUGAUACCUGGAAUACUAACUUGUUAUUAACUUUAUUCCUUUCUUCAACAAUGACAUGUUUAAAGAAAGAAAAAGAUGCAUACAAGUUGUACUAGGACAAGAAACAAAACAAGUUAAAACAAUAAUGUUACCUCCACUUUGUCAUAAAUAGGGGAUUUUUCAAAUUCAGACACGUCUUUUUAAAAGAUCUUUUGGAGAGGUGCAAAUAUUCUCACACCAGAUCCUAUCUCAGAUAGGAAUAGACUAGCAUUAGGACCAGUUGGUCUUCCAUCGCUAUCUUCAUACAUGAUUUCCAGCUUCCUAUGAGUGGCCUUGACUAUCUAGGAUGUGUCUAAGCCACAAGUACAACCACAUCACUUAUGCUUGAUUGGGAAUGCUGCAAGUGUUAAAACAAUAAAUGUUAAUAAGAAAAAAAGAUGAAGAAUUAAAUAACAAUUAUAGAACAACUUGUCUCUGUUGGCAAAGUGGCUUGUGCAGACUGCAUGGUAGGUGAAGGCUACGUGCUAGGUUGAGUGAUCGCCUGCGUGAUAGAACCAUUCAGAGGUCUUGGGGUGGUGGCUUCAUCUUUGGUUGCAUUGGAAUAACCUGUGUUGUUGACAGUAAAAAAAAAAAUUCAAUACGCAUAAAAUUAGUUUUUAGCACAUUGUACCAAUCAUGCAUUCGUGUCAAACAAAUAAAUUGUUGCUAAAAAUUUUAAUAUUCAACAACUACUUGCCACUACAUUUCUAGGUUCAUUUCUAGAAUGUAAACGGUUGUGUCAAAAUUUGCAACUACAUUUCUGGUCUGUAACAUAUGAUCGUUGUUUUGCUAGUCUAUUUUUAUUCUAGUACCGAGCCUGAGGCACAAAGAGCAAUAAAAGCUGAACUAAAGGAAUGAUGACGACUUCAUUCAUAAAAUGCAUGUACUCAAAUUUUGAAUCAUAUUUUACUAGCAAAGUACCAAAGAUUGCAUGAGCCUCAAAAAUAUAUUGUUUCAAUAUCAUGUUACGAAAAUUGACAGAGGGAAGAAUAAUAAAUAACAAGAUUUUUCAAUAAAUUUGGAUAAAGAAAGAUAAGAAGACAUUGCAGUAAAUUUUGAAUAAGCCCUCAUUAUUUCAUAGAUGAACGUGGAAAUUAAUAGAACAGUAAUUAUUUCUUAACAAAUGUGAUUCUUUUGUUUUUCUUAUGCAAUAGGGCCCUGAGAUGAAAACAUUUUAGAUAAGUCUUGAAGUGAUUCUCUUGUUUUUCAAAGAAUCACCUAUGGUAUUGGAGGAAUGACCAAGUAAACAAUAGUUUAUAUGCUCCCACAAAGUCUAAGAAUCCAUUCUUACAUCUAAAAAAUUCAAAAUAUAGUACAAAAUUAUUUCCACCCAUCACAUGAAGCAGUAACAAGCAGCCCACAGUUAAGACAUGUUUCCUAUCCCCCAUCUAAAUUAGUCUUCCCCCCUCCACUCUGAUUAAAACCAGAGCAUCUAAAACAUAUCCUCAAUAUAAUGCAAUUUGCAGUCUAGAAAAUCCUCCCAACCUUAAGUCAUGUACAGCAUUACCUGUCAAUCCCAUUCGAUGUUGACAAGUAGCUAUUAACAUAUAAAAACCUAUAUGUAGGAUUUUUUGAUUCAUGGCUAAAAUGUGCUCAAAUUGAGUCUGUAUCUCAUCUAGAUUAGGCAGAGCAUUCAUGAUAAGGAAAAGCACAGAAAGGAAUCUCAAAAAGGAUUUUUAACCAAUGAUAAGCAGUGCCCAUAGAGAACAACUCAAAAAGAAAACGAUAAUACAAAUUUACCAAACUGAUAAAAAAGCCAUACGAAGAAACUUACACCAAUAUUGAUUUGUAAGAUAAGAAGCACCAAUACCACCUGCAGAAAAAAUUAGCACAAAUAAGUUUCAAGAAAUACAAAAUGAAUAAGUGAAAAAUAAAAAAUCUACAUAGUGAGGUAAAAGUCAGGAAUUAAGGGUGGACGUUAAGAUAUAUACAGUAAUAAAACUACAAAAAAAAUUAAGAAAAUUGAAAACCCUACAAAAUAAAAAAAAUAAGUAAAUCAAACGUCUCCUUUUUCUAUCAACUAAACCAAACGUAUAACACAAAAUUUCGAAAAAUCCAGAUGUGAGUGUUGGGCAAAGAUACUGAGAGCACAAAGAGAAGAAAAUGGAAAAACUGAAAACUUAAUUUAAGAUUGAAAAUGGAGAAAGAAGGACAGCUCUUGGAAAUGGAGAGAAAACAACGGGUUACACUUGAAAAUAGAUAAAAAUGCACCGGACAACUUCAAGGCACUGAGAGAAAUGGAAAGGGCGGCUAAAGGAAAUUGGAAAUGGAGAAGACAACGUUAAUUUUUGGCCUAUGUAGUUUGGGUAAAUCCAAUUAAUUGUGGGCCCACAUAUCCCGCCACAAUUUUUGGCCCAGUCCAAGAUAUUUACCGACUACAUUUAUUUAGUCAGUAAAUAUUUUCGAGCCAUGACCCGCUAAAAAUAAAUCUUAGUUUGGCCAAUUGUUUUUAAUUUUUGUCAGCAAAUAUGUCUCAUUUUUGCCUACCAGUACAUAUUUUGGCCGGUAAAUACUAUUUUACCGACUAAUUAUACCUUAGUGGGAAAAAUUUGGUCGGCAAAAGACUUAUUGACUAAUGUUAUUGGGUCGGUAAAUGCUUGGUUGGUAACAAUAUUGCCAACUAUGUAUUUCUAUUGGUCAUUAUAAGAGCAUUUUCACCAACUAGAAUUUGGUUGGUCAGAGAAAGGUUGGUCGGGAAAGCUAUAUUUUCUUGUAUACAUCAUAGUGAUCCUCCUAUUUGACUAUUUCGACCAUUUUCGAGCACCUUAUAGUAUUUUCGAGGCUUACGAAUAUGCUAUUGUAUCCCCAUAAUUUCAAUUCACCAUGGGCACAGACACUAUUGCUAAGAUAAUAAUCUUUAUGCGAAUAGAUAGAAGAAAGCUUGAUACCUGACUUUAGUAGAAUGUAGGUCAAUUCUAUGUAAAUACAGAAUAAGUAUCUAAACAAUUUUUCAUUAUUUCAAAAUCCCAUGAAAUAUGCACACAUACAUGUGGCAUAUUGACAUAGCUUUAGGGGAUAGUAUGAGAAACUGAAAAUCGCCUACAAAUGCAAAAAGCUCUGAGUUAGUUUACCUUCAAGAAUCCAAUGAAUUCAAACUUUAAAAUUAAUAAUAUUUUAAGCAAGGGAGGUUUGUGUUAUUCGACAAUCUAAUAAACUUUAUAGGGAUAGGUAUGUGCGACUCAAACUUGAAAUAAGGGAGGUUUGUGUAUUUAUUGAAAACAAUUAAGAUUUCAUGUGAGAUAUCAAUUAUUCAAAAUUGAAAUAAGAAAGGUUUUUGUAAUUUUUUAACACAGAUGAUGUCUCUAAACUUGUUGAAAUCCUAAUUUUACAGCACUUGUUCUUGUCUGUAGCUUUCUCUAAGAGUGCGUUGCUAGGAAUGGCUCAGUGUCGGGUGGCAUGCUUCGCUAGGGACUUUGGAAAGAUGCAAUAUGGAAUAAAAUAUCUUCAUUUUCGGCUCCAAUUUUCUCAUUUCGCUAAUAUAUUAUUUUCUAAGUAUCUUAUUUAUUUUACUGUGAUGUAAAUUAAAAACAGAAAAUAGUUAAAAAUAAGAGUUGACAUAGGGAUGUGUUUUCAGAUAUAAAUUAAAUUUAGAAACUAAAAAAUGUAAAAAAAAAAGAGUCAAGGAAGGUUUGGAUUUUUAAUUACGAUAUAAGUGUAAGGACAUAAAAAUAAAGAUAGGUUGACGGGGAACGGGUCCUAGCCUCGAUUUCCCAAUCCUCUCUACGUCAAAGCCACCCACUAUUAGGAUAUUCGUGUUAAAACAAAAGUUUUGAGAAAGCUUUAUAAAUUCAAUUUAUUUAUUUAGUUACUAUUUUAAUUUAAUUUGUGUUAGUUAUAAUAUAAAAUAAUAUUAGUAUAAACUAUUAUAUUUUUCCAACUCUUUUACGUUGUUAUGUUAUUAUUUCAUUUUAACGGUAGCUACAAUGUCGAAUUACAAAGAGUAGUAUAUAUACUUGGGUUUCAAGAAUAAAUUUAACAAAUUCAUAUGACCUGGCAAGCCAAUCUUGCGAAACAACAAUGCAUAGGAAACCUAAGUUAAAACAAGAAAAAAACUACUUUGCCUAGAAAAACCUUACUAGCAAUACUAUAUGAAAUGUACAAAAUACAUAAAAACAAUUCAUUUCUUUUACCCAGACAUCACUCAUUUGAAGGUGGUCGGUGCACUAGCAUAUCAGAAACAUUGUGCAUAGUUGGCCGAUGUUGUGGAUUGGAGUGCAGGCAUUCAAUUGCAAGUUUAACAAUGGACAUCAAAAUCACCUCUUCUUCUCGAGUGGGAUAAAGAAUGCUUGGAUCCAACAGAUCUUACAUUCGUAAAUCUCCAUUUGAUAGAGUUGUUACGUAUUGAAUGUAUUCACCAGGAUGCUGUCCUUUGAUCACUUCCAAUGCUAACACUCCAAAGCUAUACACAUCACACUUUUCAGUAACCUUCAUUGUGUAUGCAAGUUCUGCUCAUAAAACAUGGAAAGAAUACAAUCAAAAUCAUGUACACAUAUUCCAUGAAUGAAAUUAAGGAAAAAAUAUAUUACCUGGAGCGAAAUAACCAUAUGUGCCCGCAAGAGAGCUGAAAUUCGAUGAAUCGCAUUUCAGAAACUUAGCAGUACCAAAAUCUGAAACAUGAGCCUCGUACUGUGAAUCAAGCAAAAUGUUGUUGCUGGAUAUGUCUUGAUGAACAAUUGGAGGAGAACAACUAUGAUGCAUGUAAGACAAAGCAUAAGCCACGCCCUUCAAGAUAUUAACCCUUUUAGGCCAAUCCAAUUUCUUGGCUUCUUCAUCGAUGCUUAAGGUUUUUGCCAAACUACCUCUAUCAAGGUAUUCAUAGACCAAAAGUGAGUUUUGAUCAUUUGAACAGAAGCCAUAAAGUUUCACAAUGUUUCGAUGCCUGAUUUCUGUCAAUGCUCUUAUUUCACUCAUGAAAGCUUCAAAGUUUGCCGUUUCAGAUGAUAAAUGAAGUCUUUUGACUGCUACUGUAAGCAUUUCAAAUGAGGAAUGAAGUCUUUUCCCUUCUAUUAUUUUUUCUAAUGAAAGUUGUGGCCUCUAAGAUGUCUUUAUACGUGAGUUUUCCAUCAAGUAUGGUGAGCAAAUCAUCAUCUCCUUUCAUUGGAUUCAUCUUUCUGCAUUUACACAUGAUGAGGAUCCCGAUGAAUGUAAAUAGAAGUAAAGGACAAAGAAGAGGGAUAACAAUUGUCAAAAUGAGCUUGUGCUCACUCCACAUCUUGUUUUUAACUCCAGAUAGGCUUUCACAUGGUUGUAAUCCUACAAUAUUGCCACACAAUCCUUUCUUCCCUUGUAGUUGUUCUAUAGAGACAUUUUGAAAGGCUCUGUCACUAGGAACUGGACCCUCCAACUGAUUAUAAGAUAUAUCAAUGUCCAUUGAGCCUGGCAUUUCUUCAAAACUCUUAGGAAUGAGUCCUAAGAGGUGAUUGUGGGAGAGGUUUAACAGUUCCAGGCUUGUCAAAAAUCGUAGUUCAGAUGGUAUUUCUCCGGUGAGUGGAUUAUUACUCAUAUCCAACUCAGAUAGAUGGAUUAACUUACCGAGCUGAUGAGGGAUUCUCUGGCUUAAAUAGUUGAAGCUCAAAUUCAAGUAAUGCAACUGCUCAGAGUUCGCUAAAUUUCCAUGUAUCUGACCUGUCAGUCCGUUUCUAGAAAGGUCUAGGUUUUCUAGAUGUGAAAGAGAUCCCAAUUCUUCAGGUAUACCUCUGGAAAGUUGGUUAUCCUCUAAAUAUAGAUUUAGAAGUAAAGUUAACUUUCCAAUUUCCUUUGAGAUCUCCCCACGUAACUUGUUUGAAGAAAGAUCAAGUGCAUGCAGUUGACUUAAACUUCCAAAUUCUGGAGGAAUGCUCCCAGUAAGGUUAUUCUUUGCAAUUUUCAGAGUUUGCAGCUGCUUGUUACUACCCCAGAUGCUGGAGAGUUCACCAUAGAAAUUAUUGCUACUUAGGUCCAUGAAGGUCAAAUUUGGAUAUACACCAAAUUCUUCGGAAAUAUUUCCGAAAAGCUGGUUGUGAUCAAUCCGAAGUCUAACUAAACUGGAGCAUUUUCUCAAUCUUUUAGGGAUUGGUCCUGAAAGUCUAUUGGAGCUCACUGAAAAUAUUUCCAAUACUCUUCCACCACAAAAUUCUGGCAAAUCACCUGAAAAACGAUUAGAGAACAUAGUCACGUUGACCAAUUUCUUCAAUUUCCCUAGUUCACUUGGAAUAGAACCAGAUAGUUGGUUUUGAGAUAGACCAAAAAUUUUUAAAUGGCCGAGGUUCUCAAAUGGAACCGAGAUUUUACCUGUGAGAUAAUUAGUGCCCAAUCCUAGCUCCUGGAGUGAUGUCAACUUUCCCAACUCGAGAGGGAUGGGACCAGAAAGUUGAUUCUCAAAGAGAUACAGAAUUCUUAAACUAGUUAAUCCACUCAACGAAGUAGGAAUUUGACCUGUGAGAUUAUUCAUGCUCAAUUCUAGGUCCUGAAGUGAUGUCAGCUUUCCCAACUCGGGAGGGAUGGGACCAGAAGGUUGAUUCUCAUAGAGAUACAGAAUUCUUAAACUAGUUAAUCCACUCAACGAAGUAGGAAUUUGACCUAUGAGAUCAUUAGUGCCCAAUCUUAGCUCCUGGAGUGAUGUCAACUUUCCCAACUCGGGAAGGAUGGGACCAGAAAGUUGAUUAGUAUUGAGAUACAGAGUUCUUAAACUAGUUAAUCCAUUCAACGAAGUAGGAAUUUGACCUGUGAGAUCAUUAGUGCCCAAUCCUAGCUCCUGGAGUGAUGCCAACUUUCUCAACUUGGCAGGGAUGGGACCAAAAAGUUGAUUCUCAAAGAGAUACAGAAUUCUUAAACUAGUUAAUCCACUCAACGAAGUAGGAAUUUGACCUGUGAGAUUAUUCAUGCUCAAUUCUAGGUCCUGAAGUGAUGUCAACUUUCCCAACUUGGGAGGGAUGGGACCAGAAAGUUGAUUCUCAUAGAGAUACAGAGUUCUUAAACUAGUUAAUCCACUCAACGAAGUAGGAAUUUGACCUGUGAGAUCAUUCGUGCUCAAUAUUAGGUCCCGGAGUGAUGUCAACUUUCCCAACUCGAGAGGGAUGGGACCAGAAAGUUGAUUUUCAUAGAGAUACAGAGUUCUUAAACUAGUUAAUCCACUCAACGAAGUAGGAAUUUGACGUGUGAGAUCAUUCGUGCUCAAUAUUAGGUCCUGGAGUGAUGUCAACUUUCCCAACUCGGGAGGGAUGGGACCAGAAAGUUGAUUAGUAUCGAGAUACAGAGUUCUUAAACUAGUUAAUCCACUCAACGAAGUAGGAAUUUGACCUGUGAGAUCAUUCGCGCUCAAUUCUAGGUCAUGGAGUGAUGUCAACUUUCCCAACUCGGGAGGGAUGGGACUAGAAAGUUGAUUAGUAUGGAUAUACAGAGUUCUUAAACUAGUUAAUCCACUCAAUGAAGUAGGAAUUUGACCUGUGAGAUCAUUCGUGCUCAAUUCUAGGACCUGGAGUGAUGUCAACUUUCCCAACUCGGGAGGGAUGGGACUAGAAAGUUUAUUAGUAUUUGAUACAGAGUUCUUAAACUAGUUAAUCCACUCAACGAAGUAGGAAUUUGACCUGUGAGAUCAUUCGCGCUCAAUUCUAGGUCAUGGAGUGAUGUCAACUUUCCCAACUCGGGAGGGAUGGGACUAGAAAGUUGAUUAGUAUGGAUAUACAGAGUUCUUAAACUAGUUAAUCUACUCAAUGAAGUAGGAAUUUGACUUGUGAGAUCAUUCGUGCUCAAUUCUAGGUCCUGAAGUGAUGUCAACUUUCCCAACUCGGGAGGGAUGGGACCAGAAAGUUUAUUAGUAUGGAGAUACAGAGUUCUUAAACCAGUUAAUCCACUCAAUGAAGUAGGAGUUUGACCUGUAAGAUUAUUCGUGAGGUUCUGGAGUGAUGUCAACUUUCCCAACUCAGGAGGGAUGGGACCAGAAAGUUGAUUAGUAUCGAGAUACAGAGUUCUUAAACUAGUUAAUGCACUCAAUGAAGUAGGAGUUUGAUCCACUCAAUGAAGUAGGAGUUUGACCUGUAAGAUUAUUCGUGAGGUUCUGGAGUGAUGUCAACUUUCCCAACUCGGGAGGGAUGGGACCAAAAAGUUGAUUAGUAUCGAGAUACAGAGUUCUUAAACUAGUUAAUCCACUCAAUGAAGUAGGAAUUUGACCUGUGAGAUUAUUCGUGCUCAAUUCUAGGUUCUGGAGUGAUGUCAGCUUUCCCAACUCGGGAGGGAUGGGACCAGAAAGCUGAUUAGUAUGGAGAUACAGAGUUCUUAAACUAGUUAAUCCACUCAAUGAAGUAGGAAUUUGACCUGUGAGAUCAUUCGUGCUCAAUUUUAGGUCCUGGAGUGAUGUCAACUUUCCCAACUCAGGAGAGAUGAGACCAAAAAGUUGAUUAGUAUGGAGAUACAGAGUUCUUAAACUAGUUAAUCCGCUUAACGCAGUUGGAAUUUGACUUGUAAAUUGAUUGUUUGAUAAAUCAAGAUUGUUGAGUUUGGAGAGUUUACCUAUUUUUGUUGGAACAGUUCCUGUAAACUGAUUGGUUGAUAAAUCAAGAUAGACAAGUUUGGAGAGUUUACCAAUUUGAGGUGGAAUGGUGCCAAAAAGAUGAUUGAUUGAGAGAUCUAUAUAAGAAAGACUUGGGAAUGAUGAGAAUGGAAACUCAUAGAAGAAGGCAUGAAUGCUUGCAUUUGUGACGUUCAGCCUAUUAACACUUCCGUCAAUGCAAUAAACUCCAAUCCAAUUGCAUGGACUGGAACUUGUUUUUGGAUAGCUAGAAAAAUUGGUGGAAUUCUUGGUUUCAAGAUUCCAUGAUUUUAAUAUCGAGCUGUUAUGAUUUAUAAAAUUGGCUUUCCAUUUCAGUAGAGCAUUAGCUUCAGCAAAAGAAGUAGAAGCGGGUUCAACAAAAGUAAGGAAGAAGAAAAAUGUGAAACUGGAGUAUUUUUGCAUGGUUGUAGUAGGAUUUCUGUACAAAUUAUCAUGCUGCAAAAGUUCAAUUUAUAGAUUCAUAAUUUGGAGGGAAAAUAAUUAGUACUUGUUGUGCUAAUUAAAGACUUCAUAAGUCAAGAUUUGUCUUUUAGAGUAAAUAUCAUUCUUCAUUAUCAGUCAUUGUUGGUGAUUAAUUCAAAUUACAACAUCCAGUUAAGAUGACUUGACCAAAUGAUUAUUACUUAAAUCACAUCGUACUAUUGAAUAAAAACCUGUGGUUAGAACUUGUUGAAAAUAUUUAUAUGAAUCUCAUACAAAAUAUAUAUGGAUUUUUAUUUAUAUAUUGUUACAUAAAGAGCUUACAUAUUGAAAUUGUUAUCUCACGAAUACAAGUUGUAACAGACAAAGUUGAGAAAAUAAAUAGAGAAAAAUUAACUUUUAUUCUUAAUUAUCCAUACAGAUUAAAAAUAAAAAAGUAGAUCUAGUUAUGUGAUUGUAAAACUGAUCACUUAGUUUCAGAAUUACAAAUUCAAUAAUAUAUAAAUAUUGCUAUGCAAAAAUAAAGGUAGGUGGAAAAAAAAAGCCUGCGCCAAAAAUAAGUUAUUGAUUUCACGAAUUUGAUUGUUUUUCUCUCUAACUUUUUCAUUUAACUUAAUUUUAAUACAUAUUAAAAUAUUGUGUAAAUAUUUAAUGAGGUUCGCCGUCUAUUAAAGUUUUUGUCUGUAUAUGUGAUUUCAGAGUUUUUUCUCUUUGAUAACUUAGGUGUCCAAGUUUCACUCGACUAAUCUUGGGGAGUGGUGGUCUUUCCAUUGACUAGGCACCUGGGUAAUUCAUAUACGGUCACACUUUAUACACACUUGGAUUAAACAUUCGGAAUGCAAUUUUUCUUCUUGUGGACCUCGGAGAGAUAUAGCGUGCAUCAUAACUUUGCCUCUAUAUGACAUUUAUGUGAUCUCACUUUUUAUUGGUAUUAGAGGUGGACAUAGUAAAAAUUAGGAAAAUUUAUAGUAGAGGUAUCAAUCCUUUAAAAUUGUGUAGUUAGAUCCCAAACCUUUUAGUCUUAGCACCUAUAUCCUGAACUCUUUAAUAUAUGUGCACAAGAAGAAUCAUUAACGGUUUACAUCCAAAAACAUGUUAGUUCAUCGAAAGUCAAAUGAUUUACUUUAAUUUUAUUAACUUAAUGCAAGGUGAAUUGGUCUUUUUACAUUUAAUUAACUACAAAAAUUUUAAUAAUUGUAAAAAAAUAAAUAAAUAAAUUUUAUUAACAUACAAUGCUCAUAUUGUACUAUAGUUUCUCAGUUUUUAUACAAAAUAAUUUUCAUUGUCCACGUGUCAACAAUGCAAUUUUCUUUUGGCAAGAAUAUCGUACAUCAAGAAAACCCAUCUUGGAUAUAUUAUGCAAGUGUAUCUCUUACUAAAGAAAAAAGAUAAGAACUUAAACGAAAACAUUGAUGCAAACAUAUAGUAAAAGAAAUUUAGUACUACUCAAUUUAAUUGAUUUGUAAAUUCAAUCACUCACAAUAAUUUUAGGCACACAUUCAUAACUACUAACAUUGUUAUCCAUAAAUUUCUUGGGAUCCACUAAUAUUUCUCUUUAUAAACUGAAGCAGGUGUUAAUAUAAACGUUGAUUUUGUUUGGAACUCUUGCCAAUUUUUCUAAAAUUGAACUGAAUCUUUAUUCUUCACCCUAGUUUGGCACUAAUAUUUCAAAAUUUAAUUUUCCCAACUAGUUUUCAAUCACACAUGAUACCACAACUUUUCAACCACAUAAUUUAUUAGUUUUCUCAAAAUUUAUUGAAAAUCUAAUUUAUAUCUAAACCAAAUUGGAGCCACACCAUUUUAAACGAAAACAUCAAUGCAAACAUAUAAUAAAAGAAAUUUAUUGCUACUCAAAUGAUUUGUAUAUUCAAUCAUUCACAAUAAUUUUAGCCACACAUUCAUAACUACUAACAUUGUUAUCCAUAAAUUUCUUGGGAUCCACUACUAUUUCUCUUUAUAAACUGAAGCAGGUGUUAAUAUAAACGUUGAUUUUGUUUGGAACUCUUGCCAAUUUUUCUAAAAUUGAACUGAAUCUUUAUUCUUCACCCUAGUUUGGCACUAAUAUUUCAAAAUUUAAUUUUCCCAACUAGUUUUCAAUCACACAUGAUACCACAACUUUUCAACCACAUAAUUUAUUAGUUUUCUCAAAAUUUAUUGAAAAUCUAAUUUAUAUCUAAACCAAAUUGGAGCCACACCAUUUUUUAAUUAGCAACCACCUUUUUUUGGUCUUUACAAUAUUCCCAUUGCAAAUCUUAGAAAACAUACCCUAUCUCCAUUACCGUUUGAGAACUUUUUUUCUUGCUUUUGUUUUGUUUUGUUUUUUUCUUUUGGGGAGAAAUGUGUUUCGAAAUAGUAAUUUUUUUUAGAGAAUAUAUAAUUAAAAACUAGAAAAAAAAUUUGAAUUUGCAUAUAGAAUUAUUUUAUGAAAGAAUGUGCUAUUAAAAAUGAGUUUUGAAAAUAAUAAUAACAAAAUUUGAACAUCAAACAUGGGCUAAGUCGAGUCUCGAUCAAUCCACAAUUGAGUUUACUGGCCGCCUUUUGCAGUUGAAAACCGGUAAGUUUUAUUCCUGUGCAUAUUGAUCUCUUAUUUCAAUAUUUUGUUCAACCAAAGUAUUUAAAUUUUGCAAUUUAGGUCAUUCAACUUUAAAAAUUCGUAUCUUGUCCCUGAAUUCCAGAUUUCUUCAAUUUCGUUCAUUUUUUUGUCAAUUACCAUUCAUUUUCAUCCGUUUUCAUCCAACAACAAAAUUUCUCUUAAAAUAAUCAAGAAACAAAUAAAGUUAAGUAUGUCAUUCAUAAAUUACUCUGAAAUAUCAAUUUAGAUGGCCAAGAUAAGUGUUUAAACUUAUCAAACACUCCAAACUUAAUUCAUAUGUUGUCAAUCAAUAGAGCACCACAAAAGCUCAGAAAAUAGAAAUUAAAUUUAAAAAAAAAAAGGAAUUUAAGAAUCGUCAAAUAAGUGUCGGAUAAUGCAGUUGACCUUGAAAAUUGUAGAAUCUUUUAAUUUUCCUUUCUCCUCUUUUAAAGGAUCUCUCGGUCUAGGUGCCAAUUUUACUUCAAUUAAGAUUAUAAAAAACAUUAAAAAUAAUUUAUAAGAAACUACAAUCAAGAUCCCAAUUAAAUCAAAAUACAAAUAAACAUGCUAUUAAAACUGUAAUUUAUAGAUUCAUAAUUUGGGGAAAAUUAUGAUUUUUGGUGUACUAAAGACUUCACAAGUCAAGAUUUGUCAUUUAGGAAUUAAGUAUAUAGUUAAAUUUCACAUGGGUUAAGGUUUCAAUUGUCAUCAAUCAUUCUUGGUUUAGAAAUUAUUCAUUAUUCUCAACAUUAGGGGGCAUUAACUUAGAUUGCAAUCUCCAGUUUGGAAAUUAUCAUGCUAUGAAAGUGUAAUUUAUAGAUUCGUAGUCGGAAAAAAAAAAUCUUCUUAAGAUUUUUGGCAUUCUAAAGACUUCAUAAGUCAAAGUCUUUUAGAGUAAAUAUCAUUCUAUGCAGUCUAUCGUUUCUUGUAUAAAUCUCAUCGGUUAUGGUUCCAAUCAAUAUCAAUCAUUGUUGGUCAUUAACUCACAUUGGAAUCUCAAGUUACGUAGGCCUUGACCAAAACUUCUUGAAGAUAUUUAUAUGAAUCUUGAUAUAUAUGUGGAUUGUAAUUUAUGCAUUGUUACGUAAAGAACAUAUAUUGAAAUUGAAAAAUGAACUUUUAUUGAUAAUUAUCUAUAUAAAUUACAGAACCACAAAGUAGAUUAAGAUACACAGCCAUAGAAUUGCUCCCUUGGUUUUAGAAUUAAAAAUUCAAAAUAUUUAAAUAUUGCUAUGUGAAAAUAAAUGUAGUAUAAAAAAAAAUGCUUGAGGGAAAAAUAAAUUAUUGAUUUCGAUAAUUUGAUUUUUUUUUUCACUCUAUCUUUUUCAUUUAAUUUAAUUUUAAUAAAUAUUAAAAUGUUGUAAAAAAUAUUUUAAAGGGGUUCACCAUCUAUUAAAACUUUUAAUCUUAGCACCUAUAUCCUAAACCUUUUAAUAAAUGUGCACAGAAAGGACCUUCAAAGGUUUACAUUCAAAAGCAUGUUAGUUGAUCAAAAGUCAAACGUUUUAUCUUAAUUUUAUCAAUUUAAUGCAAGAUAAAUAGGUCCUUUUACAUUUAAUUAAUUAAAGAAAUUUUUUUUAAAUAAAAAAAAAAAUAUAUCAUCUUCCUAAUUCGACCUAACCACAAACCUCGACAACCUACCCCCAACCCUAUACAGUCACCAUCCUCAAAUCCCUACUCCAUCGACACCAUCAUUAUCAAACACACCCACACCUUCCACCAUCACCUCUACCAUCUACACACUAAACUCAAUGGCCUACUCAAUCACAGAAGUGUAUUGGCGCUGCCACUACCACCCACAACCAUCCUCCAUUAAAACCUGCCAAAAAUCGCAGAAACUAAAAAUAAAAUAAAAAAUUGGAUCCAAAUUCUUUUCUCAGAUCCUAAAACUCCAGUAUGUUCAUUUUCGAUCCAAUCGAGAUUUUUAUUUGUAAGAUUUUUAAUUUAGUAAUGGGUUUCCCAACAAAACGAAAUGUUUGAUACUAUAGUUUCUUGACUGAACCAAAUCGAUGGGAAAUCUGGUUUAUCAACUUGAAUAAUCUACGUCAAGUAAGAGAGAACCAAACUCGAGGGAGAAAAUUCUGGCUUUAUAUAUUUAGAACUUUAAAUUCGGAUUUCGCACAUGAAAAACAUCGGAUAAGAGAUAACCAGAUUUUAUGCAAGAACAUCUGGAAGAUUUCUACCCUAUAUUUUAUACCUAAACCUGAGGAGAAAUCCUUCAGUUGUUGGCAGUCCAAGCUUGACAUGGUGCUAGCAAAGCUCAUCAAUUAUUGCAUUCGCCACUAUGAACUCCAUCAAUUUGGUGUGGAUAGGAUGAGUUUGGUGGGGGUGGGAUAAGGAUGGGGAUGAGGGGACAAAUUUUGUGGCGGUUUCCAUAACUUCGACCUUGCUACAUGUACAUCAACUCUUUUAGUCAAUCAUUUCUAUAGCUAAUGGGUUAAAUAAUGUAACAUGUCAUUUAUCAUUUGUCAGUCUAAAAUACAGUAACUCUUUUAUUCAACAUUCUUCCUUCACAUCAUUUCAUGUAAUUCCUUAUGUACCAUUUUUAUGUAUAAGUAAUAUAAUCCUUGAGGGGUUGCUUGGGUUGUGAUUGGGUGCGAUAGGGAAUUUGAAUUUUUUGCCUUUUAGUUAUUUUCUUAAUUAUUUUUUUAAUUAAAUGUGAAAAUCCACUUUCCCUGCACUAAAUUGAUCAAAUUAAGGCUAUACAUUUGACUUUUGGUCAAUGAAAAAUUUUGGAUAGAAACCAUUAGAUGCCUUUUUGACGUACAUUUAUUAAAAAUUUAAUGUAAGUAUUAAGAAAAAAAUGUUUUGGACUUGAGUAUAUAGUUUUUAAAAAAUUAGGACCACCAUUGCAAAUUUUUUUAAAAUUUGAUGCACCCAAAGUAUGAAAUGGUGGCCAAUAUGAUCUUAGGAGCACUGCAAUUUACUUUAUGGUUUCAAUUGUUAUCAAUCAUUGUUGGUUUAGAAAUUAUUUAUUAUUCUCAGCAUUAGGGUCAUGAACUCAGAUUCCAAUCUCCAGUGUGGAAAUUAUCGUGCUAUGAAAGUGUAAUUUAUAGAUUCACAGUUUGAAGAAAACGAAAAACAAAAAAAAUAAUAAAAUAAUAAAAUAAAGGGCACCUUAAAGACUUCUUAAGAGUUUUGGCAUUCUAAAGACUUCAAAAGUCAAAGUCUUUUGGAGUAAAUAUCAUUCUAUGCAGACUAGAUUCAUAUACAUCUAUUGCUUUUUUGUAUAAAUAUAUAGUUAAAUUUCACGUCGAUUUAGGUUCCAAUUGUUAUCAUUCAUUGUUGGACAUUAACUCACAUUGGAAUCUCAAGUUAGGAAGACCUUGACCAAAACUUCCCGAAAAUGUUUAUACGAAUCUUGUAUAGUAUAUAUGUGGAUUGUAAUUUAUGCAUUGUUACAUAAAGAACAUAUAUUGAAACUGAAAAAUGAACUUUUAUUGAUAAUUAUCUAUAUAACUUACAGAACCACAAAUUCAAAAUUGCUCCGAAUUACAAAUUCAAAUUAUUUAAAUAUUGCUAUAUGAAAAUAAAUGUAGAAAAAAAAAAGCGAAAAAAAAUGUAGAAAAAAAAAAGCCUAAGGAAAAAAUAAAUUAGUGAUUCCACGAAUUUGAUUGUUUUUUUCACUCUAACUUUUUCAUAUAAUUUAAUUUUAAUACAGAUUAAAAUGUUGCAAAAAUAUUUUAAAGGGGUUCACCAUCUAUUAAAACUUUUAAUCUUAGCACCUAUAAUCUAAACAUUUUUAUAAAUGUGCACAUUAGAUUUGAAGCACGUUAACAACGGAACCGCGCUUAUUUUAAAUAAGUAGUUUUUUUUUUUAAUCUAAUACAGAAUAUUUGACUAGAAAAGUUGGGUUCAUGAUUUAUACACAAUGAACUUACAAGCCCUAGCAGAGUGUAAUUUCCUCUUCUCAUCACUGACAUUACAGUCACGAGAACUUUAGUUAUGAUUAUUUGAAAUGGUCAUAAAUUCAGAUAAUCAUAGAUAAGAUUCUCAGUCAAAUCAUGUUAGUUUAUCAAAAGUUAGACAUCUUAUCUUAAUAUUAUCAAUUUAAUGCAAGAUCAAUAGGUCCUUUUACAUUUAAUUAAUUAAAACAAUUUCAAAACAAAAUAUAAAUAAUAAGGGGAAAAAAUAAAAAAAUAAAAAUCAUCUUUUUAAUUCCCCCUAACCACAAACCUCGACAACCUAUUCCAACCAUAUACAUUUAUCAUCCUCAGAUCCCUACUCCGUCAACACCAUCAUUAUCAAACACACCCACGCCUUCCACCAUCUACACACUAAACUUAAUGGCCUACUCAAUCACAAAAGUGUAUUGGCGCUGCCACUGCCGCCCCCACAACCAUUGACCUUUAAAAACCUGCCAAGAAUCGCUGAAACUAAAAAAAAUAAAAAAAAAUUGGAACCAAAUAUUUUUCUCAGAUCCUAAAUCUCCAGUUUGUCCAUUUUCGAUCCAAUCGAGAUUUGUAUUUAUGAGAUUUUUAAUUUAGUAAUCAAUUUCCUGAAAAAACCAAGUGUUUGAAACUAUAGUUUCUUAACGAAACCAGAUCGAUGACAAAUCUGGUCUAUCAACUCGAAUAAUCUACGUCAAACAAGAGAGAACCAAACUCGAGUGAGAAAAUUCUGGCAUUAUAUAUUAGAUCUUUAAAUUUUGAUUUUGCACAUGAAAACAUCAGAAAAUAGAUAACCAAAUUUAUGCAAGAGAAUAGAAAAUAAUACUUAUUAGUGCUGAUUUAUACGUAACACCAAAUUAUUAUUGAUAUUUCACUAGUUUUCUUAAAAAUGUGUUUAUGUGAUGGCAUCAUCUUGGUGAGAGGCACAGACAAAAACUUUUACCUUUGCACUAAGAGUGAAUUAACAAUAAACUGCUAAGUUGAAUUUAAUCGUGCCUAGGCACAUAGCCUAGAUGUGAUUUAUUAGUGUUUUAGAUUUUUUUUUAAAUUUCCCAUUUUUUUCGAAAACCUCUUAUUUGAUUUUAAUUUAAUAACUUAUUUAUUUAUUUUAUUUAUUAAAAGAUAUUUAUUUGACUUCAAUUUGAAUUUUUUAGUUGACUUGUACAAAAAGAUAAAAUGACUUCAUCCAAUAAAAAUUAGAAGAGAUUCAGGUUAGGGUGCUAUCAUAAUAUGUAAUUAUGAUUUUGAAACGUAUCAUAAUGCUGAAAACAUCAAAAGUAUGCAUAAAAUUUUUAUAAAUCUAUUAAGUAAGACUUGUCAAGUUGAAAUUAUGGAAAAUCGUCUAAUAUUUACAUUUUGAAAACUUAAAAGUUGUAUAAUUGUCUAAUUGUAGAAAUUUUUAAAUAAAUACAUUAUUUUAUAAUCUUAAAUGUUUGGUGUGUAUUAUUUUAAUUAAUAAAUGAUUUUUUGAAUGAUUAAGUAUUUAGAGGUUGUUUGAGCCCCCUUUUUUCGUAAAAAUGCAUUUUGAAAUAGUAUUACGAUGGAGAAUAUGUGGUUAAAACAAUUUGGAUUUAUGUAUAAUAUUAUUUUUAUUGGAAAAUAUAUUGUUGAAAUGAGGUCAAAUAACAGUUAAAUAAUGUGUUUUGAUGAAAAAAUGGGGCUCAAACAAAGGCUUAAAAUAAUAAUAAUAAUCAGUAACAUGUUUUUUACUCCUAGAUUCGUAAAACUUAAAACUUGACUUCCACGUCUAACCACGCUUUAUGUUUUUUAAAACACAAUAUUUUAUUUACCAUGUGAUAAGCAUUGUAAUCUUUUCCCUCUACAUAUGAUUAAAUUUUAAUUCACAUUGCACGUGAUAUUAUAAUGAUGUUGUGACUUUUUUUCUUCCAAAAAAAAAAAACGUUUAAAGUAAUUGGAUGAACUCAAUUCAUAUCAAAAAGCAUAAAAUAAAAGACUGAAUAGUAUCAAUUAGUUGUCUAAUUCUCGUUAUGAAACUCAAUUUCCUUUUUUCCCCAUAAAUUCAAUUAAUUAAAUUUAUUUUCUCGAUUAAGAUUAGACAUUUACAAUUUCUUAGAAGCGAGAAAUAAUGAAGUUGAAUUGAAAAUAACUAACAGAGUAAUUUAUUUAUUUAUAUUUAAAUUUGAAUUGUAAACAAAGAGAAUAAUUUAAAUUUUAUUGUUAAGGCUAAGUGAUACUAAAAAACUUAAGUACAAUCUCAAGUGACCACGUUGAAGGAGCUAAAAUAGUGUUAUAAGACCUUCAACCCACCAGUCUCCAAACGCCACUAAAAGAAGGGAUUGUUUUCCUUCAAACAUCUUCAUUGAUACGCUGGGACUUUGUAAAAGUCACAUCAUAUACAUACACUAUUAACAUACAAAACUCUUAUACUAUAGCUUCUCAAUCUGUAUAUAAGAUAAGUUUCAUUCUCUAUGUGCCAACAUUGCAAUUUUUUUUUUUCAGCAAGAACAACAUACAUUAAGAACCUCAUCGUGAAUAUGUUAUUCAAGUGCAUCUCUUACUAAAGAAAAAUAUAAGAAUCUAAACCAAAACAUUGAUGCAAACAUAUAUUAAAAGAAAUUAUCUCCCAUUCAAAUUUAUGAAUGAUUUAUCAAUUCAAUCACUCAAACAAUUCAACCACACAUUCAUAACUACUAACAUUAUUAGCCAUACAUUUCAUAGGAUCCACUAUUAUUGCUCUUUAUAAACCAUUUAUAAAUUUGCCAAGCCGAUGUUAAUAUAAAUGUUGAUUUCAUUCAAAACUCGUACCAAUUUUUCUAAAGUUGAACUGAGUUUUUAUUCUUCACCUUUGUUAGGCCCUUAUUCUUCAUAAAACUCGUUUUUAACUACACACUUCAUGAGACUCAUAACUUUUCAAUUACGCGAUUCCUCAAUUAUAUCAAAAUCUAUUAAAAUUCUAAUUUAUAUCUAAACCGAAUGGGAGAUUCAAUUUUCUCCUUUUUAAUUAGCAAUCGCCUUUACUUUUGUCUUUAAUUAGAAAGUCUGGAUCAUUUUGUAGUGACCCGGAUGCUAUCGACUCAUCAGAAGAUGAGGAAAUCAAUGCAAAUAAGGUCGAGCAUAUCGUUCAUGAAAUUUGUUUUCCAACUGGGGACUCUUUACUUGCUGGAAGCCCCUAAAAUAGAAAAUUCAGUUCAGGAUAGUAGCAAUGCUGUGAAAAACCCCAAACAGAAAAGGAUUUUGGGCAUAAAUCUGAGCUCCAUUUCGGGGAAAUGUAGAGGUGUGUGACAGCGUAAGUGGGGCAAAUGGGCUGCGGAAAUUCGUGAUCCCUUCAAAGGAAGAAUAGUACGUAUAACACUGCUGAAGAAGCAUCGAGGACAUACGACAUGAAACGACUAGAAUUUGAGGAUUUGGCUAAGGCUAAUAGGCACAACCACCAUUCUUACAAAGGUGGGGUCCAAGAUUAUUUUAAUUGCGGACCCCACCUAUUGCAUGUGUGUGCGCUGUAAACCAUGCUGUGAAAAUUGAUGUACCCAUAGCAUGUUUCUUUUUAGAUCUAUAUUUACCACAUCACCAUUAUUCACAUAUCAAGUGAUAAUAUAAAAUAAAAUUUAUUAAUACUGACAAACAAAUUAUUAUUGAUAUAUCAUUAUAUAAUUUACCAAGUGAUGAGCAUUGUAAUAAUUUUCCUCUACAUAUUAAUGCAUAGUGCAUUGACAACGUAAUGAUGUACAGAUAUAUUUUAUCCGAAAAAUAUGUUUUAAAGAGAAUGCAUGACAUUUGUCCAAAUUGUCCCUAUAAAUAUUUCAUAUAAAAAUUAGAUAUUGGAAAGAAUACUAACAGGGAAAGCACUCUGCUGGGUCGACACUGACACUGACACUGACACUGAGAGACGAAAGUUAGGGAAGCAAGUGGGAUUAGAGCAUAGAAUCAAGAUUGAAUACUCUCAAGUCACCUAAUACCACAAAGAUUGAAUACUCUCACGUCACCUAAUGCCACAAAAUGGGACAAAGGGAGAACCGAGUUAAUCCAUAUAAAUGGGCCAUCCAUCUAGUGAUUGGGUUAUGAGCAACUAUUACUUAGAAUAUUGCAUCAAAUGGCCCACUUAAUUUUUCGGAUCUAGCUACAAACAAUGGUGUUGAUUUCAUAUUUCAAUCCUUGACCAAAGUCUAUAGACAAAUCUAAAAUCAAUCAACAUCAUCGCCUAGAAAUUUAUUGGGUAUUAACAAAAACUAAUAGGUAGACUCGUAUCCUUUCUAGUAUCCUACCCCACUGGCCAUUUUCAGGACACAGGAUGCGGAAGUGAUUUAAAAAUUUCUCAAAUCUUAUUUAAUAUGUUUACUUAUGCCUAACUAUUCAGGUUUGGGCGGAAGUAGAGCGUUUUGCCAUCUUGACUUCGAAAGUUUACAAGUUGAAUUCUGGAUUAGGUUUGAUGUAAUCAAUUGCAAGAGUAAGGGUUUUGGACAGGUUAAGGUAAAAACAAAAAAGUUCUUUGAAUUUUCAUCUUGAAAUUAUCCAUUCAACACUUGGUUAUGUAAUGGACAAUCUUUCUUUAUGAAGAUUUGACAAUUUAGCAGAAUUAAAUAUAUUUUUUUCACUCCUCCCACUGGUAAAAAACCUUAAAAAUUCAUAGGAAUUUAAUUAUUUGUGCUCACAUUUCAAUUUAGCCACUAUUCUUUAAUUUAUCCUAAAAAGGUCACCGAACUUUAUAUGUUGUUUUAAGCUAGUCAUUCUGUUAUUUCCCUUAGUUAAAGCCAUAAAGAUUAAUAGCAACAAAUAGAAUGACUUAAUUGAUAUUAAUCGUAAAGUUGAUUGACCCUUUCUGAAAUUACUCUGAAAUAUCAAUUCUGAUGGCCAAGAUAAGUGUUUACACUUAUCAAAGAACUACUAACUUAAUUCCUAUAUUGUAAUCGAUGUAGCACUAUAAAAGCUCAAAAAAUAGAAAUUAACUAAAAGAGAGUUUUCGACUUGUCAAAUAAGUGUCAAAUGAUGAAGUCGGCAUUGAAAAUUGUAGAAUCUUUUCAUUUUCCUUUCUAUUCUUCAAAGGGUCUCUCAUUCUAGGUGUUGAUUUUUCUUAAAAUUAAGAUUAUAAUCAACACUAAAAAUAAUUAAUAAGAAAUUACUAUCAAGAUCUCUAUUUGAUCAAAAUUCAAAUACAUCAACUACGUACCCCAUCUAUCUCAAUUCAAUUUAAAAAAGUAUAGAAGAGUUUGAAGAUAAAAAUUCACUACUACAAGCAAUAAUAUUUUAGAGUGAAACUUGAACUCUUCGUUAUUUUACAACCUUUAAUGUAUUGUUGAUGAAAUAAAUUUAAUCAUAUCAAUAUAAAUUGAUUUUACUAAUUGUUACGUCAAUAAUAUGUAGUUUUUGUGGCUAAGUCAGGAGGAAUUAACAAAAAAAAUUCAGAUUGUACUUGUAGCGUUCAUUUGUGUUCUAUUUUCGGCAUAAAAUUGAUUUUACCUUCCUAGAGUAAUUGAAUUAGAUACUUGAUUAACAAAGAUGUGUAUGAUAUAUAAUUAAACUUGUAGAUCUAAGAAUUGAAGCCUAGACCUACAAGAAUUUAACUAGAAAGGUAAUAUUGAAAAGUAUAGAAUAGUUGAUUCUAGUGAGUUAUAAAUUUCACGUCAACUAAAUAACAAAAUAUAAGAAUAUAGAAUAUUUCCCUUAAACAAAAUUUACCUCUUAUAGUGGAAUUUAAAGUCUGAAUACAAUACAAGUGUCCAGUAAGCUUAAAUAACCAUUUCGUUCCUAUUAAGAUUCAUAUUAAGCACACUAAUUUAGGAUUGACAUUCUCAAACAAGUCUUCAUCGGGAGCAUGUUAGUGUAAAUCUCACAUGGAAUUAAAAUAAAUUAACAUGCAAUGUAUUAUUGAAGAUAAUAUGUAAAUGAUAUAUGUAGUAUUAUCUAACAGCUUUUCAAGUGGUCCAAUAUCAAGAUCGUGAAGUAGGAAGUAUGACUUUUCACCAUGUAAGUGUCCAUGUCAACAGGUUAUCCAGAAAGAGAUUUUUCUUUUCAUUUUCUUUUUAAAUAUGUGUUAGUUAAUCAGAUGUUGAAUUUGAAAAAAAGAAACUCCGUGUAAAAUACGGUAGAAUUUUACUUCCACUUGCCAAAGGCAUUCCAUAGAAUUUUCAAGACUUUUUGGCAUGUUGAAGACUUCAAAAUCGAGUCAAGAUUUGUCUUUUGGGGCUAACUAAAAUGCAUAUCCUAGUAGCAUGAGAAGAGUUUUCAUCCCUUCUCUAUUAUAAAACUUGUGCCUAAAAUUAAGAACCAACUUCUAUGCAUAGCCAUAUCUUGGUCCCAGAGCAUAGAAUCCCUUCCUAAAAAGUAGAUCUAAUUACAUAACUCUAAAAAUGUAAACUAAUCAUUUAGUUCCAGAAUUACAAAUUUAAUAAUAUAUAAAUAUUGCCUUGCGAAAGUAAAGGUGGAAAAAAAAUUAAAAAAAAAUAAGCCUACACCAAACAUAAGCUAUUGAUUUCAUGAAUUUAAUUGUUUUUCUCACUCUAACUUUUUUUAUUUAAUUUAAUUUUAAUACAUAUUAAAAUGUUGUGUAAAUAUUUAAAGUGGUUCAUUGUCUUUCGAAGUUUUUGUCCAUAUAUGUGAUCAUACUUUUUUUUUAUAACUCAAGUGUCUAAACCUCGUCCAACUAAUCUUGAGAAGUGUCAGCUUUCUCCCUUGAUUCACCACCUGAGGUAAAUCGGAUUGGAUCAUAAUUUAUAUACAUUUGGACUGAAUAUUUGGGAUGAAGUUCUCCUUCCAGUGGACCCUUUUACGACAUGCAAACGAGACCUGAACUCUUCGUUAUUUUACAACCUUUAAUAUAUUGAUGAUGAAACGAUUUUAAUCAUAUCGAUGUAAAUUGAUUUUACUAAAUGUUACGUCAAUAAUUUGUAGUUUUUUGGCUAACUCGGAGGAAUUAACAAAAAAAAAUCAGCAGCUUCACUGAACGAAGUUCAGAUUGUACAUGUGACGAUCAUUCGUGUUCUAUUUUUGGCAUAAAAUUGAUUUUAGCUUCCUAGAGUCAUUGAAUUAGAUACUUGACUAACAAAGAUGUGUAUGAUAUAUAAUUAGACGUGUAGAUCUAAGAAGUGAGGCCUAGGCAUACUAGAGUUUAACCAGAAAGGUGAUAUUGGAAAAAGUACAAAAUAGUUAAUUCUAGUGUUAAAGUAUAAAAAUUUCACGUCAAUUAAAUAACGCAUAUAAGGAGAUAGGAUACUUCUCUUAACAAAAUUUACCUCUUAAGAUAGAAUUUUAAAUCUGAAUGUAAUGCCAGAUUCCAAUAAGUUUAAAUAACCAUUAAGAUUCAAAAUAAGCACACAGAUUCUAGGAUUGGCAUUCUCAAACAAGUCAUCGUCGGGAGCAUGUUAGUGUAAAUCUCACAUUGAAUUACAACGAAUUAAAAUUCAAUGUAUUAUUAAAGACAAUAUUUAAAUGAUAUAUGUAGUAUUAUCUUAUAGCUCUUCAAGUGGUCCAACAUCAAGUUCAUGAGGUCGGAAGUAAGAGACUUGUCAACAUGUAAGUGUCGAUGUCAACAAGUUAUCCAGAAAGAGAUUCCUUUUUUUUUAUUGGAAUAUGUGUUAGUUAAUCAAAUGUGAAAUUUUAAAAAGAAAAUCCGUGUAAAAUAGGGUAGAAUUUUACGUCCUCUUGCCAGAGGCAUUCCAUAGAAUUUUCAAGACUUUUGGCAUAUUAAAGACUUCACAAUCAAGUCAAGAUUCGUCUUCCUAUCCAAGUAGCAUGAGAAGAAUAUACAUCCCUUCUCUAUUAUAAAACUCGUGCCUAAAAUUAAGAACCAACUUCUAUGCAUAGCCAUAUCUUGGUCCCCGAGCAUAGAAUCCCUUACCAAAAAGUAGAUCUAGUUACACAACUCUAAAACUGUAAACUAAUCGCUUUGUUUUAGAGUUACAAAUUUAAUAAUAUUUAAAUAUUAGCCUUGCAAAAGUAAAGGUGGAAAAAUAAAAAAAGCCUACGCCAAAAAUAAGCUAUUGAUUUCAUGAAUUUAAUUGUUUUUCUCACUCUAACUUUUUUUAUUUAAUUUAAUUUUAAUACAUAUUAAAAUGUUGUGUAAAUAUUUAAAGUGGUUCAUUGUCUUUCGAAGUUUUUGUCCAUAUAUGUGAUCAUACUUUUUUUUUAUAACUCAAGUGUCUAAACCUCGUCCAACUAAUCUUGAGAAGUGUCAGCUUUCUCCCUUGAUUCACCACCUGAGGUAAAUCGGAUUGGAUCAUAAUUUAUAUACAUUUGGACUGAAUAUUUGGGAUGAAGUUCUCCUUCCAGUGGACCCUUUUACGACAUGCAAACGAGACCUGAACUCUUCGUUAUUUUACAACCUUUAAUAUAUUGAUGAUGAAACGAUUUUAAUCAUAUCGAUGUAAAUUGAUUUUACUAAAUGUUACGUCAAUAAUUUGUAGUUUUUUGGCUAACUCGGAGGAAUUAACAAAAAAAAAUCAGCAGCUUCACUGAACGAAGUUCAGAUUGUACAUGUGACGAUCAUUCGUGUUCUAUUUUUGGCAUAAAAUUGAUUUUAGCUUCCUAGAGUCAUUGAAUUAGAUACUUGACUAACAAAGAUGUGUAUGAUAUAUAAUUAGACGUGUAGAUCUAAGAAGUGAGGCCUAGGCAUACUAGAGUUUAACCAGAAAGGUGAUAUUGGAAAAAGUACAGAAUAGUUAAUUCUAGUGUUAAGGUAUAAAAAUUUCACGUCAAUUAAAUAACGCAUAUAAGGAGAUAGGAUACUUCUCUUAACAAAAUUUACCUCUUAAGAUAGAAUUUUAAAUCUGAAUGUAAUGCCAGAUUCCAAUAAGUUUAAAUAACCAUUAAGAUUCAAAAUAAGCACACAGAUUCUAGGAUUGGCAUUCUCAAACAAGUCAUCGUCGGGAGCAUGUUAGUGUAAAUCUCACAUUGAAUUACAACGAAUUAAAAUUCAAUGUAUUAUUAAAGACAAUAUUUAAAUGAUAUAUGUAGUAUUAUCUAAUAGCUCUUCAAGUGGUCCAACAUCAAGUUCAUGAGGUCGGAAGUAUGAGACUUGUCAACAUGUAAGUGUCGAUGUCAACAAGUUAUCCAGAAAGAGAUUCUUUUUUUUUAUUGGAAUAUGUGUUAGUUAAUCAAAUGUGAAAUUUGAAAAAGAAACUCCGUGUAAAAUAGGGUAGAAUUUUACGUCCACUUGCCAGAGGCAUUCCAUAGAAUUUUCAAGACUUUUGGCAUAUUAAAGACUUCACAAUCAAGUCAAGAUUCGUCUUCCUAUCCAAGUAGCAUGAGAAGAAUAUUCAUCCCUUCUCUAUUAUAAAACUCGUGCCUAAAAUUAAGAACCAACUUCUAUGCAUAUCCAUAUCUUGGUCCCCGAGCAUAGAAUCCCUUACCAAAAAGUAGAUCAAUACUUAAAAAGGACAGAAUGCUAAAUAAGGAAAAAUAGUCAAGACAGUAAAAAAAAUUUUAAUUUAGUAUUUCAUAACGAACACACUGAGAAGAAAAAUAGAGAAUGAUGAACUUUCAGUGAUAAUUAACAAUACAAUUUAUAUAACCAUAGAAUAGAUCUAGUUACAUAGCUGAAAAAUUGUCCCUAAGUUUCAGGAUUGCAAAUUAAAAAUUUUAAAAAUAUUGCUAUAUGAAAAUAAAUAUAGAAGAAACUUAAGCCAAACAGAUUAUAUGAUUUCGUGGAUUUGAUUGUUUUUCUUAUUUCAAUUUACUCUUACUUUUUUUCAUUUAAUUUUAUAUUAAUAACAUAUUAAAAUGUUGUAUAAAUAGUUAAAGAGGUUCUCCAUCUAGUAAAGCUUAUGUCUAUAUCAGUAAUCUCAUUUUCAUUGAUGUUAGAGGCGAACAUAACAAAAAUUAAUACACCUAAAAGAUGAAAAGCAAGCCAUUUGCUUCCAAUUGGUGGCAGAUGUGAUAUUAGGAGCAUUGCAAUUUACUUUACCUUAUUGAUAGUAUCAUGUAACAUGAUUUCUUCUAAAUAUAAAUAUGACCCAUUUUAUGAUAUCAAGCGAAUAAUAUAAAAUAAAAUUUAUCAAUACUGAUUUACACGUAAGAACAAAUUAUUAUUGAUACAUCAUUAUAUAAUUUACCAUGUGAUAAGCAUUGUAAUAAUUUUUUCUCUAAAUAUUAAUUCAAAGUGCGCUGACAACGUCAUGAUCUACAGAUAUAUUUUAUCCAAAAAAUAUGUUUUAAAAAGAUUGGAUGACAUUUGACCAAAUUGUCCCUAUAAAUAGUUCGUAUAAAAAUUAGAGAUCGGAAAGAACACUAACAGUGAAAGCACACUGCUGAGUUGACACUGAUAUUAAGAGAUGAAAGCUAGGGGAGCAAAUAGGAUUUGAGCAUAGAAUAAAGAUUGAAUACUCUCAAGUCACCUAAUACCACAAAGAUAAGGAUAUAUUCAUAUAACUAAGGCAGCGACAAAAUGGGACAAAGGGAGAAACCAGUUAAUCCAUAUAAAUGGGCCAUCCAUCUAGUGAUUGGGCUAUGAGCAACUAUUAUUUAAAAUAGGAAAAAUUACAAAAUUCCAGAUGUUUAAAGACUGAAAUUCAAACAUCAGGGUUAAAGUUUCUUUGUGCAUAAAUCAGGUACCAAAUAAUAAUUAAAUAUUAAAUAUUUGCCCCAAUUAUUCCAAGCCCUAGACACGGUCUCCUUCUCACCCAUAUUUCUCCCCCUUCUUUCUAUAACAAAUUGCCGACAGAGAAGUCGCCAUUUUAGCGGCGACGUUUGAAGAGUGACGUCAGUUCCGAUGUGAGACCGGGGUCGCUGCCAGUUCUCUCUCCGGUCCGAUGUGAGACCGGCGUUGUUGCCCGAUGUUGAUGUGGUGGCAUUUGUGAUGUUUGACACGGUGAUGUGGCGACUUCUCUGUGCCUGAUGGUGAUGUGGUGGUGUUUGUGGUAUGACACGGUGGCGAUGGUGUGGUUGGUGGUUUUUUUUUUUUUUUUUUGGUGUGUGAUGGUGGUGCCGGGUAUGGUGAUCUAGGUGAGCAUUGUAAUAAUUUUUUCUCUAAAUAUUAAUUCAUAGUGCACUGACAACGUCAUGAUCUACAGAUAUAUUUUAUCCAAAAAAUAUGUUUUAAAAAGAUUGGAUGACAUUUGACCAAAUUGUCCCUAUAAAUAGUUCGUAUAAAAAUUAGAGAUCGGAAAGAACACUAACAGUGAAAGCACACUGCUGAGUUGACACUGAUAUUAAGAGAUGAAAGCUAGGGGAGCAAAUAGGAUUAGAGCAUAGAAUAAAGAUUGAAUACUCUCAAGUCACCUAAUACCACAAAGAUAAGGAUAUAUUCAUAUAACUAAGGCAGCGACAAAAUGGGACAAAGGGAGAAACCAGUUAAUCCAUAUAAAUGGGCCAUCCAUCUAGUGAUUGGGCUAUGAGCAACUAUUAUUUAAAAUAGGAAAAAUUACAAAAUUCCAGAUGUUUAAAGACUGGAAUUCAAACAUCAGGGUUAAAGUUUCUUUGUGCAUAAAUCAGGUACCAAAUAAUAAUUAAAUAUUAAAUAUUUGCCCCAAUUAUUCCAAGCCCUAGACACGGUCUCCUUCUCACCCAUAUUUCUCCCCCUUCUUUCUAUAACAAAUUGCCGACAGAGAAGUCGCCAUUUUAGCGGCGACGUUUGAAGAGUGACGUCAGUUCCGAUGUGAGACCGGGGUCGCUGCCAGUUCUCUCUCCGGUCCGAUGUGAGACCGGCGUUGUUGCCCGAUGUUGAUGUGGUGGCAUUUGUGAUGUUUGACACGGUGAUGUGGCGACUUCUCUGUGCCUGAUGGUGAUGUGGUGGUGUUUGUGGUAUGACACGGUGGCGAUGGUGUGGUUGGUGGUUUUUUUUUUUUUUUUUUUCAAACAAGUCAUCAUCGGGAGCAUGUUAGUGUAAAUCUCACAUUGAAUUACAACGAAUUAAAAUUCAAUGUAUUAUUAAAGACAAUAUUUAAAUGAUAUAUGUAGUAUUAUCUUAUAGCUCUUCAAGUGGUCCAACAUCAAGUUCAUGAGGUCGGAAGUAUGAGACUUGUCAACAUGUAAGUGUCGAUGUCAACAAGUUAUCCAGAAAGAGAUUCUUUUUUUUUUUUUUUUUCGAAUAUGUGUUAGUUAAUCAAAUGUGAAAUUUGAAAAAGAAACUCCGUGUAAAAUAGGGUAGAAUUUUACGUCCACUUGCCAGAGGCAUUCCAUAGAAUUUUCAAGACUUUUGGCAUAUUAAAGACUUCACAAUCAAGUCAAGAUUCGUCUUCCUAUCCAAGUAGCAUGAGAAGAAUAUUCAUCCCUUCUCUAUUAUAAAACUCGUGCCUAAAAUUAAGAACCAACUUCUAUGCAUAUCCAUAUCUUGGUCCCCGAGCAUAGAAUCCCUUACCAAAAAGUAGAUCAAUACUUAAAAAGGACAGAAUGCUAAAUAAGGAAAAAUAGUCAAGACAGUAAAAGAAAUUUUAAUUUAGUAUUUCAUAACGAACACACUGAGAAGAAAAAUAGAGAAUGAUGAACUUUCAGUGAUAAUUAACAAUACAAUAUAUAUAACCAUAGAAUAGAUCUAGUUACAUAGCUGAAAAAUUGUCCCUAAGUUUCAGGAUUGCAAAUUAUAAAUUUUAAAAAUAUUGCUAUAUGAAAAUAAAUAUAGAAGAAACUUAAGCCAAACAGAUUAUAUGAUUUCAUGGAUUUGAUUGUUUUUCUUAUUUCAAUUUACUCUUACUUUUUUUCAUUUAAUUUUAUAUUAAUAACAUAUUAAAAUGUUGUAUAAAUAGUUAAAGAGGUUCUCCAUCUAGUAAAGCUUAUGUCUAUAUCAGUAAUCUCAUUUUCAUUGAUGUUAGAGGCGAACAUAACAAAAAUUAAUACACCUAAAAGAUGAAAAGCAAGCCAUUUGCUUCCAAUUGGUGGCAGAUGUGAUAUUAGGAGCAUUGCAAUUUACUUUACCUUAUUGAUAGUAUCAUGUAACAUGAUUUCUUCUAAAUAUAAAUAUGACCCAUUUUAUGAUAUCAAGCGAAUAAUAUAAAAUAAAAUUUAUCAAUACGUCGGCGUUUGGUGGUGGUUCUGGCUGUGUUGAUGGCUUGGUGCGUUGUGGGUGGUGGUGAUAGUUGUUGAUGCAGGUGGUGGAGGUGGCCGCUCCGUGGUAUGUGUGCGGUUUUGUUGGUGUGAUGUGGAUGGUAGUAUUUGCUACUGUGUUGUUGUUGGUGUGGUGUGCGGCGGUGGUUGUGGUUAUGCAAGUUGGUGGUUUGGGUUGAUUGCCAGUGUGUUUUUUUAUUGAUGAUGGUCUGUGACCUUAAAAUUUGAUAGUCUGUGAUUAAAAAAUAAUCUAGACCUCAACGAUUUGGUUUGUGACCUUAAAAUUUGAUGAUUUGUAACUAAAACAGUAAUCUGUGACCUCAACAAUUUUGUCUAUGACCUUCAAAUUUGAUAAUUUGUGACUCAUAAAAUUUUCAGUUCGGCGUUUGGUGGUGGUUCUGGCUGUGUUGAUGGCUUGGUGCGUUGUGGGUGGUGGUGAUAGUUGUUGAUGCAGGUGGUGGGGGUGGCCGCUCCGUGGUAUGUGUGCCGUUUUGUUGGUGUGAUGUGGAUGGUAGUAUUUGCUACUGUGUUGUUGUUGGUGUGGUGUGCGACGGUGGUUGUGGUGAUGCAAGUUGGUGGUUUGGGUUGAUUGCCAGUGUGUUUUUUAUUGAUGAUGGUCUGUGACCUUAAAAUUUGAUAGUCUGUGAUUAAAAAAUAAUCUAGACCUCAACGAUUUGGUUUGUGACCUUAAAAUUUGAUGAUCUGUAACUAAAACAGUAAUCUGUGACCUCAACAAUUUUGUCUAUGACCUUCAAAUUUGAUAAUUUGUGACUCAUAAAAUUUUCAGUUUGUGACCUCGAAUUCAAACAUCAGGGUUAAAGUUUCUUUGUGCAUAAAUCAGGUACCAAAUAAUAAUUAACUAUUAAAUAUUUGCCCCAAUUAUUCCAAGCCCUAGACACGGUCUCCUUCUCACCCAUAUUUCUCCCUCUUCUUUCUAUAACAAAUUGCCGACAGAGAAUUCGCCAUUUUAGCGGCGACGUUUGAAGAGUGACGUCAGUUCCGAUGUGAGACCGGGGUCGCUGCCAGUUCUCUCUCCGGUCCGAUCUGAAAAUGUGUAGUUAAAAAAUUAGAUAAAAGUUGUAGGUCCUAUAAAUAAUAUGAUUGAAAUGAACGUUGAGACUAAACAGGAACAUAAUAGCGUGUUAUUAUCUCUUCGUCAUAGUUUAUGGUCUUUGAAUAGAUCACUGUAAUCAAUCUCUCCAUGAGCAUACCCUGAAAUCGAACUUUAGAAUGCAAAGGAAGGUAAACGUUCAAUCCUUCCUUGUGAUAAACUAGAAUGAUAAUAACAAUCUCUCAAGUUGUGAAUAAAACUUUUAGAAAAAUAGGAGCAUUAAAGCAUUUCCCAUGUAGAAUUUGAGUAUAAUUCAGAAAACAACUAAAAUUGAAUCUUCCUUCAAAUUCCGAUCUUCUACAAUAACUUCUUGUUAAUCCCAGUCCCCUUUAUUUGUAUGGAAGGUCCUCAACUUUCAGACUUAAUUAUUUUUGUUCUCAAUUCUUCAAUUUCUUACAACUUCAAUUCAAUUUCAUCUAAGUGCAUCCAAUUUGAGGUUUUACAUACAAUUAAUAUGAUUUAACUUAAAUUAAGCACAUAUCUGCUCAAUCUAAUGACAAAUAAAUAAGAAUAAAAGUUUUAUUAAAUGCAUAAGAUGCUUGAAUUGGUUGCUGCACGGUGAGAAAAGAAUGGGUUUAGAGAUGAUCAUUGAAGUUAAAGGUGGGGGGCUAGUUGGAGGAGUAGAGAUGGUGGAGGCCUGUGGGUAGAUUGAGGAAAUUGGGGAAGGGAGGGUGGAAUAUUUUUUUAUUUUAUUUUAUUUUUUCUAUUGGACUGUUACAUUGAAAAAAAAAAAUUCAAUAAUUUUUUUAGCCUAAAAAAGGGCUUGGGAACAAGCCUAGAUUACCCUACUCGUGGUUCUUAUUGCCUUAUACCCCAUGGGAGGUGAUUCGAUUAGUACUUGGAUUAAUUGUAUUUCAAUUUUCAUAUUAUCUAUUUUUCAAUCUGAUUUUGAUUAAUACAAAUGGAACAAUUGAAAUUUUUGAAAAUAAAAAAAUACAGAUGAAUAAAGAAUGCUACAGAUGAAUAAAGAAUGCUCUAUAACUCAUUUCUAACACUUUUAUGAAGGGAAUGAUAGAGCGCUGUUCUUAAAAAUCAAACGUUCAUAUUAGAUAGCGGAUUGGUAAUUAUUUAGACAAUUAUUGUCGUGGAAUUGAUAUUCAAUUGUGGAAUCCGAGCUCAGUUUUAAACAAACAACAAUAAAACACCAACUACUUGAUUUCUUGACCCAAACCAAAAUACAUUCACCAUGGUGGACCAAGAGAUUUAACCACAAAGGGAUGGUGGCUGCAAGGUAUGACAAAGGGAAAGGAAGAAUGAAGGCUCAACUCACCAGUACAUGGCUGCACUCUUUCUCUUCUCUCCACCUCUCACAGCUGCCCCCCACCCCCCACCCCUCUCUAUCUCAAGACACGGCUACCUGCCUCCUUUGCAAAACCACAAAAGGCCUCUCACAAACGAAGGGCCAAGUAUAUUAGUCUCAGUGAAACCAAUAAAUGGGCCAAAGCACUAAUUGGACCAUGAAAACGAUGAAAACAAAUUGAGCCAAGACUAAACAUGAGAUGGGCAAACAAACAAAAGGGGGAGUGGGCUAACUUAUAAAAGGGCUGUCCAACUAAUUAACAAACCAUGAGCAAUACAAGUUAAAUAAUGCUUCUAAUGGCCCCAAUUUGUUAUCGGGUUGAGCCAAUCAAGUGUGGUGCCAAUACAAUUACCUGAUUUUAACAUCAUCGUCAGAGAUUUAUUGGGCAUCAUACCCAACAAUUAUCAACAGGAAAAUUUGCUUCCUAUGCUUUGAUGUAUUCAAGGAUGAACUUUUAAAUAACACAAUUAAGAAAAGGACAAGGUUUUCUGCAAGCUGAAAGAGUCUUUUUUCCUUUUCCAUAUUUAUUGAGAGAUAAUGAUGUAUAAUCAUUAUUAAUGUUACUUUAUUUAUUUAUAAAAUUAAUAUAGUAUAACUAUCGAAGGUAUAAAGAAAUAAAGUAUCCCAUGAACUUGCACAUUUCCUCUGGGUAGCGCCGUGUCAAUUUAUUGGUUUCAUUGCAUUCCACUUUUACAAAAAAGGUUGAACCCCAAUCUAGAGGGCCCCCACCGUCCUGCUCCUAGAGCUUUGUGAGAGAGAUAAAUCGUGGGAUGUGCCCCCACUAGGCCAGAGAACAAGAACUGCCUGUACACUCCAUGUCUCAGGAAUCGAACCCCCACAAUGCGGCUGCCAGCAAGGCGUAAGAUAACCUCACUCCUGUCAUUUACACCACUGGGCUAUGCUCCAGGGGCUCAUUGCAUUCCACUUUUAAUAGCAUAUGUAGUUGCACUAAAACAAAAAUUUUUUUUUUUUAUUCAGCCAAAAAAAAAUAUAUUUUUUGUUUUAGUGCAACUUUUAAUAGCAUAUGCAGUUGCACUAAAACAAAUAUUAUUAAUUUUUUUUUUUGGUGAAUUCUUACGUUCAAUCUUCUACUAAAUAUCACUAAGGGCAUGUUCGAUAUGCCUUCUCUUUUUCCAUGGAGCUUGAAAAUAAAAUUCCAUUUCCAUAUUUUUGAAUGUUUGAUUUGCCAAGUUUUCCAAGUAAUUGGUUUUCUAGUCUUGCCCUCACGUGACCGGCUUUUUCUUGGUUUUGAGGAAUUCACUUUCUCAUGAGGUUGGUGAAAAUUGAUUUUCCAUGCAACUUUUUUCUUUUCAAUUUAUUUUUUUCUUUUUUCUUUUUAUCAAUGGAAACAAAUUUUAGGAAUAAUUAUAAAAGAUGAUAUCCCUUAAAUAGACAAUUUUCAUAUAAAACAAAGUCAAAUGAAGACCAAAAUAUAGAUGAUUUUUGGAUCUGUAUUUUUAUUUAUUUAUUUAUUGCAAUGAAAACAAAUUCUAGGAACAAUAGUAUAAGUGGAUAUCUCUUAAAUUGACAAUUUUCAUGAAAAACAAAGCUAAACGAACACCAAAACACACUUUUAUUUCAACAUUUUUUCGAUGAAAAAUUAUACUAAUUAAACACUAUUAACGAACAAUUCUCAAUAAAACAAUUUUCAGGCGAUUCAAUUCCCUAAAACUCAUUUUCUUUCCUCCCAAAUUCUCUUUUUGCAAUCAAACGGACCCCAAGUCUUUUUACACCCCUAAUGAACUUUUGGUCGGAAAUUUUUAAUUGACGAAAAGUUGAGAAUAAGAAUAUGAUGAUAAAAAAUAAGAUAAUUAUAGCAAAAGUCCCAAACCUUUUAAACACUGGCAGAUUUUCCCUAAAUUUUCAUUUAUUGCAGCUGUCACCUCAAACCUUUUAAAAAGUUGCAUCUGAGGCCAUUUUGGAUGAAAUCUUUCCAAUUUAACGUUAGUUGACCUAAAAAGGUGAUUUUGACCUGAAAAAUUAAUUUUGACCAUAUUUUACUCAAUUUAAAAAGGGAAAAAUAGUAAUUUAAUAUUUUCCCCACCCCCAUUCCCAUUCCCUUUCUCUCUCUCUAUCUCUUCCUAUCUGUGUGUUUAUUUUCAAAUCCUGUUCUUGAUGCUAUUGAUGGUUUGAUUGGAUGAUCAAAUCCUAAAUCAAUGAUGGAGCUAGCGACACCCUUAGUUUCCUCUUCUUUUGGUUCUCCUUCGUCGGAAUGAAAUAAGAGUUCAUCCUCCACAUCUUCUUUAGACAAAUAAUCGAAGAACCUCCCCAGAAUCAAAGCUACAAUAAUCUUGAAAUGAGCUACUACUUAAUUCAUCCUCACUUUCAUAUACUAACAAAAUAGAUUCAAUAUCAUUUAAAUCUACAACCUCCUCGAUAGGGGUGAACACGGUUCGAUUUGGACAGUUUGUGCUAUAUUUUUAACUCAAACCAUUUUAUGUGGCUUGAAAUUUUUUUCAAAUCAAAUCAAACCAUUUUAUUUUUUGAAUCAAACCAAAUCAAAUCAUAAUUUGCGGUUUGGUUAAAUUUUAAUCCAAGAUUUACCGAUCGACAUUAUAAUAAUAUAUUUAAUAUAAGUUAACAUAUAAGUUUAAACGAGAACUAAUAAUAUUAAGUGUUAAAUUGCAUUAAUAUUUACCAUGAAACCUAUAAAUAAAUUAUUUUUAAAGUUUGUUGUUAAAAGAUAUUAAUAGAAUAAAUACAUCUUUCUUAAUUUUUAAUUACCUUAUCUUGUUUGAUAUUCAUAUUUUCAUAUAGCAAUUGGUAAAUGUAAAAUUAUAUUCUGCUAUUAUAGUUUGGUUAAAACUCAUUUCGUCUUGUUAGUGAGAUGUUAAAUAAAGAUUGAACAUGAUAUAUUUAGAUGUACAAAGAUUGAUAGAGUUUCAACUUAUUGAGAAUUGACAAAUUUCAUUCUUUAAUUAAUUUAUGAAAGUAGAAAGUAGUAGUAAUAGUUAGGACACUUUAAUAUUUUCACAAAAUUAAUACGAUCCGUCCCUCGUUCUUUUCUAACCACAAACAAGUUCAUUAAUUAUCUAGGCAUACAAAUAAUUAUUUUUCUAUCCAAACCACAAUUCAGAAGUGUAUAAUAAGUUCAAAAACAACAAAUAAAGGAAAGAACAACGAGAAAACGUCAAAUAUUAGGGAAAUGAGAGUUUAUGUUAGGGCUUCUGAAACUUUAGAUAUGAUUUGCUGACGUAGUUUUGUUGAAUUUACGAUUUGGAUUGUUAACGUAUUUUGGAAUAAUUUUAGCUUAGUUUAGAUAUCAGGUGAGGCCAUGUGUUGUAAACUUGUUAAACAAUAGGUCAUUAAUGAUUAAACUAAUUUACUUUCAAUAAUUAUUUCAAUAGGCUGGUUGUAAUUUGUAUUACUUAAUCGGUAUUUUUUUUUCUAGAAAAGUGAAAAUUGUAGAAUAUUUAAGUUAAUAAAAAUAAUGUUUUAAGUAAACAAUUUUAAAACGAUUCGGUUCAAUUUUGUGUGAUUUUUGAAAAUCAAAACCUAAACCAAACCAUUUUGAAACGAUUUGGUUCGGUUUGAGGGAAAAAAACAACAGGUCCACAUGGACCCAAACCAACGAUUUCAAUUCAAUCAUUUCGAUUUGGUUAGCGGUUUCGCAAUUUUUUUGUGUAGCCCUACUCCUCGAUUUCUUUAGCCUCAUCCUCAUUGUCAUCUAAACCUUCUAAAAAUGGAUGAUUCAACAACAUUUCUACUGUCAAUCUAAACAUUGGUUUCCUCACAAAGCAACCCUUAACAAAAUCCCUCGCUUCCUUAGAUAUCUCACUCGGAAUUUUUGGCAAUUCAUGCCCUUCUUUAACCUUACUAAGAAUAUCCUCAGUAUUUGAUUCCUUUUCCCCAUCCCAAAGAGGUUUCCUAGUCAAAAUCUCAAGAACAAUACACCCAAAUGCCCAAAUAUCAAAGAGAGACUCUUGCACAUUAUCCACUACAACCUCAGGAGCUAAAUACCACAGAAUACCCCUCCAAUAUGGCUUCAAUUUCCUCUUCUUGUUCCCUUGAGCCCUCUUCGUCAACCCAAAAUCGCUGAUUUUCGCCCUAAUCUCAGGAACUCUGGUUCUUCAACCACUAUGAACAAGGAGAAAUAAGUUGAACACGCGCAAAGAGAGAGAGAGAAAGAGAGCGAGAGAGAAAGGUAAUGGGGUGGGAAAAAUAUUGAAUUAAUAUUUUGCCCUUUUAAAUUGAGUAAAAUGUGGUCAAAAUUAAUUUUUUGAUCAAAAUCACUUUUUAGGUCAGCUAACAAUAAAUUGGACAUGUUCCAUCCAAAAGGGCUUCAAACCCAAUGUUUGAAAAGGUUUUGGGUGACGAUUGUAACAAAUAAAAGGUUAGGGAAAGUUACUAGUGUUUAUAAGGUUUGGGGCUUCUACUGCAAUUAUACCUAAAAAUUUGAGAAUUUAAUUAUAACAAUAAGUUAAAAAAGUAUUUUUAGUGCAACUAAAAAUUAGUGUAACUAUAAUAAUUACCUUUCUUUUAAAAUAUUUAAUUAGACUGACUUGUUAAUUAUUUAUCAAUCCUAUUUGCCAAAAAAAGAAAGAAAAAAAAAAGAAAAAGAAAAAUCACAUUUGUAUAAUUUUUAAAUUUCAUAAGUAAUUUUUAAAUCGACCCUGAAAUUGAUUUUUUUUUUUUUUGAACUAAAAUGAUCAUUCAAAUCAAAAGUAUGAAAAAUGUAUAUCUUAAUGAAUAAUAAGAAAGAAAGAAAUAUAAUUUAAAUGUAGUAAAAAUAGAAAUAAAGGUAAAUUUAGAAUAUUAUAUUUACCUUUUGGCAAAGAGAGAAUAGGUUUAUGAAAUUUUUGAAAAUCAAGAGGAUGUGCUUAUAAUGUUUAUAAUCCUAAGGAAAAGUUUAUGUAAUUUGUUCUAUCUUUUAUAAAUAUGAAAGUUUCCGUCCAAAAUCUCACAUAACCUUUGCUUUUACUGCGAAAUACCCUAUAUCCUUUUAGAUUGACGAAAAAUCCCCAAGAUGACCCUCAACGUGCGAAAGACCCUCUACCGUUUAAGUUCUUUAGUAGAGGCAUUAAAUCUAGCCAAAAUUAUAAAUAGAUAAUUGUAGCUGUGGUCCCAACUUUUCAUUUUUUGCGGAUUAUAUCUAAAUCUUUUAUUUGUGCUAAUCACAGUCACAAACCUUUCGUCAUCAUCUUCUUCUUGAAAUCUCUCACAUCCACUCCCAUGCCAACCACCUGCGACAGCAAAAAGAUUUAGGUAAUCGAGCCAAAUGCAAACUUUAUCAGCAACCUUAAAAGAAAGUCACAAUUUAAAUAAUUUGCAAACAACAUAUUAUCAAAGAGAUAGCUGUGGGGAAAAGACUUCUACUUGGUCAUGGGAAUUAUAACGAUAUUACUCAUGGCAUUAACAACAGAUUUUUGAAUUGCUCCAAUUAUCUCCUUAUGCCCUAAAAUGCAAUUGAUUCCCUCACUUCACCAAUUUAGUAACCCUCCUAACCUGCGCAGCUCUCUCCUCAAAUCCAUCUCUUUCUUUCUUUGAUUUAGACCUAAAUGCAAUUUCAUUGACUCAUAUUAAUCUCUUCAAGAAACCCCAGUUCACUAAGAGAAGCUGGGAUUUUCCCGAAAAGAAGGUUAUGAUCUACAUUCAGAGAGUGGAUUUAAUAAGAAUGAUUUACUGAUUUUGUACCUGAAGUAUUAGGAACUGAGCCUGAAAGAUUAUUGUGUUGAAGAUCAAGAAAAAUAAGAGAGGGAGACUGAGAAAGGGUAAAAGGGAGAGGCCCUGAAAUAGAAUCUAAGCUCAGAUUGAGUCUAUAUAAGCUUGUGGAAUUUGCAAGAAUUGAAGGAAUCAUUCCAUUAAGCUGAUUAUUGCUAACAUCAUGAGUCUGAAAAAGUGGGAAGUUAAUUACCAAUUGAUGGAGGUAUUGAAAGCCGGUUACUGAAAAGAUAUACACCUCGAAGGUUUGGAUAAAACCCGAGAGAAAUAGGAACUGGGCCGGCUAGAACAUUGUCAUGGGGGCUAAUUCUUCGAAGAGCCUGAAGCUGGCCGAUUACUCAACCACUUCCAUGGGAGCUGGAUAUCGAUAACCUUGCCAUCUGAGUCAUAAUGAAAGGUUUGGGUGUAAUCUUCAGAAAAAUGAAAGAUUUGGGAUCGUAAUUGGAAUUAUUCAUUUUUAGUUUUGGCUGGAAUUAAUGCAUCCACUAAAAGAUUUGGAAGGUAGAAGGUCUUUCACAAGUAUUUGGAGGUUUUCGUCAAUUUGAGAGAAUACGAGGUAUUUAAUAAAAUAGUUAAAGAUCAUAAAGGUUUUUUGCAAAUUACUUUAUACUUUUUUUUAAAAGAAAAAAAUUCUAGAUUGAAAUCUUUUAAAUAGAAUAAUUAAGAAAAGGACGGGGUUUUUCACAAGAUGUAAAAGUCCUUUUCUAUUUAAUAUAUUAGUGGGGAUCGUGCGUUGCACGAUUAUCAUUAUAAUUUAGAAGAAAUUUGGUUAAAAAGACAAAUUGUUUUACAGCAUCUAAAUAUUUAACUACAUAGAUUGAUUAAUGUAUUUUUAUAUUAUGUUAUAAAAUCUAAACUUUAGGAUUUAUUGUUAACAUUCAAAUAUGUUUUGAGUUCAAUAAAUUUGGCACGAAGAAAGUUAAUCAAAUAUCUAUUGAAUAAUAUUCGACAACUAUAGUGAAGCGUUUCAUAGUAGUGAUAAUUUAAUUUACACUUCCUGUUAAUAGAAUUGUGAAUUUAAAAAAGAGUUUAUUGCACUGAAAUUAGAGCCCAUCACUUGAAUUCACGACUCAAAUGUAAGUUACGAAAUGAAUUUUUAAUGGAUAACAUACUUGGAGUAGUAGAAUGUAAACAAGAUCGUGAAUAUUGAAUUAGGAUUCAAAAAUUGUAAAUUCAACUUUAUACCUUUAAAAUUUGAAUUUCAAAAUGAAUAACCGCUAUGUUACAUCUAUUGAUAGCUUUCUAUGUGAUACGUGACCUUUAAACAUGGAAACAUCCUUAUUAUCAUUCCAUAAUCUCGUUACCUAUUUUCACACAGACAACUUCAAUAUCGAGAUGAUUAAAUGUUAAAGAGUAUAAAUUUGUAUAUUAUUUGAUGCAGUUAAAACAUUUUUAGAUUUUUGGGACUAUCCAAAUAAAAAUGAAAAAAUGAAAAACAAGACAAUAUAAAGCUAAUUCACAUGAGCAAAUGACUGUUCUUUAGCCAGAUUCAAAACAAUAGAUAUAAUAAAUCAAAGGUACAUACAAAGUUAUUGACCCUUCUUUUAUCCCCAUGCAAUCCUUCAAGAAAAUAUUAUAUUAUACAAUAAAAUUAGAAUUUAUUAUUUUUUAUUUAUUAAAUGAAUAAAAAUUUCUACUUGAAAACAUAUUGAGCCCCUGUUUGGGCUCCCUUAAAAUGUGUUUGUGGAAAAAAUGUAUUUUAAAAUAAUGAUUUUUUAGAAGAAAAAGAGAACAGAUAAAAAUGCAUUAAAAUUUUAAUGUAGCCCAAACAGGGGCUAAAACGUAUUAGUCAAAGAAAAUUCAAACACCAUUACCACAGUAAAAUCUCCUCACCCAAAUGUAAGCAAAAAAAAAUACUUUCUCUUCUAGUCUUCUUCUUCACACUGCACACCCCACUGGACACUAAUUUUAUCUCCUCUGUAAUCCAUGCAAAGAUAGGAACUUUAUUGAUAAAAAAGAUACUCAAUCAUUGAUGAUUAUUGCAUUCUUCUUGUCAUUUUGCAUUUCUUUAUCUUUUUCACCGACUUCAGAUGGCGUCUCUUUAUUGGCACUCAAAGCAGCCAUUACAGAAGAUCCAAAAAAAGCCCUUUCAAAUCAUGCAAAUAGGUUGGAAUCACAUGUGAUGACAUCCACCAUAAGGUCACCUCCUUUGAUAUUUCCAGCAAGAACCUCAGGGCUAUAUUCCAUCAGAGAUUGGUGCACUUUCUUCACUUUUCUUGACCUAUCAGAGAACUUUCUUUAUGGGCCUUUGCCACACCGUAUCACUACCCAGAAAAACCUCACUCACAUUGGCUUGUCUUCAAAUAAUCUCAAUGGUUCACUCCCUCGAAGAUUAAGUUACUUAACCCGCUUGAUAGAGACUCUAAAUCUUUCAUUCAAUGAAUUUUUCGAUGAGAUUCCAGGGAGUUUUGGCAUGUUCCCAUUAUGCUCAACCUAUACCUCUGGAAGUAUGUGAAUUCACCACAUUAUGAGGCAUUAAAUGAUGUGACCAAUUAAGUAGAUUAAAUACCUCUACAUGAAAUUGGUCUCAUCACUUUAUAGCAUAUCAUGUGCCACAAGGAUUAGUGAUCUAUGAAAACGUUUUUCAGGUAUGACAGGAAGUGAAGUUGAUUUAACUUUUAGUCUUUCUGGAAUCAUAAUAUAGAUUAUUUUGUAAUAUUUUUAGUAUAUUUGUACGUUCUCGGUAAAACCCCUUAACACCAUUACACCAAUACUUAGUGUUAGUACAAUACCUUCAUGAUCCAAGAUCACCUAUAAUUGGAUUUAAAAUAUGGAAUCAUUUAAAAUAUAAUUUAAUUUUGAUACAUAUCAAUUAACGAAUCUAUUUGAUAAAUUAAUCUAUAUCCUUUCCAUAAAUUACAAACUUCAUCAUCGCAUUUUUUUAUUUAUUCUUAUAAGACUUUACCAUAUGCUUACCAAUUCUAUUUUUCUUUUCCAAAACUCUGCCUUCCAUCUUGUUUAGCUGACAGAGCAAAAUGUUCAACUUAUAAGAAUCAUUUUCCGCAAGUAUCAAAAGCUAAGUUAUCAAAUCAAGCCAAAUAAAAACUAACAUGGGAAUCCUAAAUUCUUUUCUCACAUUAAAAAAAAUUGAUAAAGCAGAAAGUAGCCAAAGCAGUAAUUGGGAACUAAUUGAAACAAAAUUGAGGAGUGUAUCACAACAGAGGGUGCAUAUGAAAAUCAUGGACAAAUUGCAUAUAUAUGAAAUUUACUACUCCACUCAGAAAGGAAAGAACUAUGUAAUAAUUACUUGUUGAAACACACAAAACAUUACCUGAAUAAUUAUAUGUAUCUCAUCUCUCUUAAUGCCAUUUUUCCAAAACAACUAACUUGGAUGAUGCCCAAUAACCAGGGAUAUGUUUGAUAAAAGAUCAUUCUUAGCAAAAAUAUUGAAUAAAUUUAUAAUGGCGAAAGCAAACAUAAUAAUAAAUCUAACCUUUGAAGCACUGUAGAAUAACAUGUCCCCAAAAUAGAUCACAAAGCCAGCAAAGACCAGAAGCCCUUCCCCUAACAAGAGAAAAAUUACAUAAUUACUGGGAGAACAAAAAUAAUUUGGUAAAACCAAACCAAAUCACAAUACUGUGCCUUGAAAUCAAAUGUAUAAAAACAAGUAUCCAUGCAACGAAAUAAGUUAAAACAAAAUAAAAUUUCUCUUCUAAGUUCUUCAUUGUCCUCUUACAUAUAGACUCCAUCCAAAAAGUAAUAAAGCCUAAAUAAUAGUAACAUGAUCUAAAAAAUAAAAAUAAAUAAAUAAACACACAUGCUAGAACAAUGUUUUAAAUUAAGUGAGCUGUACAACCAUAAUAGAGCAUAGCAAAAAAGCUUAAAUAGCAACCUGAUUUAACAACCAUAUAAAGAAACCACCUAAUAUGACUCACAAUCUAAAUAAACUGAAGAUUGCUUCAAGUGUAGAGAUUUAUCAAGAAAAAUGCAGUUGAUUGAUCGUUUCAUUACCCACAAAUGAACAGGAUCGUAAACAAGUAAUAAAAUGGUGUGUAGAGUGUCAAACUCAUGGAGACUAUGUAUUUGAUCAAGUCAAAGCGAACACUGCCCUUAAUUGAAUAGCAAAAUCGAGUUGUAACUAAACACUAAUAAAUAUAUCAACUAACUUAAGAGCAACGUAAAGAAAAUUCAUCAAAUUCGCAAGAAAUAUUGCUAAGAUGUAGAAUCCCCCGUAUUAAUCCAUUUGUAGUUGAACAAUUUAAAAUGACUAUUUGAAAUAAUGCUUGUUGGUCAAUGUUCCUAUUUUAAUUGAAAACCCCUCUUGAUAGUUAUCAAACAUAUUCCCCUCAUGUGAUUUUCCUAUCUCUCGAUGAAAGAUGCGAACAUGAUAAAUGCAUAAAACGAGCUAGACCAUCUUUAAAAAUCAUGUGAAGUAUAGAGGUAUAUCUCUAUCCUCUAUCUAACUUCACAAUAUUUAUUACUAUGUGCUAAUGAUCCUAUUGUCUCUCUUAAUAACAACAAAAUCCACAAACUAUUCAAUUAAUGGCCAGUUAAACUGGAAAACAAAAUAAACCAUAAUAAACAUCCAAGAAUUCAAACAAAUUUAACGUGAAUCUAAUUAUUCAAACCAAAAAUUCAUAACAAGGUUUCAUCACAGCCACACAUAAUGUUGAAAUUAAACGAGUUGAAAUUAAACGAAUGAAAGUGGAAAGAUAUCACACAAAAAUCUACGAAACAUGAUGAAUUCCGCAAUGCUGUUGGCUGCCAAUUCGUUUGCUGUCGUUUGUCUAUGAAAUCAAUUAACUUUGCAAUAUAUAUAUAUAUAUAUUGCAAACCAGCAGCCUCUCUUUUAAUUUCCAGCAGACAGCUCGUUCUUCAACUAUCUGCUCCAACUGUGCGUGUAUGUAUAUAAUCUUUUCCCAAAAGGUGCUGCCUUUGUGUGUAUAUGUCAAUUCAACAGCUGGCGAACAUUUGCAUGUAUAAAUAUCUCACCAGCCCAGCAUGAAUAUAUAUGUGAUUCCAAACCGUAGGCAGCCCUUUAUUUUUUCCUCCAGCAGCUGUAAUUUUUUUACUUGGAGAAGAGACUCCCAAAACUCAACCACAGUCUUGAUCUUGAGUAUAUUUUCAGCAACUUUUUUUUAUCUCAGCAGCCGCCCUCUUUUCUCCCGCCAAACUCCCGUCCUUGCAGCCGUUUCUUUUGUGUAUAUAUAUUACAACCAUGGGCAGCCCUAUAUUUUUUACUCCAAUACAAGGCCCAAUUAUCUCUCAAAAUUAGCCAACAACCUUCGUUUUCUGUUGAAUUGAUCUCUACAUUCAGCCCACCAAUUUUUGUGAAUAUAUAUAAUAGAAAAAAAAAAAAAAAAGGCCAAUUGUGUAGAUGUCUCUCCAUAUAUAUAACCCACUUUGAAGUAGAAUUCCAAUUAUUCUUAAAUUUCCAGCUGGCCGCCAUGUUGUCCUAUUGAGUUCAAAUAACUAAAGAAUUUGAUUCAAUGGCUGCCCAAUUAAUAAAUUAUUUUUUCUCCAAGUCCCCAACUUCUACGAAAUGGUCAAUUUAAUCCCCGUGUUUUGGAUUUUGCUAUUUUUCUCCAAUUUUGCUUCUUUCCUUUAACUCCUUUUCAUUUAUCGAGUUUACCUAUAAAACAAAAAAUACAACAAUUUAGGAUAUAAUUUGUCAAAUGAACUGUCAAAUUUUGCUAUUUUAGGGCCCCGAAUAAGUGUAUAAAAUACACUAUCACUGAUUAAUAUUCCAUAUAAAAUUAAUCAAGAGCUUCAUGAAAUUGGCUUUGGAUUUUCGACAGAAUAUUUAGUGAUGUGAUGUGGUCCAACAGACAACUAAUGGUAUCAAAAUAUGUGCACAAAAGACCAAAAUACAGAAUAUAACAAAAUACAGUUAGCUUACCAAAGUGAUCAAUCAAGCUACUAUGCUACCAUGCUCCUUGCCAAUUACUUGGAGCACUGGUGUCAUUGCCUGACUUGAAGGAGGCAAAUGCAUAAGCACCAUGGUAAGUAAUAAGAAGCUAUAUAUAUUGUUGUGUCAAUUCAAGAAUGACAUUUGUAGAGUAGAUAUAAUAAUUUGAAAUUAUACAGGAAAUCUAAAUUUAAACACACAAAAAAUGGUUUUGAAUCACAAUAAUGUACUUUAAGAAAACAUGUUACUUAUAGUCAGCUAUAAGCGAUAUGACCAUAGCCCCUAAAACUCUUUAAUACGGUUAUGUGAAAAAAACAAAACGUUAGGUUUCAUGUGAAUUCCUUGAAAUAUCUUAUGUCAUGUUAACUGGCUGAAAACAUUGUACAUGAAGUCAUCAAAUAUGUGCAAAAUUGCCACCUAGGAAAUUUUAUUCUAUAAACACACUAACCUUUUAUCUCAGCAGCCGCCCUCUUUUCUCCCGCCAAACUCCCGUCCUUGCAGCCGUUUCUUUUGUGUAUAUAUAUUACAACCAUGGGCAGCCCUAUAUUUUUUACUCCAAUACAAGGCCCAAUUAUCUCUCAAAAUUAGCCAACAACCUUCGUUUUCUGUUGAAUUGAUCUCUACAUUCAGCCCACCAAUUUUUGUGAAUAUAUAUAAUAGAAAAAAGGCCAAUUGUGUAGAUGUCUCUCCAUAUAUAUAACCCACUUUGAAGUAGAAUUCCAAUUAUUCUUAAAUUUCCAGCUGGGCGCCAUGUUGUCCUAUUGAGUUCAAAUAACUAAAGAAUUUGAUUCAAUGGCUGCCCAAUUAAUAAAUUAUUUUUUCUCCAAGUCCCCAACUUCUACGAAAUGGUCAAUUUAAUCCCCGUGUUUUGGAUUUUGCUAUUUUUCUCCAAUUUUGCUUCUUUCCUUUAACUCCUUUUCAUUUAUCGAGUUUACCUAUAAAACAAAAAAUACAACAAUUUAGGAUAUAAUUUGUCAAAUGAACUGUCAAAUUUUGCUAUUUUAGGGCCCCGAAUAAGUGUAUAAAAUACACUAUCACUGAUUAAUAUUCCAUAUAAAAUUAAUCAAGAGCUUCAUGAAAUUGGCUUUGGAUUUUCGACAGAAUAUUUAGUGAUGUGAUGUGGUCCAACAGACAACCAAUGGUAUCAAAAUAUGUGCACAAAAGACCAAAAUACAGAAUAUAACAAAAUACAGUUAGCUUACCAAAGUGAUCAAUCAAGCUACUAUGCUACCAUGCUCCUUGCCAAUUACUUGGAGCACUGGUGUCAUUGCCUGACUUGAAGGAGGCAAAUGCAUAAGCACCAUGGUAAGUAAUAAGAAGCUAUAUAUAUUGUUCUGUCAAUUCAAGAAUGACAUUUAUAGAGUAGAUAUAAUAAUUUGAAAUUAUACAGGAAAUCUAAAUUUAAACACUCAAAAAAUGGUUUUGAAUCACAAUAAUGUACUUUAAGAAAACAUGUUACUUAUAGUCAGCUAUAAGAGAUAUGCCCAUAGCCCCUAAAACUCUUUAAUACAGUUAGAAAAAAAACAAAACAUUAGGUUUCAUGUGAAUUCCUUUAAAUGUCUUAUGUCAUGUUAACUGGCUGAAAACAUUGUACAUGAAGUCAUCAAAUAUGUGCAAAAUUGCCACCUAGGAAAUUUUAUUCUAUAAACACACUAACCGUUGAUGAAGAAACAAAAAAUUUUCACUCUGUUAUAAGUAUAAUAAGUACUCGAUUUAAUAAAUGAGGGAGGUAAAUUGGCAACAUAGAACUUCUAUUAGUGCAUUUGAAUUUGUGGCCUUACUCAAAGAUUCUAAUCCUUCUCUAUCUCAAAGAACACUUCGUGACAUCAAUGUAGAGGAACCUGGAGUUUAUAAUUAACAGAGCUAAAUGGCCACAUAUCAGAACUAUUACAAAAUCAGCCUGGUUUUUUAUUUUUACAUUGAUCAUCAUAAAUAAACUAAAAUAGUGCAACAAAAUUCAUCUAUGCAGUAAAAUCAACCAUAUGAAACAAGCCAUAAAGGUGUCGAAGGAAUGAGAUGUUCAAACUUCUCUAACAAUUUUGGCUUGGAAGACCUUAAAUAUGUCAAGCAAAUAAUGAGCAUUUACAGCUGCAUAUGUUUUCUGCUCUUCAGUGAAGGGGAGCUGUGACCAAUCGCUACAUUGAAAAUCCUAUGCAAAAUCAUCAAAUUCCAAAAAGAAUAUAUGAAUACAGAGAUUAUAACUUAACACUUGUAAAAAGUGUGAAACAAAAAAUUCCCAAAAAGGAACCCAAUUUUUUAAAGUUAAAUGGCCAAAACUUCCGUGCAAAAUGCUACCAAGUUCUUUGUUUGCUUUAGUGAUUUUCUUCCAAGUUACUUAUUUUGUUUAGAUAGUUAUAUAUGGUCGUAAUAUCUAUAAAUGGUACAACCGAAUCAAGAACAAUUGACAAAGUAUAUUAUUAUGAAUGAAGCCCCAAUCUCUACUUACAGGAGCUAUAAAUAAAUAUAGAAGAAAAGCACACCAACAAUUUAUAGUGGUACAGCCACAAUGACGUAGCACUUCACUAUGUAGUCCACGGUCGAGUGAAUAAAUGACAGUUUGAUAGGAUUCCAUAUGUUCCAAUAUUUUUCAACUAAAUACGAAGAAUUAACCAUAGAACCUGUAUUGCAAAACAAUAAUAAUAAUAAUAAUAAUAAUAAUAAUAAUAAUAAUAAUAAUAAUAAUAAUAAUAAUAAAGAAAACAAGAAGGUCGAGAAAGCCUACUUAACUAACUAUAACACAGCAAAAGACACUGGAACUCAUUAAAUUUCUUCGUGAUCACAAUGAAAUUGAAACUGUAAAGGCAAAUUAUGGUGUGCAAUUUUUCGUCUUCAAAUGCUGAAAUCACAAGUUUUAAUGAAUUACUGCUAGCAAAUCUAAUUUAAACCAAUGCUCAAAACACAAAAUGAAUUUAUUCUGUUGAAUAUGAGGUAAAGAAAUGUAUGAAGCUACCAAAUUAAACACCUAGAAAUUGUCAUGGAAAAAACCUUACAACUUUACAGCUUUAGAUAAGAAAAAAAAAUUUUAAUAAUUGAAUGAAUAUUAAAAAAUUACUCUAUAAAAACCAUGAUUUCAGUCUCGAAAGCAGAAAGUAAAGGAUAAAUAAACCAAUUCCUGUAUAAAAUUUAUAUAAUUUCCAUCUGAUCCAAACAAUUAUAAUACUAAAACACCUUCAAAAAUAAUAAAUAAACUGUUGCUACUAUUGGAGUACCAUUUUUUUAUCGAUAGAUUGAAAAGAGAUUCUUCCCUUUAAUCUACUCAAAAGACUGUAAAUUAUCUCCUAUAUAAUGCAAAUAAAACUUUAGAAUUGAAGCAGAUAGAAGGUGCUUUUGUUGUUGAUUAAUAAAAUUAUCGAGAAUGAGAUUAUACCUUUGGAAAAUGCAAGGAAGACCUGUAACCGAAAGAAGCAAGAAGGAAAUAGUCAUUGAAUAGAAUGUCCGAAUAUCCAAAAAUUAAAAAAUUCAUCAACAUGAAGAGAAAAUCAAUGACAUAGGAUCAAAUAUUAGGACAAAAGAAUAGAUUUCCAAUAAAUAUAACUAUAAUAAGUUGGUAAUAAUUGAAAUGUCAAAGAACAUUUAAUUAUUUGUAUUGGCCCAGUAUGAUGGACAACCUCAGGUUGGCACUUUCUGAUUUCCCCUUAGAGUAACUAUAUUGAAUUCCUAUUUAUUUAUCAUUGUACAUUGCUUACCUUUGAGUCAAAGAAUGUAUUGAAAGCAGCAAUUACUGUGUAUUAAGUUAAGAACAACAUAAAGCAAGGAAACCUGCACUUGGGUUUGUUUUGUAAAUAAGACAAACAGAGAACAACACACCUGUCUUAUGGUUUACAAAAACUUUGAGUCUUCGAGUAAUACUAUUCAACACCACUAUUGUCAAGUACUGGUGGAUCUAGGUGGUGGCCAACUAGAACGGCGUCCCAACUUGAUAUGUUGGAAGAUUUAUUUAUUUAUUUUUUAUUAACAAUAGAUUAAAUUUUUACUUUAUAUUUCUAGUUAUUGAUCCUAUUUUCAAACAGCCUUGCAGCUUAGUUGGUGAGAACGGCAUAAAUAGUAUUUGAAGUAUCAAGUUCAAAUUCCUUGUCAAGGGAUUUGUUAUGUAUUAUUUUUAUUCUAUAAAUUUUUACCAAAAUUCAAUAGGAAGAAGGGACAAUGAGGAUUCAAACCCAUGAUCUCAAGCAAGGGUUAUGGUGAACUUAACCAUUAUGGUACCUCUUGAAUUAUAUUACUAAAUUUAACAAAAUGAUAUUUUUUAGGUUUUGAUUGUUUUAAUGCAAAUAACUUUAAAUAUUCGAAUUCACACUCUUCCUUUGAAUUAUAGAAAAUUUGGCAACAAUGUUAUUUGAUGAGUUCUAUUUAUUCUUAUAACAGAAUUAUAUAUAUUCAUUUUGAACAAAAUAAUUGUUAUAUUUAUACUUUAGACCCUGUUCGAUUCCCUCUUUUUUUAAAACUACAUUUUUCUUUCUUAUUUUCAUCCAUACAUUCUUUAUUUUUAGUCACACAUUCAGACAUUCUCCAUCAAAUCACCAUUCCAAAAUGCAUUUUUUGCAAAAAAAAAAAAAGAAAAAAAAAGAAAAAAGGAUACCAAAAAGGACUUUUAAUAUUUUAUUGUGGCCAACGGUAGAUGGUCAACGGUCGCCCGUGCUGACUCAAACUCCUGGAUUCGCCACUAGCUUGAAUGAGGGAAAUCAGUAUCCAGUUCUUCCUUGAACCGGGUGAGGAAAGAGACGCAACUAUUUGGAGAAAAGGUCGGAGAUAAUGCAGAUUGCCAAAACUUCAAAGAUGAAGAGGAAACAGAAUUAGUCGCUUUGGUAAAAUACCUAGUGGAAUAAAUGAAGAGAUUUUCAUGGGUAAAAUGUAGGAAUAUAGUGUGGUAAUGAGAACAGAAGCUAGGUAUGGUGGUACAGUAGUGGUUGUAUGGAUGGUUGUGUGAGAAACGAAGUAAAGGCGGAAUGGAGUAAACAGGCGGGAUGGCGAUACAGUCCCAAUUUUUUUUUUUUAAAUAUUACAUCAGCAGUAUCACAACUUUCCUCUUUUUAAUAUUGUAGGGAUUAUGACAUAUUGAAUCAUAUCAAAAAGGAGACUAAGAUAUCUUAAACAAAUCACAAAUUAAAUCAUGAUUUGCUAUUCUCCCAAGUCCCUAUCAUAAAUUAGACAUCGUCCUCAAUGUCUUAAAUUCUAAAUUUGCAUAUAACGGGGUGGGGAAGAAAAGGAAGAAAAUACUCCCCUGAUAUGGCGUGAAAUUAAUUGGCUAGCUUUUCCUAUUACUCCCGUUAUCUCCUUGGUCAUUGUUGAUUUAAACGAUUUGCAACGCCAUGUCCUGCACAAUAUGAAUAGGUAAACACAUUUAAGAUCAAAUAUCUUAAACAAGUAUUACUUAGCUCCAACAUCUAAUAAACUAAAUCUCGAGGACCUAAGGGAAAAUGGCAAUUGGAUGAUGAGUCACUAAUUAAAAUUGAUAACUAAUCUAAAUUUUCAUAUGACUAAAAAGUAUAAUAAAUAAAAGGGAAGAAAGAUUGGAUUACCUCCCAACAAGCACUUUGUUUAAAGUAUUAUGUGAAUGGCACCUAGAAAGGACACCAAACAAGAGAGAUCAGGGUGGGAAGACAAAAUCAACAAAAAAAUAAAAAUAAAAAUCGAAUCUAUUAUAAACUAUUAAACUAAAAUUAAAUCCAUUAUUCCCCAAAAAUUGCGCCAAAACCUUCUUCGUAGAAAAAUUUCCAAGCGUACGGGAUCGUUGUACAAAUAAUAAGAUUUUUGAGUUAAGAGUAUUAUUCCCACCAGGAAUAAGGUCUAAUAUCUAGUUCAAUAGCUUUUAUUAAAUUCAAAAUAAUAUAAAAUCAAAAGAGUAAUUUUUAUGUAUUCUAUUCUAAUCCUAAACUAAUAAAGCAAAUAAAAUAUUUAACUAAUAUGUGAAUUUUCGUAUUGGAAUCAUGAGUCCCUCUAUUCCCAUUUAAUCCUACUUUUAAUUCAUAAUUUAUUAAAUUCAUUUAUUCAAGACGAUCAAUAAUUCAGUUUUAUUCAAUAUUCUUUCUCAAGAUAUAUUAAACCUAUUUUUAACACGACCCGAUCUUAUUCUUAGUCCGAAUUCAUAUGGAAAACAUGCAUUGAUACACAAGAUUUAUCACACAUAAUUGCAUACGCCAUAGAUAUUAUUCCUAAUACUUAUUGUCCAUGUGUUAAUUUUACAAUGUUCUAAACUUAUUAUGAGUAUUUCUAUACUACAACAAGUAACUUACUAUCUAAUUGGUGAUCAAGUAAUCAAAUAGUUCAAUGGGAAUACAAAACCAAUAAAGAAAAAUCAAGAAAUACUAAACUAAUUGUCUUGAAUUAAAAUAAACAAACAAUAGGGUUCAUUAUUCUGCUAAUACAAAGCAUGGGCGGAUCUGGGCACGGGCUGACCCGAGCUACAGCCCGUGCUUGCCCUAGCCCAGAUCCAGUAAGUUAUAUGAUUUUUAUAUUUUUUUAAAUUCAGCCCAUGUUCAUUCAGCAAUGUAGCCCGUGUCCAAAUUUGUACUGCUCUAGGUGGAAGAGAGUUUUAUGAUGCAGAAGAAACAAUUAAAUUAUUGGCCCAAUUCCAAAUCCCCAAACCUAAUAUCCGUUUUGAUCUCUCUCUAGCCUCUACAGACCUAUAAGUAAACCAUUUUUUCCAAUUUCAAACCUCCAAUUCCAUCUCCAUUCUCUGAAAUUUGAAUCGUCUUCUCCAGCUAGCUAUUUAUUUUUUAUUGUGGUUUUAUGUAUACCGUAUCAAGUGUAUAAUUAUUCUCCAACUGUUGAUUUGUAAGUUUUUGAUUUAAUCAAGUUCUUCUUUAUGAUGUGGGUUUUGAGGAUUUUGGGGACUGUAUGAAAAUACAACACCAACUUGGGAAGAAAUUUCCAGAUUAUUUGAGGAUUUCAUAUCAUUUUGACUUUCUUAUUUCUGGAUUUCUCCUCUACCACCAACUUGAAUAGAAGGAUCUAGAAUACUUUGCUUCACUGACCAUGGAAAUGUCUAGAAAUUUGAAGAAUUCAUUUCCACUGCCAUUUCACGCAAGUGGGAGAGCAGGAAGAAAAGUAAGAGAGAGACAGAGAGAGAGAGAGAGAGAGUGUGUGUGUGUGUGUGUGGCACUGCAUAUAUAUUGGUGUAUAUAGCGUGUCUGUGUGUGUAAGGUGAGAAAGAAUUGAGAGAAAGUGAGAGAUAUAGAUACAGCCGUGUAUGUGAGUUUUUGGAGAAAGAAAUUGUCAUUUGAGUGAAUAAAAUAUUAGAUAGUGGUCCUUGUUGAGUGACCAAAAUUGUAAAAUUACAUUUCAUAAAUAAACUUCUAUUUUGGUGUUUAAAUUCGAUAGUGUAAUCAGAUAUUAAUAUAAUUUGCGUCUUAAAAUCGUGGGACAAGGUUUUAGUCAGUUGGAUUGAUUGACUUUCUAAUUUCUAUACAUGCUGUAGUUGUUUAUGUUUUUUCAUGGAUAUGGAGAAAAAUUGGCUGAGUUACACUCACUAAACAUCAUAGAAAUUAUAUUAUUUUUUAUAAUUUUUUUCUAAAAAUGUUCGUAGUUACUAAUUUUCAGUAUAAUUUUCUACAUGCAUCUCAGUUUUUACUCUCCAUUUUUUUCGUCUACAUUUUUUUUUUAAUUGUAGCAUGAUUUUACGAUAAUAGCGUUUGCGCUACUUAGCUAAACCUUCAUUUCGAAUUUCAAAUUUGAAGGUGCAAACGUGAAGCGGUGUAGGAAAAGCUUGAAAUUUGAGCAUAUUCUCCUAGUAAGUAAAUAUCGUCUUUCCUCAUUUCAUUGUUUGUGGCCUUGUUGGCAAUAUUGAAAUUGAACAAUGUUGUCUUAUUGGCUUUAUGAGUUGUUUUUGUUGCUUGUUGGUUUAAUGAAUUGUUUUUGUUGCGACGUUACCUUAAUGAAUUAUUUUUUCUCCCUUGUUAUCUUAAAUUUUAGCCCGUGCGUGUGAAAUUCCUGGAUCUGCCCCUGAUACAAAGUACUUUAGCAUAACAUAUUAAUGUAAGAAAUACAAGGAAAAUAAAAGAAAGUGAUCACUUGAAUAAUUAAACUAUGAAGAGAAUCUAGAAUUCUUCAAUUAAAGCCUUGAAAUCCAUAUCCAAAUGAUUGAAUUCUAUGUUCUUUGAUAUAUAUUCUCUUUGUUUUCUCUCAAAGGUUAGCUCUCUAUAUGAUCCCCUUAGGUCUGGACAUGUUCUCCUAUUUAUAUGAUGCCAAGAAGGUUGUUUACCAAAAUAAAAUAAAGAAACCUAAAUUUUUUCGCCGUUUACCGCCGAGGCAUGUGCCUAGUGUAAUUUAGGGUACAUGCAUGGGAGCCUUGGGUGCCUUAGUCACCUCAUUGGUCAGGGGCGAGCGCCUCUCCUGCAAGGUAGGGCGUGCAUCUUGUCUAAUUUUUGACAAGCAAACAAUCUUCAAUAUGCUUAUCAUAACUUUCUCUCCCGAUAUUUGAUUGAAGUGAUUGAAUGUGCAUUGAAAAUCUUACUCAUAGGGCUAUAAUUCUUCUAGAAUUAUCAUUUUUUCAAUUCGAACGUUCGCUAUGCCAAUAUUGGGUCUCAAUAUGAAGUUGAAAAUUAGAAGCAUAACUUUUUCGUAUGGAAGUUGAUGUAUGAUAAUAUUUUGACUAUAAUUAAUCCUUUUGACUUCGUUCCUCAUCCAAUUGACCACGAGCACUUUAAAUCUUCAUCAGGAGGUCCAAAACAAUUUUUGAGUAUUCGCAUUUUAGUCCUCGAACUUUGGAUUUGCUUAGUUUUAGACCUUUUUCAUUCUUUCUUCCAAUUAUUCUUCGAAAGAUGAAUUUUUCCUAAUAAAAGCAAUAAAUAACAAAUUAGGUACUAAUCCAUCCAAAGAAUAAGAAAAUAUCACCAUUUAGGAUUCUAAAUAAGUGUAGAAAUUACACUUAUCAUGUGGAUGUUCUAUCAAGAUUUUCAUUGCAAAACAAGAGUGGCGGGUGAUCCUUAAACUUGACUAAUAAGUAGCUUUGAUUUUUCAAAAUAAAUUAGCGUUAAAUGUACUUCUUGACAAUGGGAGGUAAGUACACUCACCCUUCCUUUAGAAGAGCAUUUACGGGACACCAGUUGUUGGAGAAGGGGUUAUGGUGGCAUGUCGGUAAUGGAAAACAUGUGCAAGUUUAUUAGGAAUUCAAGUUGAUGUCAACACCAUAUGGGGAUGUCACUCUUGUUCGAGUCUGGAUUGCUGCUCCAAGCAUGUAGUAUACUGAGCUGAUUAAUGAUUUAUUCUUCCCAGUGGACCGGUAAUUUUAUCCGUCCCACUUAUCAUUACAAAUAAAGAAGAUCAACUAAUUUUACAUUUUGAUAGUAGGAAGCUAUUCAGUAUGUAGUUAGCGUCUAGUCAGGUGAUGCUGAAGCAUUUGCUUUGCGAGAAGGUUUGAUGUUGGCAGAAGGUGUGGUUAAUUGUGGUUCUUAUUGCUUUAUACCUCGAGGGGAAAUGUAGCUCACGAACUAGAAUGUUUUGUUAUUUUUGGUUCAUUCACUACUUGGAUUUUUUGUAUUUCAAUUUUCAAAAUAAAGUGGCUCAAACACACAUUUACCCCUGUUUGAGACUCAUUCUUUUGAAAAAAAUACAUCUUUAAACAGUAUUUUGAGAUCAUUUCAACAACGUAUUCUUCAAUAAAAUAAUAUUACAUGUAAAUCCAAUUAUUUUUUCUUAUUUUUAACCACACAUUUCCUAUCAAUACACUAUUUAAAAAUACAUUCUUAGAAAAAGAAUGAGGUUCAAACAAGAGCUUAAUUACGUAUGCAGUUGCACCAAAAAAAUAUUUAAUGAAUUUUCAGUUAGCUUUACUAAUUCUUUUUAAAUAUUAAAUUAUGCCGGCUUUUUAAUUAUAUAUCAACCUUUUUUUUUUUAAGUCCAUUUUAUAAUUUUUUAAAUUUAAUAGCAAUAGUUAUAAUUGUUUUUCUUUUUUAACUAAAAUGAUCUCAUCUAAUAAAUAAUAAAAAGAAAGUAAUUUAAUUUAAAUAUUAAAAAAUAGUAAGGGUAAAAUGAAAAAAAUUAUUAUUUACCUUUUGCUGAGGAAAGAAUAUGUUAUCAAGAGAAAUUUUUUUAGGAGAUUUAUGAAAUUUUUGAAAAUAGAGAGGAUGUGUACGUAAUUGUCAUAAACGUGAGGAAAAGUUUAUGUAACUUGUUCUACCUUUUAUAAAUAUGAAAGUUUCCUUCCUAUGCUUUGAGAUACUAAACUGUUUAUUGUAGAAUGACAUUUUUAAAUAGCAUAAUCAAGAGAAGGACAAGGUUUUUCGCAAAAUGAAAUUCGUUUUCUUUUUUAAUAUAUAAGGAUGAAUAAUCAUAUAGAAUAGAAGAUUGAGAUAUCUUCCUUGAACAAAUCAUGAUAAGUAGCCAGCCUGUGUGUUUAUUAUUUUUUCUAUUAUAUUUAGGUUUUGUUUGGUUCCCACUUUUUUAAAAUUCAGUUUUUCUUAUUUUUUUAAAAAAAAUAAUUUUCAAUCACAUAUUUAACAUAAUUUACUAUUUUAUCAAUUUAUCAACCUUAAUAUAUGCACAUCUUUAGUUUUAUUCAAAGGUUGUCACGUAAUUCUUCAUUUUUAUAAUCCAAAAAGUCAAAGAAAGCAUGUUUUAUUUUCUUGUGGUAAUCCAGUUCUUAAACAGGUAGAGACCAGUAAUCCAAACUAGACAUAAUCAUGGAGAAAUCUCAAUACUUUGCUGCUGCAAUUCUUUUGAUAGUCACUCGAAUGGUGUGUUUGGCCGUGUCGGAAACGAAUGUCACUACAGAUCAAGCUUCUCUUUUGACAUUGAAAGCACAAAUCUGUUUAGACUCUUCAGGAAUUCUGUCGAAGAACUGGUCAUCUUCUGCCUUGGUUUGUGACUGGAUUGGAGCCACUUGUAGUUCUCGCGACCAAAGAGUGGCUGCAUUGGAUAUUUCUGGUAUGAAUCUUACUGGAAACGUACGGUCUGAUUUGUGAAAUCUCUCUUUCUUGUUUCUCUCAAUGUAAGUCACAAUAAUUUUUAUAAUACUCUGCCUGAAAGCUUAGCUCAAUUGCGUCAACUAAGAAUAGUUUAUAUCAGUUUCAACAAUUUCAGUGGACAAAUUCCAUCGUGGUUUGGUUUCAUGCCUGAACUGAAAGUUGUGAAUGUUAGAAAUAACAAUUUUACUGGCUUCAUCCCACCCUCACUAUUUAACAUAUCUAGUCUCCAGGAUUUGGAUUUGUCUUUCAAUUCCCUACCAAGAAGAGUCCCAGAAGACAUAGGAAAUCUUUCAUAUUUGAAAACGCUGAAAUUACAAUACAACAGGCUUAUUGGUGUAAUACCGUUGACAAUUUUCAAUAUCUCCACAAUGGAAAGUCUUGCUUUGAUAGGGAAUAGUUUGUUCGGUAAUUUCCCUGUUGGCAUAUGUCAUGGACUUCCAAGAGUCACAGGGCUUUAUCUAUCUUCAAGUGAAUUGGAUGGCGAUAUUCCUUUGUAUCUAUCAGAAUGUUCACAACUUCAGCUCCUUUCCCUGUCACACAACAAAUUUAGCGGAUCCAUUCCAAGAGAAAUUGGGUGCAUAAGGAUGCUUCAGACUUUAUAUCUUGUUUCAAAUGAUUUGUUAGUUAUUUGAAUCAUCAUUGAUGUUGUGUUAGUACUUCAAAUUCUUAUUUAAAAUGAUUUUCGAUCACCGAUGGAAUGAUGUUUUUAUCCAAAUCAACAUGUUGAAAAUAUUGACAGGUAAAAUUCCACAAAAGUUGGGUAACUUAGGGAACCUCGUCGAGUUAGGCAUGGGAGAUAAUUUCCUUAGAGGCUCUACACCAAUAAGUAUCUUUAACAUUUCAUCGUUGCAAUAUAUUAACAUUGCUCAGGGCAACCUAUCUGGUACACUCCCAGCAAAUAUUUGCUCUCCUCAUAACCAACUUGAAGAGGUUUAUUUGCAUCUGGACGAAUUAAUUGGCCCUGUUCCCACAUGAAUAAAUGAAUGCUCUGCACUUUAGAUUUUGUCGUUAUCCUACAUUAAUUUUAGUGGAUUGAUCCACUAGGGCUUGGGAAUUUAACCAUGCUUCGGAAGCUAUAUGUUGGAUAUAAUGAGUUGACCGGUAGGACUUUCUAUAACUUAACUUUUGAGUUUGUCCUUUGUAUUCUUAUACAGAAAAUUAAAGACAGUUGCUGUUUUAAACUUUGAGCAUUUCAUAAUUCUGUAGGUGUAAUUCCACAAGAGAUCGAAAAUCUUUACAACUUGGAGUAUCUUUAUUUUGGUGUCAAUAGCUUAAGCGGUUCCAUUCAACCAAGAAUUUUCAAUAUCUCAACAUUACUAAUGAUUUCAGUUUCAGAAAAUCAGCUUUCGGGCAAUCUGGAUAGGUUGAUUUUGGGAUAUCAGCUUCCUAAUCUUGAAGAACUCUAUUUGAACCAUAAAAAUUUCUAUGGAAGAAUACUAAAUUCUAUUGCAAAUUCUUCUGAGCUCACUAUACUAAACCUUUCUUUCAACAAUUUUACCAGACCAAUUCCCAACUUCUUAUGAGAUUUGAGAUUCCUUAAAGCGGUAUAAUUGAGUGACAACAAUUUUAUUAGUGAAUCUCCAGAAUUGAGCUUCACCACUUCAUUCAAGAACUACAGAUUUUUUAUAAAUUUGGGUUUCGGCAAUAAUCCCUAGAAUGACAUUCUUCCAGUUUUAGUUGAAAAUCUUUCCACUUUUCUUCUAUAUCUUUAUGCUGAUAAUUGUGAUCUCCGAGGUAGCAUUCCACAUGAAAUUGGAAAUCUUAGCAGUUUGAUAGUGUUAAGUCUGUAUGGCAAUCAGUUGACAUGAUCAAUACCAGGAAGCGUGGUGGAUUUGCAGAAGCUUCAAGGAUUGACUCAUUUCCGCAACAAAAUAUGAUCCUGGAUACUCUUUGUGAACUUCACAAUUUAAAGGGGUUGUUGUUGUCUCAUAAUCUAAUGAUAGGUGCCAUUCCAGAUUGCGUGGGGAAUAUUACUACACUAAGAUCUCUAUAUAUAGAUUCCAAUAGAUUGACCUCCAUCAUACCUCUGAGCCUGUGGCUCUAGAAGGAUCUUCUGGAGUUGAAUCUAUCUUCAAAUUUUUUGAGUGGUCAUCUCCCUCGAGAAAUAGGGAAUCUGAAGGUUGCUCUUCUUAUUGAUCUAUCGGCGAAAAAGUUCUCAGGUAGCAUUCCAACCACAAUUGGAGAUUUACAAGGCUUGAUCAAUCUUUCCUUAGCACACAACACACAGCAAGGGUUUAUUCCUGAGUCAAUAGAUAAGCUGCUGAACUUGGAACGACUUGUUCUAAAUCACAACAAUCUUUCUAGUAAAAUUCCCAAUUCCUUGGAGACACUAAAUUAUCUCCCAUACUUUGAUGUUUCAUUCAAUGAUUUAAGUGGUGAAGUUCCCUCUAGUGGUCCUUUCAAAAACUUUCCAAGUUGAUUCUAAUUGUCUAAUAAAGGACUAUGUGGUGAUCCUGUAUAUGGUCUCCCACCAUUUCAUACUAUUGGAAAUGGUAGACAUAAGGGACGAAAAGUGAUGCUUGGAGUUGUAUUUGCUUUGUCGGGUAAUAUAGCACUAAUUAUAGUUGCUAUAGCCUUGGCAUGUGCAGUUAUAACUUACAGAAGGAAAAAUUUGGGGAAAAGUAUAACAGAAUUUGCGACUGGCACAACACUACCAAGGGUCUCAUAUUAUGAGCUUAUGUGAGCUAUUGAAAGGUAUAGUGAAAGCCAUUUACUUGGAUCUGGGAGUUUUGGCUGGGUCUAUAGAGGAACUCUUAAUAAUGGAAGGGAUGUGGUAGUGAAGGUGUCCGAUUUGCAAUACCAAAAUGCAUUCAAGAGUUUUGAUGUAGAAUGUGAUGUCUUUCGUAAUCUAUGGCAUUGAAAUUUGUGCAAAGUCAUCAGUACUUGCUCCAAUCAAGAUUUCAAGACCUUGGUACUUGAGUACAUAUGUAAUGGAAGCCUUGAAAAGUGGUUAUAUUCAGAAAGCUAUUUCUUGGAUAGCUUGCAGAGAAUAAACAUAUUGAUAGACACAGCAUGUGCAUUGGAAUAUCUGCAUUUUGGUCACUCAACAUAGAUUGUUCAUUGUGAUUUAAAGCCAAGUAAUGUAUUGCCGGAUAAAGAUAUGGUUGCCCCCUUGUCUAAUUUCAGGAUUGCAAAGUUAUUGGGCGAAGGAGAAAGUAGUGCACAUACUACAACCUUGGAAACAUUGGGUUACAUUGCACAAAGUAAAGCUUCUAUCUUUUCUCUUGAAUAUUUAGGUACAUUUGGUACACACUAAAGAAAAAUUAGAUAAGAGAUAAAUUUAGUCUGGCAUAAUAUUUUUUUUUUUUAGCUAAAUAAGUCCUUGUAAUAAGAUAACUAGUGUGGGGACACGGGUUGAAGGCGGAUUUGACUCAACUAAAAACAUAGUAGAUGGCAUCAAGAACAAUUAUCCAUAAAGGAUUCAGUCAUAUGAUUAUCUUUAUAAUUUUUGUCCUCAAUUGUCGAAGACAAUUCCCUAUGAUGGGAUUUUGUCAUAUGCUUAGCAGCAUUUCAAUUUCUAAACAAACUAGACUUAGGGUAAAAAUAUUUCAGAGCUUAGAAAUAUUUUAAAUUAUUUUUUGCAAAAAAAUAAAAAUAAAAAAGUCAUGUUAUGUAUGUUUUUCAUUAUAAUACACAAAAUUUGUCAUAUGCUUAGCAAAAUUUCGAUUUCUGAACAAACUAGAGUUAGGGUAAAAAUAUUUUAGUGCCUAGAAAUAUUUUAAAUUAAUUUUUGCAAAAAAAAAAGGAGAAAAAAAAAGAGUCAUGUUGGGUAUGUUUUUACACAUUACACAACUUAUUAUGUUUCUAAUACUAUAUAGCAUCAAACACGAGACAACUCAUAUAUUUCAUAAUGUUUGUGUAGAGUAUGGAUUGGAAGGAUUGGUGUCAAAAAGAUCAAAUGCUUAUAGCUAUGGUAUUAUGUUAAUGGAGAUAUUUACCACAAUGAAUCAAGUAGUGAAAUAUUUUAUGGGGAAUUAAGCCUCAGGAGCUGGAUUAGUGAUUCUAUGCCCAAUGGAAUUACUCAAAUUAUAGAUUUGAGCUUGUUGGCUCCAUAAGAAGAAUAUUAUACAGGAAAGUUGAAAUGUUUGUCAUCUAUAAUGGAACUAGCUUUAAAUUGCUCCAUGUAAAGUUCAAAUGAGAGGGUGAAUAUGAAAGAAGUAGUCGUAACAUUGAAGAAGAUCAGAGAUCAGAUCCUGGCAUAGUAUCCGGAGACAAAAAGGCAACUUUAAUGUUCCAUAGUUUUAGGUUAAGUGCAUAAUGCAAAUUGUUCUCUCUGUAUAUGAUUGUUCUGUGAUACUAUUAGUUUGCCAUGUUCUUUAGUCUGUCACCUUAUAAAACAUACAAUAAAAGGUAUGUUAAAAAUAUCUUAGUUUGCAAGUUGAAUCCUCAAUACUUUUGUACUCGAACCACUUUUCAUUUUCAAUCUAGUUCUGAAAUUCAAAGGUUUAUUCAAGAUGCCUGUAUGUACACAACAAUGGAAGCACUUUGCUGGUAGAUCCUUUGGAAUUUCUUCCACACUUAGGCUUUCUUGAUGUCUUAAUACUUUUUUGAUGUUUCUGUAGAUUUUCGGCGUUUCAAUGAAUUUUUAUUUUAUUUUUUGUUUGAAUUACUAAAUAAAAAUGGAAUGGAAAUAGAAGCUUGGCAAGUUUUCGAGACCUGCCGCUCUCUCCACUUUUUUUCUCUAGCAACCUGUAAGAAUCACUACAUUUCUUCCCUCUUUAUUCAUAUUCUGGCUGAAAUUGCAUUCCAGAAGAUUCCAAAUUACACCCCUAAUUGAAAUAACAAAAUAAAUGGUACAAUCCCCAACAAUCAGAGCCGUAGAUUCUCUAUGCAUCUAAAUAAUAUGAAAGCCUAUCGAUACGGCGCCACCAAAAUUCACCUUGUACUCAAGGUGAUAGUUCGGGGAAUUUAUGGCUCGUUGAUCUUUGAAAACCAGCCAUAUGAUCAAGAGCUAAUGUGAUCCAUAAUUUAGCAACAAGAAGGAUCAAGAGCACGUUAAAAACCAGCCAUACGAGUGAAAAUAUGUCCAUCACUCAUGCUGGAUAGAAUGACAGCACAUGCACAUACACGCACACGAUAUGGGAGUUUAGAUCCAGUGCGUACGUGUACGCGUGCUAAUGCAUGCACAUGCAUGAACCUGAGUAGUUGUCUCAUGUACUAGAUGACGCUUGACAAAUUUUUUAUUAUUUUGGUAAUUUUAUUUAUUUUAAAUAGUCUAGAAGGUUUAUUUAUUCUGAAAAGUUCAAAUGAGAGGGUAAAUAUGAAAGAAGUUGUUGUAGUAUUGAAGAAGAUCAGAUCUCAGAUCCUGUCAUAUUACCCGGAGACAAAAAGCCAGCCUUAAUAUUCCAGAGUUUUAGGUUAGGAGUGUAAUGCAAUGUGUUCUCUAUGUAUGUGAUGAUUCUGUUAUUCUAUUAGUUUGCUAUAUUCUUUAGUCUAACGUAUAUUGUGUCGAUUACAUUAGAAGGCAUACAAUAAAAGGUGCAUUAAAAAUUUCUUAGUUUGCAGGUUGAAUCCUCAAUAAUUUUGUAGUCAAACCACUUGUCUUUUUCAAUCUAAUUCUAAAAUGUAAUGUACUCAUAUAGUCAAUGUUAUACUUCACUCAAUUACAGUCAAUUCAAGGAAUUAUAUAGUCAAUGUUAAAGUCAAAUAAGGAUUUAAGUUGGAGGAAUGAUUUCCAUGGGGUUUAAAUUGAAAUUGCUAGUACUUAAGAGGGGCCAAAAUGAUAUAAAAAUAAAUUUUGGGAUUUAGCGUCUAGUAUGAUAAAAAGAUGAUUAAAUGUUAAAUUAUAUAAAGGUUGGGGACUUGUAUUGUAAUUAUAGUUAUGGGGUGAAAUUUGAAAUACCUUAAUAUAAAAAAAAGAAAAAGAAAAAGAAAAAGAAAAAGAAAAUGGUCAGGUGGUGAAUUCAAUCCAAUUCACACACAAAUGAAAAGAAAAACCCAUUUCAUUCACAUAUACAUAGAGAGAGAAAACGAGGCAGGAAGAGAAAUGAGGAAGGAAAAAGAAGAAGAAAAAUGGGAGAAGAGGAAGAAAAAAAAUAGGAAAGUUCGCCUAUGUUAUUAGAAAAUAAAUGGUCUACAUUAUUUGGCUUGAAUUCUUGAAUUUUGAAAGUAAGUAAAAAGUUACUUUUUGUCAAGUUAUAUUUGAUUUUAUAGUUAUUAGAUUGUUAGAUUAAAUUCAAUUUUAUUAAAGAGGUUAAGUAUAAUAAGCUAUAAAAUCAAGUUAAAUGAAAGAAAAACUAGUUUUAAUGAUUAAAGAGACUUUAGAAAUCACUUAAAUGUGAAAUGAUUAAGUUUAAGUAUUGCCUAUUUAAUGUUGAAAUUACUUAAAAUAGUUAAUUAUUGAUUUAAAAAUUAUAUCAUAUUUUUGGCAGCGAUACGGAUAUCGAGAUAGCUUACCAACCAAGUUGAUAUUUGCGUACAUAGUUCUGUGAGUAGAAAAAUAUAAAUAUUUUAAAAGUAUUUAUAAAUUAAGUAUAUUAUCAAAGUAUGUGCAAUUAUGUAAAUUAUUUGCUCGAUUAUGUGAUUACGAUGAAAAUUUCUUUUAGUAUGAUCCAUAAGGAAUUUCAAGGAUUAUUUAUGGUAUGUUUGUGAUUUGGUAUAUGAGAUAUGUGAUAUCGAUAUUCGUUUGGUAUGUAAGACAUGUAAUAUUGAGAUCGGCCAGAAAAGUACUCAUGAUUAUAUACUUCUUCUAGUUCACAGAGGUGCUUUGGCCAUGUUCUAUCCUACACAAAGGGUCUUGACAUGACAUUGGUCUUGAUAGUGUGCAUAUAGUUCAUAGAUGGACUUUGGCCGUGUUCCAUAAUUGAUUACCAGAGGUCUUUGAGACCGGCUUUCGUUCACGGAGGGGGCCAAAAGCCCGUGACGAAAGUUCUUAGCCUGAUGGACGGAUUAUAAAUUUCAGUCAGAUGGUACAUUUUUUGUGAAUUUUCCAGUACAUUUGAUGUGAUGAGAUUAUAGCAUAAUUACCGGCUUAUGUUUAUAUCAUGAUUUGAGAUGAUAUUUACAAAGUUAUGAGAAUGUUUUUCUUUUUGUCUAUAAUUUUAUGAUAUCAUGUGAAUUACUAAACGAUAUGAACUUGAUGUCUAUGUAUGAGAAAAAUGUUUAAAUGAGAAAGUAUAAUUAUUUUCGAACUUUUCCACUCACUGAGCUACAAACUCAUAUUUUUUUCACGAUUUUUCUUACAGGUAGUAUUGGUCCCUGAUAGCUUGAGGAGUCUGGUGGUUUUAGAAUUAGUGCCACUCGACAUAUUGAGUGAUAUGAUUCAUUUUGGUAAAACAUGAAGUAAUUAUUUCAGGCCCAUUGCAUUAUAUUUUUCAUAAAUAUUUGAUUUUGGCACAUAUUUUGUAGUAAGUCAUAGUCAGCCUUGGUGGUAGAUCUGAUAUCUAGUCAGCGUCUAUCAUCGGCGCACGUCAUGUUCCUAGUCCAUUAGGGUGAUUCGGGACGGGGCGUGUCAGUCAAAAGCUCAAUUAUGCUGCAAAGAGCCAAUUCUUACAAGGUUUAUUCACAAGAAUGAUGGCUUUCACGUCAUAAUUAUUAUGAAUUUUCCUAGACAAUUUUACAUCAUAUUGUUCAGCCUUAAAUCACCAUCUUUAUUAGAAAUAGUUUCCUGUUAUUUUGUGUUAUCCAACUGGCAAUUCCAACUGUCGAUUAGUUAGCUUAUCAAUUAGAUAUCUGUUAUUUUUGGUGCCAACUUUAGCUGCUAUUUAUACACCCCCUGUAUAUACUUAUGGUGAUUUUUCUCUUUCUGAUGAAUAACAAAUUGAAGGUCGCAGUUCGUAUCUUCUUCUUUACUUCCAAUAUGGUAUCAAAGCAAAAAUUCAUUGUUUUAUCAUUCUGUUCAUUUAAUUCCGCUGUGAUAUAUUCAACGGAGUCUGAAAAUAACUCUGGUGGGAGUUUAACCAUGAGUAAAAUUGCCAUUGAUGAACCUUCAAGUCCGUAUUACCUUCACCACUCUGACAGUCCAGGUUUGGUGCUUGUAUCACAACAGCUCACGGGAGAAAACUAUGCCUCUUGGAGCCAUGCUAUGAUAAUUGCACUGUCAGUGAAAAAUAGAAUUGGAUUCAUCAAUGGUACUACAACUCAGCUGGAAGACAAUCUUGAGUUGACUAAUUCAUGGAUUCGCAACAACAACAUGGUUAUCUCUUGGAUCCUCAACUCUGUCUCAAAGGAGAUCUCUGCCAGUAUAAUCUAUGCAACUCUUGUAUAUGAAGUUUGGAAUGACCUCAAGGAGAGGUUUCAACAAAAGAAUGGCCCUCGCAUUUUUCAAUUGAAGAGAGAUCUAAUGAAUCUAAGCCAAGAUCAAAACACCGUCAGCACAUACUUCACAAAAUUGAAGACUAUAUGGAAGGAGUUAAGCAAUUAUCGUCCUACCUGUAGCUGUGGUAAAUGCACUUGUGGAGGAGUGAAAGAGUUGAACAAAUAUUGUCAAAUGGAGUACAUAAUGGCGUUCUUAUAGGGCUACAUGAUUCUUUGCACAGAUCAAAGGACAGCUGUUACUUAUGGAUCCUCUACCUCCAAUCAAUAAGGUUUUCGUCUUAAUUUCACAGGAAAAAAAUCAGAGGAAAGUUGGAGCACAUGUGUCUAAGGGAAAUAUUUUGAAUGAAGCUGCAUUUGUUGUUAAAAAUAACAAUACCAAGGCAGCAGGAUCUCGAUCGAACUUCAAUAACAUAAGACUUGGAAAUUUUAGGAAGAAAGAGAGAUCAUACUGUACACAUUGCAAUAUCCACAGACACUCAAUUGACAAAUGCUAUAAAGUCCAUGGAUAUCCCCCUGGUUUUAAAUCAAGAUCAAGAGAAAAUUUCCAAAAUGCUUCUAGUUCAAGUGCUGUUAAUCAGUUAUCUACUUCACAAAAUGAGAUCACACAACAACCUGCCAUUGGGAAUUUUGUUUAGAAUUUGAUUUUGGCUCAAUAUCAACAGCUAAUGUUGAUGUUAUCAAAUUAUCUGGCUUCUAGCUCUAAUACAGGACCUAAUGACCAGGACAGCAACAUCAUAUCAUCUGAUGCAGGUUGAUAGGUGUGUUUUUGCAUACUUAUUUAGAUCACAAAUACGACUUAAUUACGAGCAAAAUGUUUAAAUUGUGACUUAAUCUCGUUAAAUUCAUGCAAUGUAAGUGUUUCUAUGGAAUGGUGGAAUUCAGGAGAAAAGAGCUGAAAAAGGACUAAAAUGGAGCAAAGUGAUAGUUCAGGGACCAAAGUGAAAUUAUACAAAAGAUGGUCCGAAGGACAAAUCAAGGAAGUGAAUGAGCUAAGUACCAAUUUGGCGAUAUUAUGAGAUGAUGGAAAUAAAAGAAAGAAGCGAAAACAGACUAAAGUUGAAGAAACUGAAAGUUCGGGGAUCAAGUGGCAAAUAAUCCAUAGAUGAGACAGGCAAUGGAAUGAAGAUUCAAGAAUGUUAGAGGUCAAUCAAAUGAUCAAAGGAGUCAAAGAGGUGAAAUAUGGUCGAAGUAUUAUCAAGUAUCAACUUUCAGGCGGAAAAAGUUAUACUCGUGAUUUUUAGUCUCUACUUGAGAUCCAUUUUUGGCAUAGUAAAUAUCAGAAUUUGAGAAAGCCUAUUUCCAUCAAACAUGUAGAUCUUUGAGUUUUAUUCCUAAUUCACUUUGAAUAACUUCAAUAAGAGAUCAGGAGAAAAAGUUAUGACCAAAAUACUAAAAGCUGUCCGACGGAAAGAAUGGCAUAACCAUGCAGUCGCAUGGUAGAAACCUCUAUGCGGUUGCAUAGAGGCCUCCCGAGAAAUUUUUCUCAAAUUUUUUUUACUUUAUGCGGCCACAUAGAAAUGUACUAUGCGGUCGCGUAGGUAUAUUUUGGGGGUCAAUUCUGUAGUUUCUUUAUACGACUAAAACUCUUUUGGUAACCUAAUUUCCACGCGAUAUAAAUACCAAAAGACGUUCAGAAAGAGGUAGAAUGGAUUGGAGGCAAAAAAAAAAAAAAAAAACACUUGUUGAAGAGGAUUUUGAGCGUAAGAACGAAGAUUUACCCAAAGAGUUUCAAGAUUUCUCAAGAUUUCAUAAUCCGGUGAUGCCUUUUAUCCAAAAUGUGAUGUAUUCUUUUAUUUUGACCAUGUUAGGCUAGAUUUUCAUGUGUUAGGAGAUCGAUGUACCAUGUAAUUUGAUCUUUAAUUUUCUAGUUUUGCAAUUUGACAUUAAGACAUAUUUCUAUUGUUUUGAAUGAUUUAUAUGCAAUUAUUGUUUCCGCAAUUAAGGGCUCGUAAUUGUGUGAGUUUGGGUAAUUUAUUCAUGCAUUCGAGAGAAUUGGAAUAGGUUUGACAUAAUAUAAAUUAUCGUAGGGUCCGAUAGGGGAUAGAAAUAUACUGCUAUGCCCUACGUGAAUCUUUAAGUGUUCAUAAAACCGCAUACAUUUUUAUAUAUGCACUUGUCAUAGAAAUAUAGGCCGGUGGUAUGUAAAAACAGGUUUGAUACAUCUCGAGAGAGAGUAUUGGAUAGAUUUAGGAAUAUUGAUUCGUCACAAUUGAAGUGUGUUGUCAUAUUGUGAUAUUAGAGUUUUAAAGUGAUAAUUGCAUGGGAAAUCGUAAUCCUAGUGUGUUUAAUUUCUAUUGAUUACAACAAACAUGGGUUCUCAACAUUUGAUUUCAUUCUAGAGUGUUAAAAAUAUUGUUUUGCAUAUUUAAUUUAAAUCAAUCAUAAAAAUUGCAUAAUUAGGGUUUCUUUCCAAAAUUAGGGUUUUAAUUAGGUUUACAUUCACUUUAGUAAUUUAGUUUCGGUUAAGGCGAAGAUAGGUAAAAUUGAACUAAUCAAUCUCUGUGGGACGAUAGUCGGACUCAUUUAAUCCACUUUAUUACUUGUUAACGAACCGUACACUUGCGGUAGUUUUAAAUCGAAAGAAAUAAUUUCUUGAACAAGUUCUUGGCGUUGUUGCCGGGGAUUGAGUUUAGUUUAAUUUUAUUUCUCAAGGCACUAAUUUGAACUUCAAUUUUUAUUUUGUUAGUAUAAUUUUAUUUUUAUUUUUAUUUUAGGUUAUUAUCCUUUACUUUGUGUUUUAGUUAUUUAAAUUGUUUGAAUCUCAGUACUCGUGCUGGUUUUGUUUCUCAGAUUUGCACGUUACGAUUGACUGGAGGAGAAUUGAUUCCAGCUGAUCCUGAAAUCCAGCACACCUUUCAUCGACUACAAAGAGAUCACCGAGAAGCACAAGUACAAAUGGCUAACGAACUAAAUAAUCCCAUUGUUCAAGCUAAUGAAGGAGAGGUAAUGGAUGAAGGAAAUGAGAUUCUGGGAGAUUUCUUAACCCCUCAAGUAAUUCAAAGUCAAUCCAGCAUAGUAUACCCACCGUUUGGGCAGCCAAAUUUCCAAUUGAAGACCAAUGUUAUACAACUAUUUCAAAAUGGACACCAGUUUUAUGGCAAAGCCGAGGAGAAUCCACAUACACACAUAUCUUAAUUUUUGGAUAUGUGUCAACAUUUCAGAUACCAAGGGAUUUCGGACGACACUAUUAGGCUAAGGCUGUUUCCACAUACGCUACGAGACAGAGCACUUGAAUGGUUGGAUUCACUUUUGGUUGUAAGUAUCACUACAUGGAACGAGUUGGCAGAUAAAUUCUACACAAAGUUUUUCUCCCCAGCCAAGAUAGCAAAGCUGAGACAUGACAUAUCAGUAUUCAGUUAAAGAGAAACCGAAUCAUUUGAUGAAACUUGGAACAAAUUCAAAAACAUGCUUCAGAAGUGCCCUCAACAUGGGUUUGAUAAAAAGACCCAAAUCCGAUUCUUCUACACAAGAUUACUUCCACACCACAAAAUCAUGGUAGAUUCAGCGUCAGAUGUCUCAAUAUCCACACGAAUAGUUGAUGGGGCAUUGGAAUUAUUUGAGAGAAUGGCUACCACAUCAGCCAUGUGAUCUUAUGAGAGGGCGAUUCCAAGGAAAACUCCGGGUGUCUACGAGGUGGAUACUUAUUUACCAAUAUCUGCAAAAAUCGACUCUCUGUAUCACAAGGUGGAAAGCAUACCACAAGCAGAACAAGCUAAGAAAAGCAAUUGUGAGAAAUGUGGACCUGAGCAUAAAACAUCGGAAUGCCCAAUACUCAUGCAAGGAAUUGAGCAAGAAGACUAUACACAGUGGGGACAACGCCAACAACACAAUCAAUAUGGAGGAACUUUCAAUCCCAUAUGGAAGAAGCAUCUCAACUUCUCUUGGAGCAACCAGGAUCAAAAUAGGCCACAGGGACAAUUUCAACAACAAGAGAAGAGGCCUCAAUUGGAAGAUAUGAUAGGAAAAUUCAUGGAGAAAGUCGAAGCUACACUUCAAAAUCAAAAUGCAACAAUCAAAAAUUUGGAAACUCAGAUGGGGCAGUUGGCCAUAGCAUUGACUAGCAGGAUGCCAGGUAACUUGCUGAGUAACACAAAAAUCAAUCCCACAGAGCAAGCUAAGGCCAUUACAACUCGAAGUGGAGUACAAUUGCCUGAAAUUCAUGUCAAGAGACCGAGUGUGAUUGGAGAGACAUCUUCCCCUAUUGAAGAAGAGACUGUUGUAAAGGAAUCAACUCCAAAGAAAAAUUCAAAAAAGUCACAGGAUAAGGCCAAAGUCACAGUCAACCCAUACGAGCCUCCGAUUCCCUUUCCACAGUGGUUGAAGAAGCAGAAAUUGGAGCAAUAGUACAAAAAAUUCCUAAAAGUCUUCAAAAAGCUCCAUAUCAGCAUCCUACUAGCCGGUGCACUAUUCCAGAUGCCUAGCUAUGCAAAGUUUCUCAAAGAUAUUAUAUAAAAGAAACGCAAGCUGGAGGACCAUGAGACAGUAAUGUUUACGGAGGAAUGCAAUGCCAGAAUCCAAAAAAAGCUCCUACCAAAAUUGAAAGAUCCAGGGAGUUUCACUGUCCCUUGCACAAUUGGUGAUUUUUAUUUUGAUAAAGCAUUGUGUGAUCUCAGUGUGAAUAUUAACUUGAUGCCACUCUCUAUUUUCAGGAAACUAGGAUUGGGAGAGCCUAAGGCAACCAUAGUAACUCUACAGCUAGCAGAUCGAUCACUUACAUAUCCACAAAGGAUUGUUGAAGAUGUAUUGGUCAAAGUGGAUAAACUCAUAUUCCCAGCAGACUUCUUGAUUUUGGAUAUGGAAUAAGACAAGGACGUGCCUAUCAUAUUGGAACGACCAUUUUUGGCUACUGCAAGAGACCUCAUAGAUGUGCAGCAAGGACAAUUAACUCUGAGGCUGGGGGAGGAACAAGUCUCUUUUAAUGUUUUCAAGGAAAUGAAAUACCCCAACGAGCCUAGAAGUUGUUUCCAGAUUGAAGUGCUUGACAUAGGAAUCCCCUAUAAUUUUGAGUUGAAGAAACAACCAAACAUUCAUGAAGCCUGUAUAGUACACUCUCCAUCCGUUCUUAUCGAUUCAAAGGAGAUUAAGGCAUUCAAUGUGGGAUUUCAUACGGAUGAGGAGAGAAAGACAAACCACUUGGAGAAAGACAGGGAUGAAAUUCGGAGGAUAACUGCAGUACGAAACAAGACCAUAUUCAGCAAACUAUGCAGGACCUCCAAAGCCAUAUUUAAAGUUCUAAAAAAUACCUGUGCCAAAAGUCGAGCUAUCGACUAUAAAAUAGCGCUGAUUGGGAGGCAACCCAACAUCUCUACCCUUUGUUUAUUUCAUUUUACAUUAGUCUAGGAGUUUUUCAAUUUUUCAACAUUUUUAUUAGUUUAGGUCAUCGUUUAUCCAUGCAUGUCAAUAAAUAGCCUAAGCACAGUCCACACGAGUCUUAAUGCAUUGAGCACGAGUCAUAAGGUUGAAGCCCUGUUUUAGUCAGUCAUGUGUCAAAUUGAACAAAGGGCAUGAUUAGAGCUAAACUUUGCUGGUACCCUAAAGCCAACUGGUUUCAUUAUCACUGGUCUAAAGCUCAUUACAUGGAUUAUAUAGAAAGCAAAUGAGAAGAUGUUGAUAAAAAAAAAGGGAAAGUGAGAAAAACAAAAGAGAGACAAUAACAUGAAGAAAAGCCCUUAGACAUUUGGUUGAGGAAACUAUACCUUUGAGACAAGGCAAGUAACUUAUUUUAAUCUUAAGUGUCGAAGCAAUCAAACUUGGGAGAGCCGUCACUUGUUGAAAUGUAAACUUGUGAUAGUGAGAUUAAUCCAAACUACGAGAGGGUGAGGACUACAGCUAUGUAAACUCCUAAUUUUAAAACACAACCCCGGGAUAAUUGAGUGAAAAGAAUAAGUUUGGGGGGUUGUGUAUCUUUCGAGGGAGUAAGGAUACAUUUGACCACUUGGGGCCGGGACUCAACUCAUCAUGAAUUUGAUAUGUUGGCACGAAUUCACAUACACACGUCAAGUAUGCAUUUAACAGGUAAAGGUUGAUGUCAUUUUUGCACUGGUAAAUUUUCAUAAAAUCAAAUACUUAGUCCAAUCCUGAGCCACGACAGGGUAUUAAGCCAUGCUUGUUCAGAAUUAAGUGACUAUCUCAUUUGAGGACAAACAAUAGUUCAAGUUUGGAGGGUUUGAUAAGUGUGUUUUUGCACACUUAUUUAGAUCACAAAUAUGAUUUAAUUACGAGUAAAAUAUUUAAAUUGUGACUUAAUCUCAUUGAAUUUAUGCAAUGUAGGUGUUUCUAUGGAAAUGGUGGAAUUCAGGAGAAAAGAGGCUAAAAAGGACUAAAAUAGAGCAAAGUGAUAGUUCAGGGACCAAAGUGCAAUUAUCCAAAAGAUGGUCCGAAGGACAAAUCAAGGAAGUGAAUGAGCUAAGUACCAAUUUGGUGAUAUUAUGAGAUGAUGGAAAUAAAAGAAAAAAGCGAAAACGGACUAAAGUUGAAGAAACUAAAAGUUCGGGGACCAAGUUGCAAAUAAUCCAUAGAUGAGACGGGCAAUGGAAUGAAGAUUCAAGAGUGUUAGAAAUCAAUCAGAUGAGGAGAGGAGUCAAAGAGGUGAAAUAUGGCCAAAGUAUUAUCAAGUAUCAACUUUCAAGCGAAAAAAGUUUUCUCGUGAUUUUUAGUCUCUACUUGAGAUCCAAUUUUGGCAUAGUAAACAUCAGAAUUUGAGAAAUCCUAUUUCUAUCAAAAGUGUAGAUCUUUGAGUUAUCUUCCUAAUUAACUUUGAAUAACUUCAAUCGGAGAUUAGGAGAAAAAGUUAUAACCAAAAUACUAAAAAUUGUCCGGCGAAAAGAAUGGCAUAACCAUGCAGUCGCAUGGUAGAAACCUCUAUGCGGUCGCAUAGAGGCCUCCCGAGAAAUUUUUCUCAAAUUUUUUUUACUCUAUGCGACCGCAUAGAAAUGUACUAUGCGGUCAUGUAGGUAUAUUCUGGGAGCCAAUUCUGCAACUUCCUUAUACGACUAAAACUCUUUUGGUAACCUAAUUUUCACGCGAUAUAAAUACCAAAAGACGUUCAGAAAGAGGCAAAAUGGAUUGGAGGCAAAAAAAAAAAAAUACUUCUUGAAGAAGAUUUUGAGCGCAAGAACGAAGAUUUACACAAAGAGUUUCAAGAUUUCAUAACCCGGUGAUGCCUUUUAUCCAAAAUUUGAUGUAUUCUUUUAUUUUAACCAUGUUACGCUAGAUUUUUCAUGUGUUAGGAGAUCGAUGUACCAUGUAAUUUGAUCUUUAAUUUUCUAGUUUUGCAAUUUGACAUUAAGGCAUAUUUCUAUUGUUUUGAAUGAUUUAUAUGCAAUUAUUGUUUCUGCAAUUAAGGGCCUGUAAUUGUGUGAGUUUGGAUGAUUUAUUCAUGCAUUCGAGAGAAUUGGAAUAGAUUCGACAUAAUAUAAAUCAUCGUAGGGUCUGAUAGGAGAUAGAAAUAUACCGCUAUACCCUAUGUGAAUCUUUAAGUGUUUAUAAAAUCGCAUGCAUUUUUACAUAUGCACUAGGCCGGUGGUAUGUAGAAAUAGGUUCGAUACAUCUCAAGAGAAAGUAUUGGAUAGAUUUAGGAACAUUGAUUCGUCACAAUUGAAGUGUGUUGUCAUAUUGUGAUACUAGGGUUUUAAAGUGAUAAUUGCACAGGAAAUCGUGAUCCUAGUGUGUUUAAUUUCUAUUGAUUACAACAAACGUGCGUUCUCAACAUUUGAUUUCAUUCUAGGGUGUUAAAAAUAUUGUUUUGCAUAUUUAAUUUAAUUCAAUCAUAAAAAUUGCAUAAUUAGGGUUUUAAUUAGGUUCACAUUUACUUUAGAAAUUUAGUUUCGGUUAAGGCAAAGAUAGGUAAAAUUGAACUAAUCAAUCUCUGUGGGACGAUAUUCGGACUCAUUUAAUUCACUUUUUUAUUUGUUAACGAACCGUACACUUGCGAUAGUUUUAAAUCGAAAGAAAUAAUUUCGUGAACACAGGUGUAUGUUACUCCAUAUCUGUCAAUCCAUUUUUUUCUUCCAAAGACAUUUGGAUAGUUGACACUGGGGCCAUCAAACAUGUUUGUGCUGUUGCCAAGGCAUUUGUGAAUAUGAGAAUCAUAAAAGUUUCUAAUGUACCUGACCAAACUCAAAUCUCAGUCAGAUUAUGUGAUGAUGUCAGAUUGAGUCAGAAUAUUAUACUCUGAGAUGUUUUGUUUGUUCCACAAUUCAAGUUUAACCUCCUGUCAGUUAGUGCCUUGACUGUUGCUCCAAAACUCACGUUCAAAUUCUUUCAUGAUGGCUUCAUCAUUCAGGAUGCCAGGACCAUGAAAAUGACUGGCAAGGGUGAUCAAGUGCAAGACCUGUAUGUUCUUGACACCAAGGUUUUGAAUUCUGUUUCAAGUUCUUUUGUUAACAAUGUAUCUGUUAAUGUGUGGCAUAAUAGAUUAGGCCACCUUUCGUUUAAAAGAUUAGAUAGCCUGAAGGAUCAGUUAUUGUAUGAUGUUACUAAAAUGAACAAACACAUGCCAUGUUACAUCUGUCCACUUGCUAAGCAGAGGAGGUUAUCCUUUGAAUCUAAUAAUAAGUUGUCAAAUAAUCCUUUUCAUCUGAUUCAUUGUGAUACAUGGGGGCCUUACCAUGUAUCUCCAUACACAGGAUACAAUUACUUCUUACAUUGGUCUAUGAUUGUUCAAGGUACAAGUGGGUGUAUCUGUUAAGGCAAAAAUCUGAAGCCAGAAAUGUUAUCCCCUGAUUUUUUAACAUGAUUAGCACUCAAUUCAACACCACCAUUAAGAUGUUCGGGUCUGAUAAUGCUAAUGAAUUAGUAUUCACUGAAUUCUUUGCUGAGAAAGGGGUCAUUCAUCAGUUCAGUUGUGUAGAGAGGCCAAAACAAAACUCUAUGGUUGAACGUGAGCACCAGCACUUGUUAAAUGUAGCCAGGUCUUUGUACUUUCAGUCACGAGUUCCUGUUGAAUUUUGGUCAGAAUGUGCAUUGGCUGCCACCUUCUUAAUAAACAGGACUCCAUCCCCCAUUUUAAAACACAGAACACCUUAUGAGGUGCUAUAUGGUAAACCUGCUGAUUACUCAAUGCUUAGUGUUUUUGGAUGUUCGGCAUUUGCAUCCACUAGAACUACACAUCGAACUAAGUUCCGGCCACGAGCUUGUAUAUGUGUGUUUCUGGGAUAUCCAAUUGGAGUUAAAGGAUAUAAACUGAUGUCAAAACCAAACAAUUGUUUGUGUCUCGUGAUGUGGUGUUUCAUGAAAAUAUUUUUCCCUUCCAUAUAGUUGAGGCUAAUGAUCAGCUUUUGGAUCCUUUCCCAGAUUUAGUGUUGUGUAUUCCAUGUUCAUAUUUACAUUCGGAUCCAUCCCCUUCCACUCAUCACAGUACAAAUCCUCGAUCCAACCCAUAGAGAAUGUUUAACUUCCCCAUCUCCACUUGAAAAGGGAACAUUAGACCAAUUUACCAAUGAUCACUGUAUUACCUUAUCGACUGAUCAAUCAAAUCUCCCACAGACCAUUAUUUCACCAUCACCUAUUAUUCCAUUACGCCAUUCCCAAAGGACCUCUAAAUCACCCAAGUACCUUAGAGAUUAUCAUUGUAACCUUAUAUCAAAUCAAACCAAUUCUGAAACUAAUACCUCCUACCACAUUGGACACUACCUAUCUCAUAACAAUAUAUCUCAUAAUCACAAAAAUUUUGUCCUAAACCUUUCUUCACAAUUUGAACCGCAUUUCUUCCAUCAAGCUGUCAAGUCUCCACAUUGGCGUGAAGCUAUGAAGGCAGAACUAGAUGCCAUGGAACUCAAUAACACCUGGUCUAUUGUUCCUUUACCAAAGGGUAAACAUUCCAUAGGUUGCAAAUGGAUCUACAAAAUUAAGUAUAAAUCUGAUGGAACUUUGGAUAGACACAAAGCACGGUUGGUGGCUAAAGGCUUUACACAGCAGGAGGUCUCAAUUACUUUGAAACCUUUUCCCCAGUUGCUAAAAUAGUCAUUGUCAAAAUGUUAUUGGCUCUUGCAGCUUGCCAUAAAUGGCAUCUUGUCCAGCUAGAUGUCAGCAACGCCUUCUUGAAUGGUGACUUGUUCGAGAAGUAUACAUGGACUUUCCUAUGGGCUAUGAGACUCCCAAAUGUUCCAACAAGGAAAGAGAUUAGUAUGCAAACUGAACAAGUCAAUUUAUGGCCUCAAACAGGCCUCCAAACAAUGGAAUGCAAAGUUCACUCAAGUCCUUAUUCAUUGUGGUUUCCAUCAAUCAAAAGCUGACUACUCUCUAUUCACUAGGGAUCUGAACCCGACUUUGUUGCUUUACUUGUAUACGUUGAUGACAUCGUUAUCACUGGGCCAAACAUUCAAGUAAUUAACUCUUUAAAGGUGUUUCUACACUCCCAGUUUAAGCUCAAAGAAUUAGGUAACUUGAAGUAUUUUUUGGGAAUUGAGAUUGCUUGAUCUCAAACUGGUAUUGUCAUAUCUCAAAGACAUUACACACUUCAGUUGUUGGAGGAUGCUGGUUACUUAGAUUGCAAGCCAACAAGCACACCCAUGGAUCCAAAUAUUAACAUAAGCAUUCAUGAUGGGGACUUGUUUCCAGAUGCAACACAUUAUCGUCCAGUUGAUUGGGAAGCUGAUUUACUUGACCAUUUCACGACUUGAUAUAACCUUUGCUGUUCACAAGCUGAGCAAAUAUCUGUCUCAACCUAGAAUGCCACAUCUCAAAGCAGUGCAUCACCUCCUUCAUUACCUCAAAGGCAAUCUUGGUCAAGGCUUGUUAUUUUCUGCUUUAUCUAGCCAUCAAUCAAGCAUCAACCUUUGUCCAUUCUCGAAGGUAGACUAGGGCACUUGUCUUGACACAAGAAAAUCCACCACUGGAUUUUGUAUUUUUCAUGGCGACUCCUUGGUAUCCCGGAAAGCUAAGUGCCAAUCCACAGUGUCUCGCUCUUCAGCUGAGGUAGAAUACAGGGCAGUUGUAGCAACCAUUAGUGAAGUGAUCAACCAAUUAUUGGAAGACUCUCAAAUUUGUGUAGCAUCACCAGCAGUGCUUUUUUGUGACAACCAAGCUGCAAUUCAGAUUGCAAAUAAUCCCAAUUUUCAUGAAAGGAUGAAACACAUUGAAAUUGAUCUUCAUUUCAUUCGAGACAAGAUUAAUGCUGGGGUUAUCAAGUUAUUGCCAGUUCGUUCACAACAUCAGCUAGCCGACGUCUUUACAAAACCACUUCUAGCUAUGGUCCUUAUUCCGUUGAUAUCCAAGAUGAAUGUAAAAGACAUUUACAUUCCAUCUUGAGGGGGCAUAUUAGAAAUAGUUUCCUGUUAUUUUCUGUUAUCCAGCUGUCAAUUAGUUAGCUUAUCAGUGAGGUAUCUGUUAUUUUUGGCGCCAACUUUGGCUGCUAUUUAUACACCCUCUAUACAUACGUAUGGUGAUUUUUUCUCUUCCUGAUAAAUAACAAAUUGAAGGUUGCAGUUCGCAUCUUCUUCUUUACUUCAAAUAAUCUUCAUAUAAGUGUGGUUACUGGAAGUUGUGAACAGAACCCACACGAAUGAUCCAAGUAACACCUUCAAUAACACAAACCAUGACAAAAAUAAUUUGGUAUGUGCGCUAGAAGUACCCAUCAACGGAAGUACUCUAGUAGUAGAUGUUUUUGAUAUAAUUUCCAGCACUUCAACGUCUUUUUGCUGAAUUACUGAAUAAAUACUACACUUCCCUCCAUUUUAUUCAUAUCGUGGCUGAAAUUGAAUUUCUGAAGAUUCCCAAAUUAAAUUCCACCGCUGACUAAUUGAAAUUACAGAAUAAAUGGUACAAUCCCUAACAAUGUGACCCACAGACUUUCUAUGCCUCUUAUUAAAAUUGUUCAGCUCAACAAAUCUGUUUGUAAGGAUAAUACAGGAGAAAUAAGGAGGUUCCAAAAAUGUGAUCUAUAAUCUAGCAAGAAGAAGGAUCACGAGCACAUUAAAACCCAUCCAUAUGAGUGUAAAUGUGUCCAUCAUGCAACACACACAUUACUUUAAAUGAAAAAAUCCUAAACAACAGGCAGCGUACUCAUAGUUUAACAACUUAUUGCAAUGUAAAAAUCUAUGUGAAAGACGUAUUAAUAAUCGAAUGCUGCACUAGAUACCCAAAAGGAAGAAGAUACAGGUGAAACCAAUGUCAUUCACAUAUCAGGGUUAGCUUCUUCAGAAGUCACAUUCAGAGUUACUGAACUAUUAUUUGCUCUCCUCACAUAGGCUUAAAUGGUUUCCCAAUUUUAUCUCCCAUAAUAUCGAUAACCUGAAAAAAUAAAAGUAAUAUUCGGAUUUUGCAGAUAACAAAUGUGAACCGUAAUCAACAGCGAGGAAGGAGAAAAGAAACAGAGCAAAUUACAGAAAUCCAAGGAUUCAAAUAAAAAUAUAAAGGUCAUUUGACGUCCUAAUUUUUUUUUGAGAAACCCAACUUAUGAACCAAACAUUAUAAUACUUAAAAGAAAAUAAUUUUAGAAAAAAAGGGGGUGGGGUGGGUUUAUUAUCAAGUAUGAAACUUGAAAGUGGUCGUUCUUUUAAGUGGUAAAUAGAAUAAGAAUAAUAUCCAAUAUUCUUUAUCUACAUUUCUAUCAAUACCAUUGAAUCACCUUAUCUAAAAGUUUAAGCUGUUGGAGAGUGAACAUUUUAUUUAACUAAAUUGUCACAACACACACACAUAGUUAGAUACAAAAGCUAUUAUAAUCCACUUGAAUAUCACGCCUAUCAUGAAAAGGUCCCACUGCAUGCUCACAUGACAUAAAAUGAAUAUUUGGUCCUUGGUUAACUAUGAGACCAAAAUCAACUUGGAUGUAAGUGCCUCAUGAUUUUGCGUGCUUGUGUGCUGGUUUAGGACAAGUGCCACAAAAGCAUAAAUAUCAAUGAGCAUUGAAAAUUGAGCUUAAUCAUUACUUACAAUAAAAUAAUAGAAAAUGAUUGAACUGCCCAUACAAUUCCCUAUAAAUAGACCAUUGCAUAAUGAACAAAUGGAGAAAUUCUAUUUGAUGACCCUAGCAAUUGAAAUAACAUCUCUUGGACAAAAGAUCUUGAAUUGGACGAAUAUAUGAGGGACUCAAGAGAGCGAAGCAGUGCUAACAUCCCUAUCUAAGUUUGAUCAACCAUUUCCUAGUUGAUUUGGGAACUCCUGCACUACCUAUGGACAGAAACUCUACAGAUAUAUCCACUCUGAGGGGUUUGAAUUUGCUAAUUUAGAUGGCAUGCAAAAUCCUGUCCCCAUGGUCCCCAACAUGUGAUGCAUUGAACUCAUUCUGAAAGUUUCAACGGAGAUAAUUGAGGGACAUUUCAGGGUAGUUAAAAUUUUGGUGGCCUUAAUUUUAUUGUGCAGUAAAAAAUUCUCUAAUGGGUUUAAAGCUAUUCUCAAGGCUUUCGAGAAAAUGGCCUACUUGGGUGAUGGGAGAAUUAAAGAUGCGUGGAAGAAGAGCACUCCAUAUUGUUUUCAUAUUGUUUUUCUAUUUUUUAAUUUUAAGUUUUGGACUAUUGGUGAAAAGCCCAAUCAAAAAACAAGCAGAGAAGCCAUAGAUUUCACUCCUCUCUACUUCUGCCUCUCUAUGGCUCUGCUCGACACCUCACUCCUUAGCCUCUCAUUCUUGUCUCUCACAUCGAUCUUUAUAUUGAUUGGGAGCUUCGGUUGAAAUUGGCUUUUAACACUGAAUAGAUUUUCAAGUUAUGGUUUUAUAAGCUAAAUAAAAUUUCAAGGAAUGGGUUUAUCAUAUCUUGAUCCCUAUAUUUAUCAUUAAUGCAUUAGGCGUUCCAAGUUUUUGUCAUUUUAUUAAUUUUAUGUUUAUGUGUUUUGUUUUAUUGUUCUGAAUUGAUGCUGUGAAGACACUUUUGAAUUAUUCUACAUAAAAAUGUCUUCAAUUUUAAUUUUUUAAGGGUCAACUUGGAAAAAAAUCUGCCUUUUGUUUUAUUUUCAAUAUUUUUUUUUUUGUUGGGACUCCUGUUCUCGUUUUAUUUAUACUUUAUGCAUACUAAGAUGUACGUAUUUUCUAUUUGUACGGGUCUUUUUUUGUAUUGAAUUUUUGGCCAUAAGAUCGAUGGAAAAUAGAAAGGAAAAAUAAGAAAAAAGAAGUGUAGAUUGAUUUUUUGGGAUGUGGUUUUGCACUUGAAGUAGGAAAUUAAUCUGGCUAAUGUAGAAGUAAAGAAAUUAGCAAGAAAUUGAUGAACAAUUAUGUUAAACAUAUAAAUUUGGUUAAAACUAUUAAAUUUCUGUAAUUCGUAGAUAUUUUGCUAUUUUAGUUAAAAUUUGAAAAUAAUUCUGUUAAGAUUUAUCUAUAGAUUCGAGCAAAGAAUUUCCUAGUAAUUUGAUUUUGCGGACCAUUUUAAUCUCAAUAGAGAGUUGUUGCUUAUGAAAAUUUGUGAUUCUUGAUGCAUUGAUCUUCAUAUUGAUUUUUUAAUUUUUAUUUUUUUGGGGGGCGGGGGGUGGCAUUCGGUCUAUAGUAGUCCAAAAAAGGAAGUGCUUAAUACUACCUAUUUUAUAUUUAUCAUCAUGGCCAAAAGAUUCAAAUUUUGUUGUUGAUCAAAUUGUACCUGCACUAAACAAUAUUCCUGGCUCCACCCCUGCAGAUUGCACCAGAGGCACAGGAUUCCAACCUCCUCCAUGUAAGUUAUACUAAAGCUAUGGAUGCUUCAGCAACACCUGUUGCAUUCUGUAAACAUGGUGGUGAUUCCCAGAUGCCUGGUGCUAAGAAAUCAAAGAAGCAAUGAUGUCCUCUGGUUCUGCAUUCCUAACCUUUAACUCCUUGACUAAUUAUUUGAUUUGGUCCUGUAUAACUCCUAACUAUUUGGUUCACACACAUGGAUGACAGUAUUAACUUGAUAUAUUUGGUACCUGGUUGGUUGAUUCCCUCUCCUAAUUUGAUAGUAUACUUUGAAUUUCAAAAAAGGGAAAAUAUGUGAAAUUUUGGUUUAAAACAUGAACUACUAGCAGUUGGUAGUAUGUAGUGAUUGGUUAAUUUGAUGAAAUUCAAUAUGCAUACCGAUGAAUUAUUUUAUGCCUUUGGUGCAUGUUAAGAUGUACUGGAUGCUAAAUUUUGAUUCACUGCAUUAUAUCAUAAAAGUGUAUUUUCAAUCGAUUGAUGUGUCUUCUAAAAGAAUGAAAUAAUGUCUUUCCUCUCUUAGCAAUUUAUUUACUUUUCAGUGAAAAAAAAAAGGAAAAAAAAAAAAGAAGACAAAGCAACCAUGAACCAAUAAUAGUCCAACAUUAAGUCCGAAAGACAACAAGAUGCAAGUUAUUAAAUAAUAAGCCGAAGAAGCAAUAACAAUCCAAUUUAAAAAUAAUCCUACAAGACAGCUGUCCAAAGGCAACAUCAUUUCAACAAUUAAAAAUUAUUAUGCUGGCAAGGCAACAACACUUCAAAAAAUUCAUUUGAAUAAAAACUAUCAUCAAUAGCUAAUUAACAAAUACGUACCUGCUUAGUGAGCAUAUCCCAUUUAUGGUUAAAAUUGAAUGUAGAAUACGAGAAACUAGAAAUGAGCAAUGAACUUUAAAAAUAAAAAUAAAAGACAAAUCUAUAAAGUUCAUACUUAUGGCCCAAUAUGGCUUUACAACAAAGAAAAAUCUAUAAAGUGCUAUUUUAAUUUGAAUUCUAGAUUUUGUUUAGAGUGCUUGAUUUGUAAAGAUUAUUUAAAUGUCAAGGCACUUAAAAUUGAGCACAUUUGUUUUAUCAAAGCACGGUUAAUUGCAACAAGAAAAUAUUAAUUCUAUUGACGAAGAAAUCGAGUUGAGAAACAAAAUAAGACAGACAAUAAUUUUCGGAAUGGGAAUGUUUUGUGCCUUUGUCAGGAAGAGAUUUUGUGCUAGGAUUUGAGCUGAAUUUUUUUUUCUUUUUCUUUUUACACCGGCUGCAAUUUUUCGAACAUGGGCUACAUAUAAAAAAUAAAAAAAUUGGUUUUUAAAUUGGAUCUGGGAUGGGGUUCUUGGGCUGUAUCGUAGUCGUCCAUGUCUUAGAUGUAGUUAAGUUUCCCAUAGACUGCCUUUUCCCAUUCUUAGUUGUUUCAAACGAAGUGAAUAACUCUUCAUUAGAGAAAAAAAUGUCGCUUAGUACAUUGUUAAUCAAUGACUCUUUUGGAUUUGAACCCACCAAAUUCACUUCAAAAAUUAUGGCUGCUAUGUACAUUUCAGACACAUCGUGUUCCAUGUAAUCACCACAUAUGCUUCUUUCUUAUUCUUCUUCGCAAUAUUCACUCCAAAAACUUGUGGCCUACUUUGUCACUGUUGAAGCACUUUCCUUAAAAUUUCUUCUCAAAAACUCUACCUUUUGUCUCAAACUUAGACCCUUUGCUACUAGAUAGCCUGUUCGUGCGAAACCUGCAAGUGUAUGGGACCAUUGACAAGUAAUAAAUUUAGUGAGUUAGACAAAACUCCUGAACCGAGCGAUUCUUCUUAAGUUAAAUACCCGAACCGGUAUUUGAAUCGAGAAUCGACGAGUUUAGUUCUGUUAUCGGUUCUAGAUCAAGAACCCAAGAACUAAAUAAGAACCGAAUCUUCCUAAUUUUCUAGCAGGUUAAUUUAGUUCAAACCUAAAAAAUAUGAUUUUUCAUAUUUCUAAUUUUCAGUACAAAGCCAAUUUAAUCAAAUUGACCUAAGUUUUAUCCAAAUCUGUUAGACUAUCACUUUACCGUAGUGCCUUUUCUACCGUUAUGGAGAAAUCGAAAUGAAACUCGACAAUGCCUCUCUUAAUUAUUGUAAGCUCGAUAUUUUUCUCUUCCUAUGAUUUUAACAGUGUAAUUUAUAAAGAACUCGGUAAAGAGAGACGCAAAAGAUAUAUAAGAUUGAACUAGAUUAUUUUUUAAGAGCUAAGUUUGAACAGAUCGUUAGUUGAAUUAAUGUAGCUUUGUAAAUAUUAAAAUAUUUAAUUAUAAUACGUAACUUAGGAACCGAACUGAACUAAACCGAAUGGAAUAAAAUCCAAAUGGUUCCAUAAUUAAUUUGAACCCGACGGUUCCACUUAUUAAAUGCCCGAAAAUUUCGAAUAUGGUUCGUUAUUGCUAUUCUGUUAUCCUAUUUAGUUUUUUUUUAUUUUGAUUUUUGUUUGUUAUUUCUCUAAUAUAUUAUAUACUAUUAUAAUUUUACUUAAAAUCUUAAAAUGACGUGAAAAUAAAACAUCGAUUUUAUUUUGUCUGCACUGGGAAAUUAACAGUUGUUUGGUGUUCCAGAAAUGGCAACCAGAUUAACCAAUAUGGAUAUGGUUACAAAAAAAAAACUGUUGACUCAAUUGUCAAGUUGCAUUGGGACUCUGACUGUAGUUCAACUGCCAAGUUAUGCUUGGAACAAUUGGCCUAGUUGUAACAGUUCCGGUUAUACAUAGGGAGAAAUCAAAGAAAUUCGAUGAGUUAAAUUUCAAAAAAUGACAAUAGAGGAUGCUAUUUUAUCUCACCUCCUUGAAUUUCACAAGACUCUUGACCGAGGAUGCUUUGAAACUCAAAGAGGGUGAGAGAGAUAAAAGCUAUCGGCACAGUUGAUGCUUGGAAAUAUUUUGAUUCCCUAUACAAUCAUAUAGAUAAUGUAAACUUUAAUGCAUUCUCAUAAUUGAAAUUCGGGCUAAGAGUAGAUUCGGGUUGUGAUUAGGAUAGAUUUAAUUUGUCUUGGAAUAGAAAAUUAUAUACCAUAAUUUGGCUUAAAAAUAAAUAAAUUUUGUAAUGAAAAGAGAAAAAAACAAAAGAGAGAAUUAAUGUCAGUGGACUUGUGUGUAUUAUAAUAAAAACCAAAGCCCUAUAUUUAUAGGAAAUAAUCCGGAAUAUAAUGAUAAUAAUUUCUAGUAUUGCAGGGAUAUAAUUGUCAUUUACUAAUAAGCUUACCAUUUACAAUAUUAUUCAUUGAAUGACACAUUACAAAAUAUCUGCCUCAUUAAAAUUUUGUUUAUUAAAAAUCUAAUGGGACAAGAAUACCAAACGAAGGAAAAAUAAUAAAGUUAUUUUGGAGUAUUAAAAAAUAAAUGUUAUUUCAUUAAAACUUUGUUUAGAAAAUCUAGUGGAAUAAAACUCAAGUGAAGGAAAAAUAAUACAACUACCUCACGAUGUUGAUCACUGAAAAUUUUUUAGUUAGUGCAUUCCAAUCUCGUGAUCUAAUUUCUUUGAAGUAGAUGUUGGCAGUGCUUUUAUGAAUAAAUCAGUCAUAUUGUCACUUGAGUGAAUUUAUUGAACAUCGAUGUUGCCAUUCUUCUAAAACUCAUAUGCAUGAAAGAAUUUUAGAGAAAUUUGCUUUGUCCUAUUACUUUUGAUAGAACUUCCUUUGAGUUAUGUACUAUAAACUACAUCGUCUUCAUACAAAAUUGUUCGAUGAUGUUUGGAUAUGAUGGGUUAUGUUCUUCAAUCAUACACACUCUCAGCAUAUUUCAUUGAUUGCAAUAGUUUUAGAAUAAUUUGAAAAUGUUGCUGUUAAGGUUUGCUUCAUAGACCUCUGUGAUGUAGUUGUUCCUCCACGUGUACAAAUAUCCUGUUUGUGAUUUAGUUUUAUGUGAAUCAGAUAGAUAACUUGCAUCUAUUAUGAUAGUCUUUAAUAUACCGUGGUUCAGAAUCCCCAUUUCGCAUAAUAUUAAAGCAUUUUAAAUUCGAAAAUAUUUUUUAUAAAAACAUUAUUUGAUUUCAAUAAUUUAUGAGAUAACAUAUAAUUUAUUGAUAUCUUAUUAUUUUCGGACACUUGUGGUUCUUUAGGAACCAUAUUUUCAAUAUUUGAUUGAUCAAUAUUUUCUAAUGUUACUUCUUCCGAAAUGUUUGGUUGAUUUUUGUCUUAUACUUUUUCUUUUCGGAGGUACAGAGUCAUUUGAACCAACUGAUCAAUUAUGCUUCUAACAUAUUUAAGAUUCUUUUGCUAUAACGAUUGUCCUACAAGAACGUCAAUUUUUGCUGGAAUAUGUCUUUGUUACUCUUCUUUUGUCGACAAAUACAUUAGGUAAUCGAUUUACAACUCUUUGCAAAUGAAUGAUUUUUUCAAAAUAGAGUAGUUUCAUUCCAAGAAAUUUUACUUUAUUUUUCAGAUUGGAUUUUUUAAUAUACAAAAAAUUGAAAAAUCAUUUCAUCAAAAUAACAAUCUACAAAACAUACAGUAAAUAAAUCAUACAUUAAAGGUUCAAUAUAUCUAGUAAUAGAUGGUAAAUCAAAAUCCAUAUAAAUCCUAAAUCUUUUUUGGGGCCCAUUUUACAAUGUUGGGGGGGGGGGGUAAAAUAGGGACUUGGACAGUGUUUGUGAAAAUCUGUAAGCGUACGAGAUCGUUGAUAAGUAAUAGAUUCAGUAAAUUGAGAAUAUCAUCCCACAGAGAAUAAAUGUCAAUUCAAGUUUACUAGUUAUGUAUGGAAUUUUGAAUUAUGUAAACAAAAAAGAAUUUGAUUUUAGGAUUAUUCUAAAUUAAUCCAAGAAAAUGGUAAAAUAGAAGGAAUGGGUGGUCCGGGAACAACAAUGGGAGAGGGCUCGUAGCCUCAUCCUCUUUCCACGCCUAUUUGUUUUCCUAGCCUCGGAAGAGUUUUAUCAAAUGUAAAUGAUUGUAUUGAAUUUUGACUCAAUUUAUUGCUAUCUAUUUUAGUUAUUGAUUUUUAAUAUAGCUCCGUUCAUACUUUCUUGACAAUCGACAAAGUUAAUGUAUUUAACUUUCUUUGCCACGACAAAUUAAUUAUAUCCUAAACACGACCCAAAUUUAUUUCUAGCCCUAAUUCGAUUAAUUAGAACCCAUUAAAGUUUAGAUUAUCUAUAUGACUGCAUAAGUGAUAAAUGUUAUUUAUAAUAUCUAUUGCUCAUAUGUUAAUCUUGUUGCGUUCUAAAUUUAUUGUGAGUCUCCAAACACUAUAUAAAACAAAUUAAUUAUCUAACGGUAAGUAGACAACUAAAUAAUGUAAUGGGUAUGUAAAAUUAAUCAAGAAGCGCAAGAAAUAGUAGAGUACUAAUCUGGAAUUUAAAACAAAUAAACAACAGGGUCCAUCUCAUUCAAUACAAAAACGGAUAUAGUCUAGCAUGAUUUUAAAUAAAUUACAAAAAAUAAUAAUAAUAAAAAAUCACUCGAUCCAUGAAUUAAUUCAAAAGAUAUUGAUCUUCAAGUCCAAGGUUGAAAUCUUCAAAAUCUUAAUAUAAUUGAGCUUCAACUCCUUACUAGGGGCUUGAUAUUCUCUCUCAAAUUAUAGUAAUUGGCUCAUUGUUUUUGAUGAAUUUGAUGAUACUAUUGUGUGCGAAGAGGCAAUAGAGGGUUUUUUCAAUAUGUAACAUUAGUUCUCUAUUUAUAAGAGUAAGAAAAUAGGUCAAAAUCGCAUCCAGUUUAAGUCCUAAAAGAGUUUGAGUCCCAAAAAGAAAUUGCUAAUUCGUCUGUGAAAAAUGCGCGCGCGUGCACGCAUAGGUAUUCCCACCGUGCAUAUGCCAUUGAACAAUAUGACUAUCGAGUCAUGAAAUUUGUGUCUUGCGCGUGAGCCAUUCUGUACGCUAUUGUUAUUGAGCAGGUUUAGGUAGUUUGGUCAUAAUUUUCUCUUUCGAUGUCCGAUUGAGGUGAUUCAAAAUGCGUUGAUCAAAGUGUGUUGAAAAGCUAACUCAAAGAGUUACAGUUCUUAUAGAUUAUAAUUUUCCAAUUCGAAUGUUUUCUAUCUAAAACAUGGGUCUCAAGUUGAGGCUAAAAUUUCGAACCACAAUUUAUUCGGCUGGAAAUUGAUUUGUGAAAAUACUUCAACUAUUUUUCACUCUCUUGACCUCCAAUUGCAUCCAAUUGAUCAUGUGUGAUCUUCAUUUUAAAUUGAUUUCAACUAUUCUCGAUGCAAGAGGGAAGAAACAGCCAUUACACGAAAGAACGUGAUGGUUGGCAUAUGCCCAAACUGACUUUAAAAAUCAGUUUAUGUCAAAAUUCCUUGGGCAAAGUAUGGCACAAAACUUCCGUUGAAUUAAAAAGCCAGAAAGUGAUUAACCAACAUAUGAAAUUUGUAUGCUGUUAAUUUUGGAAUUUACUCGACAUACACCAUAAAUGAUUAAACUAAUCAUAAACUUACAAAUUUGUAUGCUUGUAUAAAUUAUGCAGUAUCACAUUGUAUGGAAUCAACAGUGCACAAUAAAAUUCCUUGAACGUGAAUAUGAUAUGUACGAGAAUUGAAUUAAUAUUCAUCUUCGGGUUGUUAGUAAUAUCAUACCGAUAAUGUGCAUAAUAUAUUCACAAAACGUACCUCUUAUGUUCACUAAAUUGAAUCGUAGUUUCGACUUACCAAACGGGAUUCAAUCCUUACCAUUCUUCAAUGGAGACAUUUUCCUUCGAACACGUUCCAGAUUUCUUUUGGCAGGAUUUCAUCCAAAAAUUGAUCCUCAUAAACAAAUCUUGAUCCAUCAACUUGAUCAUCACCAAAGUGAUUUCUUAAAGUGGUCUUAUAGUUUCAUCAUGGUCUUCCACCGGCAAUAAAGAAACCAACACACUGAUUUUCCAGAUUCAGAUUCCAACAAGAAUUAAAAUAUAAACUACGCAAUGAACAGAAUUUGAUUAGAACACAAAACAACCAUCGAUAAAAUAUUGUCUUAAGAUUGUUGGGAACCGGGCUUAUUUGUGAGCGGUAAAGAUGGUUGUUUGUGAGUGCAUUUUAAAUCACAAAUUUAUGAAAUGGAAAUGUAGUACAAAACCAUAAAACCAAAUAAGAAAAUUAAAAUAAGAAGGAGUAGAAAAUGAAGAUUAAAUCCGAGGCAAGUGUAUUCACUCUCUCCUUAAGACAAUAUUGCCCCGCUACGGUGCUCACGGUUGGCGGCAAUUGUCUCCCAAGAUACAACGGAUUCGAUUUGUGGUAGUAGCACUUCAAACCAUAAAUUCGGCGAACUUUCGACGGAGUUUCCCCUCUACAAGGAAUAUAAUAUACGAAAAGAGAUGAAGAAGAAGAGAAUUGCAAUUUUGAGAAGAAUGAAUGCUCAAUAUGCAAAUUGUGUACUCUCAAAGUCAUCCAAGGGGUCCUUUAUAUAGAGAAUGGAGUGGUGUGAUGAAAGGAUUUGAGCCAAACCAUGCAACCUUCCAAACAGGUGCCACUAUUCCAAAACUACAAUUUCUCAUUCAUUUUUGAAUUGGUAUAUUAAUAAACACCAUUUCCAACAGUGGGUUUAUUAUCAAGUAUGAAACUUGAAAGUGGUCGUUCUUUUAAGUAGUAAAUAGAAUAAAAAUAAUAUCCAAUAUUCUUUAUCAAGUUUAAGCUGCUGGAGAGUGAACAUUUUAUUUAAUUAAAUUGUCACAACACACACACACACAUAGUUAGAUACAAAAACUAUUAUAAUCCACUUGAAUAUCACGCCUAUCAUGAAAAGGGUCCUACUGCAUGCUCACAUGACAUAAAAUGAAUAUUUGGUCCUUGGUUAACUUUGAGACCAAAAUCAACUUGGAUGUAAGUGCCUCAUGAUUUUGCGUGCUUGUGUGCGGGUUUAGGACAAGUGCCACAAAAGCAUAAAUAUCAAUGAGCAUUGAAAAUUGAGCUUAAUCAUUACUUACAAUAAAAUAAUAGAAAAUGAUUGAACUGCCCAUACAAUUCCCUAUAAAUAGACCAUUGCAUAAUGAACAAAUGGAGAAAUUCUAUUUGAUGACCCUAGCAAUUGAAAUAACAUCUCUUGGACAAAAGAUCUUGAAUUGGACGAAUAUAUGAGGGACUCAAGAGAGCGAAGCAGUGCAAACAUCCCUAUCUAAGUUUGAUCAACCAUUUCCUAGCUGAUUUGGGAAUUCCUGCACUACCUAUGGAUAGAAACUCUACAGAUAUAUCCACUUUGAGGGGUUUGAAUUUGCUAAUUUAGAUGGCAUGCAAAAUCCUGUCCCCAUGGUCCCCAACAUGUGAUGCAUUGAACUCAUUCUGAAAGUUUCACCGGAGAUAAUUGAGGGACAUUUCAGGGUGGUUAAAAUUUUGGUGGCCUAAAUUUUACUGUGUAGUGAAAAAUUCUCCAAUGGGUUUAAAGCUAUUCGCAAGGCUUUCGAGAAAAUGGCCUACUUGGGUGAUGGGAGAAUUAAAGAUGCGUGGAAGAAGAGCACUCCAGGUUUUACAAAAUAUCAGUUUGAGGAUGCACCUACAAGUUCUACUCAAACUGCCAGGGGCAGAGCCCAAUAGACUGGACUUUGGACCCAACCCAAAUUUUUUCAUAUCGUUUUUCUAUUUUUUAAUUUUAAGUUUUGGACUAUUGGCGAAAAGCCGAAUCAAAAAACAAGCAGAGAAGCCAUAGAUUUCACUCCUCUCUACUUCUGCCUCUCUAUGGCUCUGCCCAACACCUCACUCCUUAGCCUCUCACUCUUGUCUCUCACAUCGAUCUUUAUAUUGAUUGGGGGCUUCGGUUGAAAUUGGCUUCAAACACUGAAUAGAUUUUCAAGGUAUGGUUUUAUAAGCUGAAUAAAAUUUCAAGGAAUGGGUUUAUCUUAUCUUGAUCCCUAUAUUUAUCAUUAAUGCAUUAGGCGUUCCGAGUUUUUGUCAUUUUAUUAAUUUUAUGUUUAUGUGUUUUGUUUGUCGAUGAUUGUUCUGAAUUGAUGCUGUGAAGACACUUUUGAAUUAUUCUCCAUAAAAAUGUUUUCAAUUUUAAUUUUUUAAGGGUCAACUUGGAAAAAAAUCUGUCUUUUGUUUUAUUUUCAAUAUUAUUUUUUCGUUGGGACUCCUGUUCUCGUUUUAUUUAUAUUUUAUGCAUACUAAGAUGUACUUAUUUUCUAUUUGUACGGGUCUUUUUUUGUAUUGAAUUUUUGGCCAUAAGAUCGAUGGAAAUAAGAUCGAUGGAAAAUAGAAAGGAAAAAUAAGAAAAAAAGAAGUGUAGAUUGAUUUUUUGGGAUGUGGUUUGGCACUUGAAGCAGGAAAUUAAUCUGGCUAAUGUAGAAGUAAAGAAAUUAGCAAGAAAUUGAUGAACGAUUAUGUUAAACAUAUAAAUUUGGUUAAAACUAUUAAAUUUCUGUAAUUCGUAGAUAUUUUGCUAUUUUAGUUAAAAUUUGAAAAUAAUUCUGUUAAGAUUUAUCUAUAGAUUCGAGCAAAGAAUUUCCUAGUAAUUUGAUUUUGUGGACCAUUUUAAUCUCAAUAGAGAGUUGUUGCUUAUGAAAAUUUGUGAUUCUUGAUGCAUUGAUCUUCAUAUUGAUUUUUUAAUUUUUAUUUUUUUGGGGGGUGGGGGGUGGCAUUCGGUCUAUAGUAGUCCAAAAAGGAAGUGCUUAAUACUACCUAUUUUAUAUUUAUCAUCAUGGCCAAAAAAUUCAAAUUUUGUUGUUGAUCAAAUUGUGCCCGCACUAAACAAUAUUCCUGGCUUCGCCCCUUGCAGACUGCACCAGAGGCACUGGAUUCCAACCUCCUCCAUGUAAGUUAUACUAAAGCUGUGGAUGCUUCAGCAACACCUGUUGCAUUCUGUAAACAUGGUGGCGAUUCCCAGAUGCCUGGUGCUAAGAAAUCAAAGAAGCAAUGAUGUCCUCUGGUUCUGCAUUCCUAACCUUUAACUCCUUGACUAAUUAUUUGAUUUGGUCCUGUAUAACUCCUAACUAUUUGGUUCACACACAUGGAUGACAAUAUUAACUUGAUAUACUUGGUACCUGGUUGGUUGAUUCCCUCUCCUAAUUUGAUAGUAGACUUUGAAUUUCAAAAAAGGGAAGAUAUGUGAAAUUUUGGUUUAAAACAUGAACUACUAGCAGUUGGUAGUAUGUAGUGAUUGGUUAAUUUGAUGAAAUUCAAUAUGCAUACCGAUGAAUUAUUUUAUGCCUUUGGUGCAUGUUAAGAUGUACUGGAUGCUAAAUUUUGAUUCACUGCAUUAUAUCAUAAAAGUGUAUUUUCAAUCGAUUGAUGUGUCUUCUAAAAGAAUGAAAUAAUGUCUUUCCUCUCUUAGCAAUUUAUUUACUUUUCAGUGAAAAAAAAAAAAAGAAAAAAAUGAAGACAAAGCAACCUUGAACCAAAAGUCCAACAUUAAGUCCGAAAGACAACAAGAUGCAAGUUAUUAAAAAAUAAGCCAAAGAAGCAAUAACAAUCUAAUUUAAAAAAAUAAUCCUACAAGACAGCUGUCCAAAGGCAACAACAUUUCAACAAUUAAAAAUUAUUAUGCUGGCAAAGCAACAACACUUCAAAAAAUUCAUUUGAAUAAAAACUAUCAUCAAUAGCUAAUUAACAAAUACGUACCUGCUUAGUGAGCAUAUCCCAUUUAUGGUUAAAAUUGAAUGUGGAAUUCGAGAAACUAGAAAUUUGCAAUGAACUUUAAAAAUAAAAACAAAAGACAAAUCUAUAAAGUUCAUACUUAUGGCCCAAUAUGGCUUUACAACAAAGAAAAAUCUAUAAAGUGCUAUUUUAAUUUGAAUUCUAGAUUUUGUUUAGAGUGCUUGAUUUGUAAAGAUUAUUUAAAUGUCAAGGCACUUAAAAUUGAGCACAUUUGUUUUAUCAAAGCACGGUUAAUUGCAACAAGAAAAUAUUAAUUCUAUUGACGAAGAAAUCGAGUUGAGAAACAAAAUAAGACAGACAAUAAUUUUCGGAAUGGGAAUGUUUUGUGCCUUUGUCAGGAAGAGAUUUUGUGCUAGGAUUUGGGCUGAAUUUCUUUUUCUUUUUCUUUUUCUUUUUACACCGGCUGCAAUUUUUUGAACAUGGGCUACAUAUAAAAAAUAAAAAAUAAAAAAAUUGGUUUUUAAAUUGGAUCUGGGAUGGGGUUCUUGGGCUGUACGUCCAUGUCUUAGAUGUAGUUAAGUUUCCCAUAGACUGCCUUUCCCCAUUCUUAGUUGCUUCAAACGAAGUGAAUAACUCUUCAUUAGAGAAAAAAAUGUCGCUUAGUACAUUGUUAAUCAAUCACUCUUUUGGAUUUGAACCCACCAAAUUCACUUCAAAAAUUCAAGGAGGUGAGAUAAAAUAGCAUCCUCUAUUGUCAUUUUUUGAAAUUUAACUCAAAGAAAUUCUUUGAUUUCUCCCUAUGUAUAACCGGAACUGUUACAACUAGGCCAAUUGUUCCAAGCAUAACUUGGCAGUUGAACUACAGUCAGAGUCGCAAUGCAACUUGAUAAUUGAGUCAACGAUUUUUUUCAGUAACCAUAUCCAUAUUGGUUAAUCUGGUUACCAUUUCUGGAACACCAAACAACUAUUAAUUUCCCGGUGCAGACAAAAUAAAAUCGAUGUUUUAUUUUAACGUCAUUUUAAGAUUUUUAGUAAAAUUAUAAUAGUAUAUAAUAUAUUAGAGAAAUAACAAACAAAAAUCAAAAUUAAAAAAAAAACUAAAUAGGAUAACAGAAUAGCAAUAACGAACUAGAUCCGAAUUUUUCGGGCAUUUAAUAAGUGGAACCAUCGGGUCCAAAUUUAAUUAUAGAACUGUUCGGGUUUGGUUCCAUUCGGUUCGGUUCAGUUCAGUUUAGUUCGGUUCGGUUCGGUUCCCAGGUUUCGUAUUAUAAUUAAAUAUUUUAAUAUUUACAAAGUUACAUUAAUUCAACUAACGAUAUAUUCAAACUUAGCUCUUAAAAAAUAAUGUAGUUCAAUCUUAAAUAUCUUUUGCAUCUCUCUUUACUGAAUUCUUUAUAAAUUAGACUGUAAAAAUCACAGGAAGAGAAAAAUAUCGAGCUUACAAUAAUUAAGAGAGGUAUUGUCGAGUUUCAUUUCAAUUUCUCCAUAACGACAAAAAAGGCACUACAGUUAAGUGAUAGUCUAACAGAUUUGGAUAAAACUUAGGUCAAUUUGAUUAAAUUGGCUUUGUACUGAAAAUUAGAAAUAUGAAAAAUCAUAUUUUUAGGUUUGAACUAAAUUAACCUGUUAGCAAAUUUAUUUAGAAAAAUAAAACAAUUUAGCUUAUUUGAAAUAAAUCAAUUAAAAAAUGAGGGAGAUUCGGUUCUUAUUUAGUUUUUCGGCUCUUGAUCUAGAACCGAUAACCGAACUAAACUCGUCGAUUCUCGAUUAAGAUACCAAUUCGGGUAUCGGUUCAGGAGUUUUGUCCAGCCCUAAAAUUGAUUCCUAUGAAAACACAAUGUAUAUCGUUAAAAUAGAUUUACCCUCUCACUAUAAGUGCUUGAGGUUUUACUGACUCCCAAUACAAUUGACAAACUAGUACUGAUUUUAUGUGAACACUAUCAUCAAAACUUGGAUAUGGAUACAUGAAACAAAUAAGGAAUAUAUUUUGGAAUAAAGAAAUUUUUGUGUGAACCGAUGAAAACGACCACUCUUAAAGUCUCUAAUAAGUGACUUAUUACACCAUUAAUUUAUCAUUAAUCCAACAAAUAUCACCCGUGUUAACAUAGACAACAAACCAUAGAGUUUAAGGAGUUGAUAACUAUGGAAGGGUAGUUGAAAACAAUUUAAAAUAAAUAGAAAACAUGGAUCCUACUGAGGGACCAAAUUUCAGUUUGUCAAUCGCAUAUGCAUGUCACAUUUGCACAUAGGUUCAAUUGCCUUCUCAUUUUUCCUAUAUGAGACAAACUAUAAUUUUGCUUUCCGUCUAACAUCUAACCACUUCCAAUUAGAAUAAAUUGAUCUUCAAUUUAUCAUUCAUGAGCAUCAUUUUGACCAAGUAAAUAAAUGAUUUCGAUGUUUUCGCAUAGGAAAACACAAAUCUAUUUUGAUCCGCCAAAGAAUAGAAAUGAAUCCCACUCAAAAUCAUACCAAAAAAAUAAUAAUAAUAAUAAUAAUCAUUUUCCAACAAGCAAUACUACAAUAAUGUGAUUUAAUGAUAGAAAGAGCAGAGCGAGAAUGUGGUGGGUUGCUCAGGGAGUUGUGGGAAUGGAUUAUAGCAUGGCAUUAUUGACCAACAUACUCUCUAUUCACUUUUAUUUCUAUUUUCCUUUUCUCUUCUUUUCUUUUUAAAGAAGUCCAUUUCAUUUUUCUUGUUAAGGUAGUUACAUUGUCAUGCCAUUGUACCACUUCUUAAUUGUAUCAAAAAUUAUUCUUUGCUCAUUAUCAUACUUAAGUCCUAAACUUUUUCAUCGUUGUAACACCCGAAAAUUUGUAGAAAAAUUUAUUUGUACUAUAUGCCAUAUUUUUAUAUUUUGAAAGUUGAUGGGCUAAAGUGCAAUAUAUUAAACUCAAUUUUAUUCUGGCCAAAUAAUUAGAAUUUGUUAGAGCAAUAUUUAGUAUAUCAAUAUCGGGCUCGUUGGAUAGCUCGUAUUUAAUCAUCUAUUUUACGCUCAAGAAAAACUUAAUUCGGAUAAGAGAAGCCUAUGUUAUUUAAGUUUAAAUAAGUUGUCAAUAUAUAUAUAUAUAUAUAUAUAUAUAUAUACAUGCAACCAUUUUCCACAAAGAAAAAGUCAGAUUUCCUUUCACCAUACUAUAUAACUUUUAUAAACACAGUAGUAUGUUGAAAUAAAGUUAGAAUGUGAUUUUGGUUUUGUUUUUCCAAAAAUUCGUUUGAUUUAACGAGGCAGGAUAAUGAAGUGCAGUUGUUUUUUGCCAUCCGGUAUCAAAGAUAUUAUAUGUAUUGAGCUCUUACCAGUCUCUAAAGAUAUGAUGACAGUAUGAUAUUUUGAUGCAUGAUUUAAAUAUUUUAUUCAAGAUUGCACCAUUGUUUUCGUGUCCUACUUAGUAUUUCCAUAUACUUACCCUUUCUCCUCUAAUCCUCACAGGUUAGAACGGGUCGUUAUUUGGCGGGCGAUGUGGUACAGUUGUGGAGCCAGGAUACAUUGUAACGUGAAAGAAUAUUUUUAAUUUUAGCAGUAAUUUCAUUCCAGUAUUUUAGUGGCCUUUAUCUAUGUUGAGAAAUUUGAAAUAUUAUUUAUUUGCUCAUAAAUUUCUAUUUGUACUAAUGGAGUCAAAAUUUUAUUUUAUCUGUUAAACGUGCAUCGCAUAAAUUUUAAAGUUCAUCAAAUUUCUCAUUGUCCGAUUUGAAGGCGUGCCUCAGUAAUUUGUACCCCUUUAUAUAUGUGUGUGUAUCUGUCCGUGGAAAAGUGUGAAUUUUGUACAUUAUUUUAUGGCUUGGAAUGUGUGUCGGGGUUAUUGGUUAAAUUUUGCAUGUGAUGAAUAAUGAUUCUGGCCCCCACUGUUAAUCAGUUCACUUUUGUCGAAUUUCAUGUACUUAUUUCUAAAUGAAGUAUUUGUAUAUAUAGAAAUAAGAUAUGAGUUAGUUAAAUAAACAAUUAUAUAUAUGUGUGUGUGUAUAUAUGUGUGUAUAUAUAUACACACACACACAUAUAUCAUGUUAAAUUUGUAAAUUAAUUUUAGUAACGGUUGAAAAUUUAAAAUUAGGGUUGUUACAAUCGCAUUUUAAUAUUAACCUUUAAUUAGUUAGCACAUUUUGUCUUCAUAACAUAUUCUGCUCAAAAAGUCCGUUAAAUGGUGUAAGAAUACUUUAUUUGCCUCUCAUAAUUUUAAAUUAGAGAAAAAAAACAAGAAAUAAAAAAAUUAAAGCAAACUAUUAGAAUACUAUAUAUAAAAAAUUUUCAAAGACAAAAUAUGCUAAUUAAUGAAAGAUUAAGAAUAAGAUUGCCUUAAAAUAAUGUAGGGACCUAUGUGCACCCGUAAUAAAAGAUGAAGGGCUUUCUUUACUACAAUUAAUAAGUGAUAAAACAAAAGAAAAUUGCUGUCUCAACAUAAAUUACCCAUUGUAAAAAUGAAGUAAUGCUUUAGAGACAUUAUAAUCCUCUAUAUUGACCCUACUAGUAUCGUAUUUUGAGAGUGUGGAUUCUUUUACCAACUUUAUUUAUUUAACAUAAAAUAUUUGGAUGCUUGAUUCAAAUUGAAUCUAGUCAACUAAAACAUUAUCAUCAAUGAAUGGCAUAUGUUGCAUUCUUAUCCACAUGACCCGGUCAUUCGCUGAAGACUGUGGACCGCAUGUUUGUCAAAUAAGGUUCUAUAGCCAAUUAAGGUCAUUUGCAACACACAUUCUAAGCUUGCACAACAAAGGGACCACCUCAAAUGUACAAAUCCGUCUAACUUGACAUAAAAUAAAUCUACAAUUAAGAAUGGUGAUCUAUAUUAAAACAAAUGAUUGAUGUUUUCACGUGAAUUCAAGUUUCUUUUCUUAAUCAUUGGGUUUCAACAAAGUACGUGAAUCUGGUAAAGGAUGCCAUCUACAAUUUGAUUUUAUUACACUAUUCUAAAU
rnacentral:lncRNA from 1 species